rnacentral:lncRNA from 1 species
ACAAAUAUACUCAGCUUAAAUGAUAGUUCAAAUAUCGUUUAAAACUCCAAGUUUGAGUAAAAUAUAGUUGAGUUCAUAAAAUAGUGUAAAUCACAUAGAAUGAGUUCAAUGAUAUUUCAAAAGUGAGGAAAACAGUGAUGAUAGUUCAACGAGGGUUCAAACAAUCGGCAAUAAGCCCCAAGUAUGGCAAUUAGUCCAAUUUAUGAUGAUAACAACCAACAACCGGGACGGACCAAGUCACGAUCCCCAACGGUGCUCCACCCCACGCUCAGGUCUAGCGUGCAAGUCACCUCAAUACAACACUAAGAUAUGCAAAUCCGGGGUUUCAAACCCUCAUGAUAUCAUUCCCAAAUAUUACUCACCUCGAACCGGCGAAAUCUCAAGCUCGCGACGCCUUUGCAUGAAGAAUCAACCUCCAUGCGCGUGGAAUCUGGCCAAAAACAGAGCAAAUACAUCACAAUAUACAAAUGGAGCAAUACCCAAUCGAAAACAAUCGAGAAAUAGCAAGAAUCUCAAACUAGCAAAACCCGAGCGACGGGCCCACUUCUCGAAAAAUUACGAAACUUACAUUUUUGGAAUCCUCGUCUCGCCACGAGUCCGUACAAAUAAACUUCAUCAAUAUCGGAGUCCAAUUGCUCCUCCAAAUCCCCAAUUUACAUUCAAAAUUUCAAGCCCUAGUUCAUCUCUUUUGAUUUGAUUCCAGAAAUUUAAGGGCUAAAUUCAUGUUUAAAAGAGGUUUUGGGUACAUAAAACUUACCUCUAAUCAGUCCUCUUCGAAUCCCUCUUCAAUUUACUCUGAAAGCUCUCCAAGAUGCCAAACAAUGGAGGAAAUAAGACCUUGCUCGCGGAUGAAAUGUGAUAACUUAAACCCUUCUGCCCAACUCGAUUUCCGCUUAUGCGGUCCAUAGAGCGUUCCUGCGGUCGCUGCUUACUCGUCCCUUUGACCGCUUCAACGGUCUGACUUGAAUCUUCAGUGACCGCUUCUGCGGUCCUUGACCGCUUCCGCGGCUACCGCUUACGCGGUCACCUGUCCGCUUCAGCGGUCCCAGCCCUUUUUUCCCUUGGCCGCUUUUGCGGUCCUUCAGCCGCGUCCGCGGAUCUGUUUAGGCGACUCCUUUUCCGCUGACAUGAAAAUAGCAGAAGCAGCAAUACAAAAACAUGCAUAAACUCCUACAACCUCCGUUCAACCAUCCAAAAUCACCCCGAGACCCCCGGGGUCCAAACCAAAAACACAACUAUUACCAAAUACCUCAUUCAAACUUGCUCGAGCCAUAAGAACACUAUCACUAACAUCAAAAAUCACCAAAUUCCUCAAAUCCAAGCCUAAAUUUCUUAAGAACUUUCGAAAUGUGCAUACAAUCAAAAAUCCAACCAAACGACGUCCGAAUAACCUGAAAAUUUGCAGACAUAUCCAAAAUCACCUAACGAAGCUGCUGCCACUCUCGAAAUUCCAUUCCAACUCUCGGAUCAAAAUCUCACCUAUCAAUCAUAAUCCGCCAAAAUUCAGAAUUCGCCAAUUCAAGCCUAAUUCUACAUCGGACCCUCAAAUUUAAUUCCGCCCACUCUCCUAAGUCACAAAUCAUCUCCCGAAGCUAACCAAAACAUCGAAAAUCAUAUUCGAGCCUUCUAAAUCACAAGUCAACUUCCGGUUGACUUUUCCAAAACAAGCUUCCUUCUAAGAGGCCAAGUGCCUCUAACCGAAUCAUCGAAAAUCACAUCCAAGCCUUCUAACUCACAAGUGAACUUCUAGUUGAAUUUUCCAAACAAGCUUCCUUUUAAUAGGCCAUGUGCCUUAUUUUCAACCGAAACCAAUUCAAUUAUACCCGAUCGACUCUAAUACUGAUAUUGAAACAUGAAACAACAUAAUAACGGGAAAAAGGAGCAGUAACACAUAGUACGAUGGGUCGGGUCGUCACAAUAGUAGUGUUGGAUUGCAUAGAGAUGUUCAUAACACUCAGCGGAAGAUAAUAACAAUCCUCGGUAGAACUUUUCAUUUCUAAAUUUAUUUACAUAUUAAAGAUUGGAUCUAAGACAUACCUGGUGAAGAGAAUGUUGUUUCAAAAUUUUUUCGAUAGUGCAAAAAACCUAUGUGUAUCCACACUGAGACCAAUCCUUUUUAUCAACUCUUUGAUCAAUGAAACCGUGAAUAAAUUGAACAAAAUUAUGUACUGAAAUUUUUCUAAAAACUUUCAGCAAGAAAGAACAUAGAAAACUAUUUUCUUGUCAAGAACGUAUUUCUCUUAGAAUUUAGUAAGGUGCUUUCAACUUGUGAUUUUUCACUCUAACUCCUUCUCAUUGUUCACAAGUAUGUGUGUGUAUAUAUAUAAUGAAAAUAUAUUUCUAAUGGGUAAGUCCAAGACGGAGGCUUCAAAAAUUGUGGCUACUUUUUGUCUUUCAAAGUUCAUUCAGAUUGAAAUUCUUAGAAGACGCCUUUUUGAAAAAAAAAAAUCUAAUCCCAUACUAAUUAGUCUGAUCGUGAUAGCUGCACGUUUGUUAAUCCAAAAUUGACUUUCACCUUCCUUUGAAACCAUUCAAAUUGAAUUAUAUAAAUAAACCAAUAUUAUAUAUAACAUUUAUAGAUCAAUAUCAAUUUAUUAUAUAUAUAUAUAUAUAUAUAUUAACUGCGAUAUAUCAUUUCAAUUUUCUAUUCUAAAUAGAAAUUUUUAAUUUGUCCACAUUAUUGAUUAUAUCAUCUGUUCUAGUAAAUAAUAUAAUAAUAUUUUAUUUGGACUAAUAACUAAAUUUAUUUGACUAAUUAAAUUUUUUAUUUAAUUAUCAAAUAAUAAACUAGUUAAUCCUUUAGCAAAGAUCAGAACUGUCGUUAGUGUGCAACCCCAUAGGUUCAAUACUAAGCCGAUAGUAAACCCAACACAUCAAUAUACUAAUCAAGGGUGGCGUCUAGCAACACUCCUUAACGACUGGAUAGCAUGAAGUACACAAUUUACUCUCAAGAGCAUGUAGAAGAAUAAUAUAUUAAUUCCUUCUGUCCUUAUAACUCUGGGUCACCCUAGGAUAUGGUUCAACUAUCAAAUCCUAAUAGGCGAUCAAGUAUAUGUUCAUAUCAUAUAUAAUUGACCAUUGAAUGUCCUAAGAAACAGUGACGAACCAAAGGGUCAUCGCCUAUUUUCUCAUUCAUUCCGUGCUUCUGAGGCCUUGGAAACCUCACUUUUAGUCGCCUCGACGUGGGACUUGAUUCUUUUUUUGCUGAAAAGAGAAGGUGCCGGAAAGCUUAUAUGUUAAAUUCUGUUAAAAAUUGAUGAAAUUUGGCUUUAAAAUAACUAAAGUUGACUUUAAUUAAUAUUUUCAUCCAUACAACUUCCUUAGGUGUUUCACUACCUGCUAUAUAUUCUGCUUCAGUCACUGAAUCAGCUACUAUAGCUGUUUGGAACUUUUUCCACUCACUGCACCACCAUUUAAGGUGAAUACAUAACCAGCAAUAGAUUUGCUAUCAUCUCUAUCUGAAGAGAAGCUUGCAUCAGUAUAACCUUCAAAUUUCAACUCAGAAUCUCCUUAAACGAGGAAUUGGUCUUUAGUUCUUCUUAAGUACUUAAGAAUGGUCUUGACCACCUUCCAAUGUUCCUCACCAGGAUUUGCCUGAUAUCAUCUAGUCACUCCUAGUAAAUAAGCCAUAUCGGGACAUGUAUAUGUCAUGGUAUACAUGAUAGUUCCCACUACACUAGCAUAUGGGACCCUACUCGUGCAUUCUCUUUCUUCAGGUGUUUCAGGACAAUCCUUCCUACUGAGAGUAAAUCCAAUUCCUAUCGCUAGAUACUCUUUUUUGGAAUUGUCCAUGGUAUACCUUUUCAAAAUGGUAUCAACGUACAAAGACUGGGAAAGUCCAAGCAGCUUUCUAGAUCUAUCUCUAUAGAUCUUUAUUACCAAUAUAUAAGCUGCUUCUCCUAAGUCUUUCAUGGAAAACUGUUCAUAUAGCCAAAUCUUGGUAUUUUGCAAUGUCGGUACGUCAUUCCCUAUGAGCAAUAUAUUAUCAACAUACAACACUAAAAAUAUAAUUGUGCUCCCACUAACCUUUUUGUACACACAAGGUUCUUCUUCGCAUCUAACAAAAUUGAACCCUAUCGCUAGAUACUCUUUUUUGGAAUUGUCCAUGUUAUACCUUUUCAAAAUGGUAUCAACGUACAAAGACUGGGAAAGUCCAAGCAGCUUUCUAGAUCUAUCUCUAUAGAUCUUUAUUACCAAUAUAUAAGCUGCUUCUCCUAAGUCUUUCAUGGAGAACUAUUCAGAUAGCUUACUCUUGGAACUUUGCAGUGCCGGUAUAUCAUUCCCUAUGAGUAAUAUAUCAUCAAUAUAUAAUACUAAGAAUAUAAUUGUGCUCCCUCUUAUGAUGUUAUUUUAGUGAUUUAAUAUCUCGGUUAAGUUCGUAGGAUGUUGUUGGGUUAGUGUGUGUGGUUGGAUAGGAGCCCUGAGGGCUCGGGAAUGUUUCGAGGGUGUUCCGGGAAGUUUAUAACUUAGAAAUAUUGCAGUUUUCCUUCAUCUGUUGCAGGCACCCAUUUGUUCUUCGCGAUCACGUUCUUCCUUACACGUUCGUGAUGCCUGCUGAGUCCCCUCUUCGUGUUUGCGUGCCCCUUACGCUAUCGUGUAAACCAACUCAGGGCACCUAGUAAUUCCUUCAUCGCGUUCGCGAACUUGUCCUCGUGUUCGCAUAGUAUCAGCUCACCCUUCAUCGUGUUCGCGUAUGUACCCACGCGUUUGCAUAGAGUAAACCCAGGACCCAGCCUUUUCCUUCUAUGCAUUCGCGUUCACUUCCACGCGAUCGCGAUUCAGACUCAGCUUACCCUUCGCGAAUGCGGCCCCUUUCCCGCGAACGCGAAGGACAUUUUUUCCCAAGUGAUUUUAAAGUUCAAAAACAGACCAAUGACGGGAUUAUUCUCAAAUUUCACACGACUUCUUUUUCACCACAGCUCUUAGGCGAAUUUUAGAGCACUUCUUCACCAAACUUUCUUGGUAAGUAUCGUCUAACUUGUUUCCUUCAUUUUCCUUCAUCAUGUAUCAAAUUCAUAUGCUCUAAUCAUGUAAUCUGGGGUUAAAAUUUGGGGAAAAGGGUAGAGUUAGAGCUUUUUAAUUUUCUUUGAUUUAGACCUCGUUUUGGGGUCGGAUUUGAAAAAAAUUGUAUAUCCGAGCUCGUGGGGGAAUGGGUGACAAGGAAUUGGUUCGAACCUCGGGCUAUGACCAAGCAGGCCCGCGGUCAAUUUUUGGAAUUUUGGAAAAAAGCAUAGAAAUCCAUAUUUAGGCAUUGGAUUUAGUUUGUUUAGCUAUUAUUGAUGUUAUAAAGUUAUUAUUUCAUAGAUUUGACUAAGUUGGAGCCGAAUUUGAGGAGUAAAACUAUACUAUGUGCUCCAGUUGAGUUUGGAGCAUUCGAGGUAAGUGUUUGAUCAAAAUUUGGCUUGAGUGAAUAGGAUUAGAGUAGUGUUCGCUAAUUGUUAAUUGUCGAGUACGGCGUAUAGGCAUGGUGACGAGUAUCUAUACAUAGGUGUCUAGCGUGACCGUGAGUCCUUAUUUGUGCUUAUUCUGAUUUUGUUGCGAAUCUUCCUUGUUUACUAAUGAAUUCUAUAAAAUGUGAAGAGUAUAAGAAGGAAUUAUGGUUUGUAAACAUUGUUGAGUGUUGGCUCGAAUGAUAAAGCAACUAAAGAGUACGAAAUGAGAGAAAAAGAAAGAGAUGUGAUUAUUCCCUUGCCGGGCUAUUUUAGUAUAUUGAGUAUCUCCCUUGCAUGAUGUGGAAGUUCUUGUUAUUGUUUCCCUUGUCGGUAUUUAAUUGUUUACUUGUGUUUUCCCUUGACGGGAUUUUGUAUUACUGUUGUCUAUCCCCUCGCCCAAUUGUUUGUGAUUGUUGUUUGGGUGAGGAUGAGUGAUAAAACACAUUGGGUGAUACCGUGCAUGAUUGUGAUGCUUACUAAUGCACGAAGGAAUAUUUCGUGCCAUGAUAUGUUUACUAAUGCACGAAGGAACAUUCCGUGCCAUUGAUAUGAUUACUAAAGCACGAAGGAACAUUCUUUGCCAUGAUAUGUUUACUAAAGCACGAAGGAACAUUCCGUGCCAUUGAUAUGAUUACUAAUGCACGAAGGAACAUUCUGUGCCAUUAAUAUGGUUACUAAUGCACGAAGGAACAUUCCGUGCCAUGAUACGAGUAUUAAUGCACGAAGGAUAAUUCUGUGUACCUUAUAUGAUUGACUGGGUGAGAAAGAGUGAUAAAGCACGAUGGGUGAUGUCGUGCAACUGUUGUUUUUCCUACUCUUGUUGAUAUCCUAGUUGUGAUGUUUUCUUUCCGUAUUUGGAAUUUUUUUAUGGAUUGAUACCUCCCCCACAACAUGCUCCCAUUCCUCUUAACUGGUUAAAUUUCUGUACUCUUUGCUAUUGCAUAUAUACAUGUUGAACUGCACAAGUUUGUUUGGCAGUCAUGUCUAGUCUCGUCACUACUUCGUCGGGGUUAGGCAAGCACUUACCAGCACAUGGGGUCAGUUGUGCUGAUGCUACACUUCUGUGCUCUUUUGCACAUAUCACGGAUCGGCUUCUUGACAGAGCUUUGGGAGCUGACUUUAGUCUAGAGAUUUCGAGGUAUCCUUGCUCACGUUCUCAUGGCCCAGAGUCUCUUCUAUCUUUGUUUUUCGUUUGUUGUCCUUGUAUCGGAACGCACUUUUUUUUGUUUUUGUUCAUGUUUUGUAUUUAGUGUUCUAUAGACGUUCGUGAGUAGUGACUCCAAUCUUGGGUAGAGUUGUAUUGAAUUUCCGAUUUGUUUUUAGUUUAUUUAAACCUAAGACUUCCGCUUCAUCUUAAUAUGUUUGUUUUUACUAAAUGGUCGAAGAUUGUUAAAUGAAGUAAACUAAGUUGGCUUGCCUAGCUCCUGUUAUUAGGAACUAUCACGACUCUCGAGGGUGGAAAAUUCGGGUCGUUACAGAAACUUUUUUCUUCUUUCAUGUAAUCGCCCUGGCCAAGGUCUUGAUUUGGUCGGUUAUAAUUCAUGUCAACAUGGAGCUUAAACUUAUUACCAAGAGUUGAAAGAUUCCAUCUUGAUCAAUCUCUAGUUCUUUAAGUAUUUAAUCAUACCCAAUAUCCUUUCACCUAUCAUCGUAGGACCAUAUGUCUCUAGCAUCAGAGUACAAUAAAUAACUUGUCAAUUACUAUGAUGAUAUCAGGUCAAAGGAAGCUCUUACAUUACAUUCUUCCAGAGAAUAUCACAUUGAUAGUUUAUGGUAAUUCUAACCAUUAGGAAUUAUCCAAUGAGUCGGUUCAAUAAUCAUAUCUCUAUAUGCAUCACUGUCUAUGUGAUUUAGUUAAUGAGAUCAAUUAAUCUUACUCCCAUAAAGACGAUCACAUAGAUAUCGAUCCAACCGGAUUAUUAAUGUACAAAUUAAUAACCCUAUGAUCAAGAACAAAAUUUGGAUUAAAUUAUAAGAAACUUCACUCUCAUUAUCAUGAUCUCAAUCACAAUGACAAGUCUCAAAUUUAAUCAAGGACCUUGUCAAAUUAAUCAAGCAAUUAAUAAUAAUGAUAAAAGAAUAUUAAAUGCCAUAUAUAUUUUAUAUGAAAUAACAUUCAUAAAAAAUAUGUUCAAAUCAUUAAACAUGAUAGUGGAUACUGCGCAUAUCUAAUAUAUCCCUAACAAUCUCCCACUUGCACUAGAGCCAAUCGCUGUUGCACUUCAUUCCCAAUUUCCACUUGUUGCUUUCAAACUCCUUUGCUCCAAGAGAUUUAGUGAAUGGGUCUGCAGCAUUUUCCUUUCCAUCAACUUUUUGAAUCUCGACGUCGUCAUAUUCAAUGAUUUCUCUUAUUAAGUGAUACCUUCGCAUAAUGUUUUUGGAUUUUUAGCGUGAUCUUGGUUCUUUUGAUUGAGAAAUGGCUCCAGUAUUGUCACACAACAAUAGAACGACACCCUUUAUUGAAGGAACCACACCAAGUUCAGUUAAGAACUUUUUCAUCCCUACAACUUCCUUAGGUGUUUCACUACCUGCUAUAUAUUCUGCUUCAGUCACUGAAUCAACUACUAUAGCUGUUUGGAACUUUUUCCACUCACUGCACCACCAUUUAAGGUGAAUACAUAACCAGCAAUAGAUUUGCUAUCAUCUCUAUCUGAAGAGAAGCUUGCAUCAGUAUAACCUUCAAAUUUCAACUCAGAAUCUCCUUAAACGAGGAAUUGGUCUUUAGUUCUUCUUAAGUACUUAAGAAUGGUCUUGACCACCUUCCAAUGUUCCUCACCAGGAUUUGCCUGAUAUCAUCUAGUCACUCCUAGUAAAUAAGCCAUAUCGGGACAUGUAUAUGUCAUGGUAUACAUGAUAGUUCCCACUACACUAGCAUAUGGGACCCUACUCGUGCAUUCUCUUUCUUCAGGUGUUUCAGGACAAUCCUUCCUACUGAGAGUAAAUCCAAUUCCUAUCGCUAGAUACUCUUUUUUGGAAUUGUCCAUGGUAUACCUUUUCAAAAUGGUAUCAACGUACAAAGACUGGGAAAGUCCAAGCAGCUUUCUAGAUCUAUCUCUAUAGAUCUUUAUUACCAAUAUAUAAGCUGCUUCUCCUAAGUCUUUCAUGGAAAACUGUUCAUAUAGCCAAAUCUUGGUAUUUUGCAAUGUCGGUACGUCAUUCCCUAUGAGCAAUAUAUUAUCAACAUACAACACUAAAAAUAUAAUUGUGCUCCCACUAACCUUUUUGUACACACAAGGUUCUUCUUCGCAUCUAACAAAAUUGAACGAUAGUUCCCACUACACUAGCAUAUGGGACCCUACUCGUGCAUUCUCUUUCUUCAGGUGUUUCAGGACAAUCCUUCCUACUGAGAGUAAAUCCAAUUCCUAUCGCUAGAUACUCUUUUUUGGAAUUGUCCAUGUUAUACCUUUUCAAAAUGGUAUCAACGUACAAAGACUGGGAAAGUCCAAGCAGCUUUCUAGAUCUAUCUCUAUAGAUCUUUAUUACCAAUAUAUAAGCUGCUUCUCCUAAGUCUUUCAUGGAGAACUGUUCAGAUAGCUUAAUCUUGGAACUUUGCAGUGCCGGUAUAUCAUUCCCUAUGAGUAAUAUAUCAUCAAUAUAUAAUACUAAGAAUAUAAUUGUGCUCCCACUAACCUUUUUGUACACAAGGUUCUUCUUCGCAUCUAACAAAAUUGAACUUUUCAAUUAUCUUGUUAAAGCGAGUAUUCCAACUUCGAGAAGCUUGCUUUAGUCCAUAAAUGGAUCUUUGCAGCUUGCAAAUUUUAUUAUGAUCAUACGGAGAUGUGAAUCCUUCAGAUUGUGUCAUAUACACAUCCUCUUAUAGCUCACCAUUAAGGAAAGUUGUUUUCACAUCUAUUUGCUAUAUUUCUUAGUCAUAGUAUGCCGCUAUAUCAAGUAGAAUCCAAAUUCAUUUGAGCAUUGCCACGGGAGAUAAAGUCUCGUCAUAGUCGAUGUCUUCCUUUUGACGAUAUCCCUUGGCAACAAGACGGUCUUUGUAGGUCUCCACCUUUCCAUCUGCUCCAAUCUUUUUCUUAAAAACCUGUUUACACCAUAUAGGUUUUAUAUCCUUUGAAGGUUCAACUAAAGUUCAUACUUUAUUUUCUUUCAUGGAUUCUAUUCAGAUUCCAUGGCCUUUUGCCAUCUCUCAUAGUCACAACUUUGUAUAGCCUCUACAUAGGUCUUAGGGUCAUCAUCAUUAUGAUCAACCUUACUUGACACAUCAUCUUGUACCAUUAGAUUUAAUCUAGUUGGUGCAUGAUGUUCUCGGGUAGACCUUCUAAGAGGUACUUGUAUAACUUGUUCACCUUGUGCUGGAUUUAAUUAUUGUUCAAUUUGGUUUGGAAUCAGUUCAUUAACAUGUUCUUCAACUACAUUUAGUUUUUGAACUUCAACCAUUGAAGAUGACAACUUCCUUGGCAACUUAAAAUAUCCAAUAAAAGUUCUUCAACUUGGGUCCCUUGAUCUUUAUUUGUUGAUUCAUUAGUUUCUUGAACUUCAUCAAGUUUUAUUUCUCCACUAUAAUUUCCUUCCAAAAGAAAUUCCCUUUCCAAAAAGGUUGCUCCUCUAUCCACAAACUCUUUAUGGUCGGAGGGGUGAUAUAAAUAAUAUCACAUUGUUUCAUUGGGAUACCCAACGAACCUACACUUAUCAGAUCUUGAGUCAAGUUUAUCAGAAUGCAUUCUCUUACCAUAAACUUUACAACCCCAAACUUUAAUAUGUUUAAGGUUAGGCUUAUAUCGUUUUCAUAUCUCACGUGGUGUUGUAGAGACUGUCUUAGUGGGAACUUUAUUUAGUAAGUAUGUUGAUGCUUCCAAAGCAUAUCCGCAUAAAUUUAUUGGUAGAUUAAUGGACUCAUAGAUCUCACCAUAUCUAAUAAAGUUCAAUUUCUCCUUUGAGACACACCAUUAUGUUGUGGUGUUUCUGGAAGUGUCCACUGUGAGAGAAUCUCAUUCUCUUUGAGAUACUUAGUAAAAUCUUCACUAACAUAUUCUCCACCUCUAUAACAACUUAGUACCUUGAUACUUUUACCCGUCUGUUUCUCCACUUCACUACGGAACAUUUUGAACAUUUCAAAAGAUUCAGAUGGGUGUUUCAUAAAAUACACAAAUCCAUAUCUUGACAUAUCAUUAGUGAAAGUGAUGAAGUAAGAAUAUACACCUCUAGCUUGAAUUUUCACGAGACCAUAAACAUCUGUAUGAAUUAGUUCCAAUAAUUCAGUAGCUCUUUAUCCACUUCCAGUAAGUGGAGAUUUGGUCAUUUUUCCUUUGAGACAAGAUUCACAAGUUGAAUACAAUUCAAAAUCAUAUUUGUCAAGGCACCCUUCCUUGUACAACUUGUUAACUCUUUUCUCUCUUAUGACCAAGCCUAUAAUGCCAAAGGUAUGUAUGAUUUAUUUGAUCAUCUCGUUUUAAGAGUUGAAACAUGCAUAAUUUAAUUAGCAUUCAUAUUAGGUAAGAUAUAAACAUCAUGUUGGAGAUAGUAAUUCAUAUAUAAAUUAUCACCAUAAUAAAAGAGCAAAUAUCAUAGCCUAUAUUUAUGUGAAAAUCACAUUUAUCUAACAUAGAAGCUGAAAUUAUGUUCUAAACAAAUUUAGGAACGUAAUAACAAUCAUCCAACAUAAGUACUUUACCCAUAGGCAUUAUUAAAGAAAUUGACCCUACGACUAUGGCCACAACUUUGCACUAUUUCCAAUUGUAGAUUAAUUUCUCCUUUCUUCAACCUUCUACUUAUUUGGAACCCCUGCAACAUAUUACAUAUGUUAUAACCACUGUCAGUAUUUAAUAUUCACAAUAAAACAUCAAUAGUAGUUAAAGAAACUUUGAAAAUAUUUUUCAAUUGAGUUUUACCUUGUUUCUUAUCAUUUUAGAGUUGCAAGAUACUUCAGACAGUUUCUCUUCAAAUGUCCUAUCUUCUUACAAUGGAAACAUUUAACAUCAGAUUUGUCAGUUUUUCUUGUCUUGCCUUUGGGUUUGGUCACACCACCCUUAGGCGCAGUAGGUUUCUUCUUGGGUUUAUUUUUACCCUUACCGUUCUUCUUAGAAGAGUUUUCAACCAACAUGACAGUUCAUCACUUCUUCUUAGAUGCAAGUUGAUUCUCAUAAUUAAUAAGUAUGUUAAGAAUCUCAUGAAUAUCAUAAUCAAAUUUUUUUCGUAUUAAAAUUAAUAACAAAUUGUGAAAAGGAUUCAGUGAGUGAUUGAAAGAUCAAAUCUAUAGAAAGCUCUUUACCCACUUUGCGCCCUAACUUCCCAAAUUCUUCAAUCAGAUCAAUCAUACGAUUGACAUAGUGUCCAAUUAGAGAGUUUCCAGUUAAUUUGGAUCCAAAUAAAGCCUUAGAUAGCUGGUAUCUUGUCGUCCUACUUUGUAUACCAAAUAUCUUCUUAAGAUGUUCAAUGAUUGCAGUUGGAUCCAUAUCCCGAUGUUUCUUCUGGAGCUUUGAACUCAUAGAGACGAGAAUGAUGCAUUUGGUAGUAUGAUAUUCUUCCAAAUAUUUCUGAUAAAUCGUGGUGAAAUCAUCAUCAUUCUCAUUUGGGACAUCAUUGGCAGGCUUAUCGAUUACAUUAAUAAGUUUUUCAUGCAUGAAAAAAAUUCUCAAAUUUCUGCACCAGUCAUCGAAAUUUGGUCCUACCAACUUGUUGGUCUCAAGUAUUCCCCGCAAUGAUAUAACAGACAUAUUGAGAAAUCUAAAAUUAGAAAAAAAAACAAUAUUGUAAGAGCAUAUUUAAACAUAUCAUAAAGACAUAGACUUUUAUCUAUAUGAUAUUUUCACUAAUUAUUUUAAAUUAUUUACCCUCAUUAUAGUUUAAGAAAUCUUUAUUUCUGUUAGUGGAGUUAAAGAAUCCUUCAGAAAUAUGUAUGAGCCACUUGGAAGUUAAGUCGUUUCUCACAUAUAUUUUAAAGGCAGGUACACUUACUAAUUGUAUCCUCAUACAAUUUGGUCAAAUAGCUCUAUGUCAAUUAGUCCCCUGGUAGUCAGGUCGAUCAUAUUGGCAAAGUUGAGUUCAACCAUCAUGAUAGCAAAGAAUUUAUUAAAUUCUAUGCUCCCCAGGUAGUCCAGGCAUCUAGUAUAAAGUUAAAUAAAUUCUUUCAAUCCAUGCAUCUAAUACAAUAAAUAAUUUUAACAUAUUCUCGAAUUAUGAGUCUUAUAUAUAUUUUAACAAGAAGUAAAUAAAUUAUUUAUUUUUGAUGGAUAGCUUUACAAUAAAAUAUCUUAUAUUUUAUUAGAAAGAAUUCAAAUAUUAGCAAGAGGGAAUUAUUACUAAAACAUCUUUUAAUAACAAAAUGAUCUAAUCUUUUAUAGAACAUGAAUUUUAUUAAAGUUGUCUACAUAUUUUGUCCUAAAUUAAUUUAUAUCACAUGUAAUAAAUAAUUCAAAAUCAUAUAUCGAACAAUCACGUGAUAUAAAAGUGAAAUUCAAUAUACUUCUAACAUGUUUUUUUUGGUAAUUAAAGGUUAUAUUAAUCACCAAAGAGAUUUCACUACAAAACCAUAGUGCAACUACUACACAGCUGACUAUCAUAUCUAGACUAUAUAUCAACUAUCGCUAUACCUAUCCCUCUAUUUUACAGAAGAUAUUGCUGAAGCUGUAACCUAAUUUUGGGGGUUCCUCUAAUAUUACAAGUAUAUAACCAUAGUGCAACUACUACACAGCUGACUAUCAUAUCUAGACUAUAUAUCAACUAUCGCUAUACCUAUCCCUCUAUUUUACAGAAGAUAUUGCUGAAGCUGUAACCUAAUUUUGGGGGUUCCUCUAUUAUUACAAGUAUAUGCCAUGGUCCUAAGUAGCUUAUCACUGCUAUAGAAGACAUACUCAAAGAUCCUCGCAUUUCUCUCUAACCACAGAGCAUAGAACAAUUCUGCUACAACCAUUUUGAAUAUGUGAGCCCGACUCGAUUUCCCUUUACCAUUACCAACAAUCCAUUGAAUAAACUGUUCCCAAUCCAGGAAACUGGGGUGAGAUUCCCUAAUCCAAGACAGUGUCUGGUGCCUAUGUGAGCCCGACUCGAUUUCCCUUUAGCUUUAGCAACAGUCCAUUGAACAAAAUGUUCCCAAUUCAGCAAACUGGGAUGAGAUUCCCUAAUCCAAGACACUGUCUGGUGACUUAGUUGAGUAACAAAGGAACAUCUAUGGAAGAGGUGGUCUCUGGAUUCCGGAGCUUGCUGACACAGAACACAAAUGCUAUCCACAUUCAUAACCCAUUGUAGCAGCCUAUCCUUGGUUGGUAAUCUAUCCUGAAGUACCAGCCACAGAUUGAAAACGGCCUUAGGCCUAGCAUAGUUUUGAGCAGUUAAGUUCUUCGAUGUAACUCUAGGCAGUUGACCAAUCUGAAGCAGAUAUAGUAGUUUAAUAGAGCAUACUGGUCUGUGCAAAAUUUGAUAUUGCUGCAGUAGUCCACUUGCUGCAAUUAUCUUUCGGAUCAUCCAACUAGCUUGUUUGGGUAUAGACAUGGUCUCCAGCUGCUGCUGCUUUAUAUACACAGUGUGAAUCCAUCUGAACCACAGAGUAUCUUUCUUGUGAGCCAGAUCCCAUCAUAGCUUAGCAAUAGCUGCUUUAUUCCACAGCAGGAGGUUUGUGAGCAGAGUAUCUUUCUUGUGAGCCAGAUCCCAGCAUAUCUUAGCAAUAGCUGCUUUAUUCCACAGCAGGAGGUUUGUGAGGUUCAGCCCACCAACUGACUUUGGCAGGCACAUUUUGUCCCAGGCAAUGUAGGCUUUCUUAGAGAUACCUACUGAACCAGACCAUAUAAAAUUUCUACAAACUGCUUCAAUAAGCUUUAGGAUUUUUGAAGGUAUGAGGAAGAGUUGAGCCCAGUAGGCUUGUAUACCAAAGACCACUGAUUGGACCAAAUUGAGUCUUCCAGCAUAUGACAAUUUCCUGGCAGUCCAUGAUGUGAUCCUAGCAGUGCUCCUCCACUGAUUGUACCAAUUGGAAUCUUUCAACAUAUGACAAUUUCCUGGCAGUCCAUGAUGUGAUCCUAGCAGUGAUCCUAUCUACCAGUGGUUGCCACUGAAUCAAAGCCAUCUUCUUAGUAGAUAAAGGGAUGCCCAAAUAUUUGAAAGGCAAAUCUCUAUAUGCAUAGCCUAGAUGGUUAGUAAUUUGUUGCUGGACUUCAGUAUUUAACCCUCCAAAGUAAAUUGAACUUUUGGUCAGAUUAGCUUUCAGCCCAGAUGCUUCAGUGAAUUGAGAGAAGUACUUGAACAUGUUAAUUACAGAUUGCUUUUCACCUUUAGCAAACGCAGUAGGUCAUCAACAAAACUGAUAUGAGUGAUGCCCAGUUUUUUACAGCCUGGAUGGAAUAUAAAAUCUUGGUCUUNNNNNNNNNNNNNNNNNNNNNNNNNNNNNNNNNNNNNNNNNNNNNNNNNNNNNNNNNNNNNNNNNNNNNNNNNNNNNNNNNNNNNNNNNNNNNNNNNNNNNNNNNNNNNNNNNNNNNNNNNNNNNNNNNNNNNNNNNNNNNNNNNNNNNNGAUCGCCUUGUCUAAGGCCUUUAGCACCUUUAAAAGGUUCAGUUGUUUCCCCAUUAAUCAUCACUGUAUAGCUGACUGUUCGGACACAUUCCAUAAUCCAGCUUGUGAAUCUGACUGGAAAUCCCGUUGCCUCCAUUACCUGUUGCAAGAAAAUCCAUUCGACAGAAUCAUAUGCCUUCUGCAGGUCAAUUUUGAUCAUGCAUCUAGAAGUUACUGAUAUGAGUGAUGCCCAGUUUUUUACAGCCUGGAUGGAAUAUAAAAUCUUGGUCUUUCUUCAAUUCAGCCAGAGAUCUGCUUAGGUACUCCAUUACUAUAACAAAUAGAAAGGUUAAGUUGUUUCCCUAUUAAUCAUCACUGUAUAGCUGACUGUUUGGACACAUUCAAUAAUUCAGCUUGUGAAUCUGACUGGAAAUCCCGUUGCCUCCAUUACCUGUUGCAAGAAAAUCCAUUCGACAGAAUCAUAUGCCUUCUGCAGGUCAAUUUUGAUCAAGCAUCUAGAAGUUACAUGAGAUCUGGAAUAAUUUUUGAUUAAUUCAUUGGCCAGUAUAACAUUGUCUGCAAUCUUUCUGCCUGGGAUGAAUCCUGCUUGGGCUUCACAGAUNNNNNNNNNNNNNNNNNNNNNNNNNNNNNNNNNNNNNNNNNNNNNNNNNNNNNNNNNNNNNNNNNNNNNNNNNNNNNNNNNNNNNNNNNNNNNNNNNNNNGCUGGCCAUGAUUUUCUGCAUUCUGUUGGCUAAUAUCUUGGAAAUCAGUUUGUAUAACACUGAGCAGCAAGUUAUUGGUCUGUACUCUUUGACUGUUGUUGGAUUAGGAACUUUAGGUAUCAGAGUGAGGGAAGCACAGUUGACUGGUUUGUACAUCCUGGUUGUCUGGAAGAAAUCCUUGACUGCACCAAUUAUCUGUUUACCAGUGAUGCUCCAAGACUUCUUGAAGAACAUUGCAUUAUACCCAUCAAUUCCGGGGCUUUGUCAUCACCAAUUGCCUUUAGACUGACCAGAAUCUCAGAUUCAGUGAUAUCAGCAACUAGAUCUUUCUUCUGUUGAUGUGUUAGCGUAGCCAAUUGCCUUUAGACUUUCCAGAAUCUCAGAUUCUGUGAUAUCAGACACUAGAUAUUUAUUCUAUUGAUGUGUUAGCGUAGGACCAUUGUUCAUAUACAGUCGAUUUAUAGCUGGAAGAGAGACAGAUGCUGUACCCAUUAAGAACUUAUAAAAAUCAUUGACCUCCCUUUUAAUAGCAUCUGGAUUGGUAAUCUUGGACCCCCCUACAGUAACUAGUUCAGUAAUACUCUUGUGUUGAUUCCUUUCCUUCAAGACAGCAGAGAAAUAUUUGCUAUUUGAAUCCCCCAGCUGGAUCCAUUUUGCCCUGGACUUCUGCUGUAGCAUACCUUCUUCAAUCAAUGACCACUUUUCCAACUUCAGUACUGUUUCCUUCUCUUUAAGUUGCAAUUACUUCUAACAUGUUUAUCUUAUAUAUCAUAUUAAAUAAUUCAUGCCAAAAAAUUAUUAUUAGUUAAUACCUCAUAAAUUAAUAACAAUUAAAAUAAUUGCAUAAUCUAAUAUCCUAUUAUAGAUUAUCAUCGUAUCUUAUACGAAAUAUUAAAUUCUAGUUACGAACUAUCUUGAUAGUUAACUUAUAUGAAUACACAUUUUAUUCACAAUGAAAUAAUGUCAAUCCAUGCAUUCAAACAAUUUAUCUAUUCCACAAAACACACGUAUUAUGGUUUGAACUAUUUAAAUUAAACCUCAAAAUAUUUUAUAAAUAAAUUUUAGACACGAGAAACCAAGGCUCUAAUACUACUAUUGGAUACCUGGUGAAGAAAAUCUUGUUUCAGAAUUUCUUCGAUAGUGCGAAGGUCAUAUGCUUAUCCACACCGAGUCCAAUCCUUGCUAUCAACUCUUUGAUCAAUGAAACCCGUGAACAAAUUGAACAAAAUUAUUUAUUGAAAAUUUUCUAAAAACUUUCAGCAAGGAAGAACAAAGAAAAGUAUUUUCUUGUCAAGAACGUAUUUCUCUUAGAAUUUCGAACGACGCAUUCAACUUGUGAUUUUUCACUAUAAUUCCUUCUCAUUGUUCACAAGUAUGUGUGUAUAUUUAAGAAAUUGUGGCUACUUUUUGUCUUUCAAAGUUCAUUCAAAUUGAACUUCUCAGAAGCCUCCUUUUUGGAAAAAGAAUCUGAUCCCAUACUAAUUAGGCCAAUUGUUAUAGUUGCACGUUUGUUAAUCCUAAAUUGACUUUCACGUCCCUUUGAAACCAUUCAAAAUUGAAUUAUAUGAAUAAACUAAUAUUAUAUAUAACCUUUACAUAGAUCAAUAUCAAUUUACUAUAUAUAUAUAUAUAUAUAUAUAUAUAUAUAUAUAUAUAUAUAACUAAGAGAUAUUAUUUUAAUUUUUUAUUCCAAAUAAAAAAAUUUAAUUUGUCCAUAUUAUUGAUUAUAUCCUCUUAUAAGAAACUUCACUCUCAUUAUUAUGAUCUCAAUCACAAUUACAAGUCUCAAAUUUAAUCAAGGACCUUAUCAAAUUUAUCGAGCAACUAAACAACAACAACAACUACCCAGUAUAGUCCCACAAAGUGGGUCUGGGGAGGGUAAUAUGAGACACACUCCAAAACACAAAUCAUCUAUGGAUAGCCCUGCCAAGCCUCACCCAACCUCGGGUGAGGAGUACAAAAAACUCUAGGAGCCCCUAUCCUACAACCUUGAUACUAGACCUCAAGACUUUCCUGUCAAGAGUCAUGUCCUCGAAAACCUGCAUUCUAGCCAUGUCAUGCCUAAUCACAUCUCCCCAAUACCUCUUAGGCCUCCCUCUGCCUCGCCGAACGCCGACAAGCGCCAGCCGCUCACAGCUCCUCACCGGGGCAUCAGAACUUCUCCUCCGCACAUGCCCGAACCACCUCAGCCUCGCCUUUCGCAUCUUCUCAUCCACCAGGGCCACCCUGACCUUCUCUCGAAUAACUUCAUUCUUAGUCUUAUCUAACCUGGUGAGCCCGUACAUCCACCUGAGCAUCCUCAUCUCCGCAACCUGAAUUCUCUGAACAUGAGAGCUCUUUACUGGCCAGCACUCCUCCCCGUACAAUAUUGCAAGUCUAACCACAGCUCUAUAAAAUUUUCCCUUGAGUUUCCAUGGAACUUUCUUGUCACACAGGACUCCUGAUGCAAGCCUCCACUUUGACCAGCCCGCUCCUAUACGAUGAGUGACGUCCCCGUCAAUCUCUCCGUCCCCCUGAAUCACCGACCCAAGAUAUCUGACANNNNNNNNNNNNNNNNNNNNNNNNNNNNNNNNNNNNNNNNNNNNNNNNNNNNNNNNNNNNNNNNNNNNNNNNNNNNNNNNNNNNNNNNNNNNNNNNNNNNNNNNNNNNNNNNNNNNNNNNNNNNNNUCUGAGAUUCAAUCAUCACGUCCCUGCCUACUUCGCUCGGCUCGGCGCUAAACUUGCACUCCAUGUAUUCAGUCUUAGCUCCAUCGUAUAUGUCUUUGAUUACUCUGAUGUAGGCUUCCGGCAUGCUCUUCGCUUCCAAGAACCUCCAUAGCACCUCCAUUGGGACCUUGUCAUACGCCUUCUCCAAGUCGAUAAGCACCAUGUGCAGGUCUUUCUUUUUAUCUCUGAACUGCUCCACCAGCCUCCUGACAAGGUGGACAGUUUCUGUAGUGGAGCGACCCGACAUGCAACCAAACUGGUUCACAGAUAUAGAUGUCAUCUCCCUCACCCUCGCCUCGAUCACCCGCUCCCAAACCUUCAUGGUGUGACUUAUUAAUAGCUUCUGUAGUAGAACGACCUGGCAUGAAACCGAACUGGUUCACAGAUAUAGAUGUCAUAUCCCUCACCCCCUCCUCGAUCACCCGCUCCCAGACCUUCAUGGUGUGACUUAUUAAUUUGAUACCCCUAUAGUUNNNNNNNNNNNNNNNNNNNNNNNNNNNNNNNNNNNNNNNNNNNNNNNNNNNNNNNNNNNNNNNNNNNNNNNNNNNNNNNNNNNNNNNNNNNNNNNNNNNNNNNNNNNNNNNNNNNNNNNNNNNNNNNNNNNNNNNNNNNNNNNNNNNNNNNNNNNNNNNNNNNNNNNNNNNNNNNNNNNNNNNNNNNNNNNNNNNNNNNNNNNNNNNNNNNNNNNNNNNNNNNNNNNNNNNNNNNNNNNNNNNNNNNNNCCCUUGCUUUAGCUAACCGGAAUAACUUCCUGUCCCCGCCUCUCUCCCCUAGUUCCUCGUACAUGCGACCAAAUGCCGCGUUUUUAGCUUUCGUAACCUCCAGGUUUGCUUCUUUCCUCACCACCUUGUAGAUCUCCAUGUUCGCUCUCCGUUCUUCCUCGCUUGUGCUCUCUACCAACUUAGCAAGCGCCGCCUUCUUCACCUCCACCUUAACUUCGACUACAUCGUUCCACCACCAGUCACCCUGAUGUCUGCCUGAAUAGCCCUUGGCUACCNNNNNNNNNNNNNNNNNNNNNNNNNNNNNNNNNNNNNNNNNNNNNNNNNNNNNNNNNNNNNNNNNNNNNNNNNNNNNNNNNNNNNNNNNNNNNNNNNNNNNNNNNNNNNNNNNNNNNNNNNNNNNNNNNNNNNNNNNNNNNNNNNNNNNNNNNUCGUGCUACCACGCUAACCAAGUUCGCCGUCUCUGACCACAUAGCGUCCGCUAUCCCAGAACUUCUCCAAGCUCCGCCUUCAACUAACCUCCUCUCCAACUCCUGUGCUUUCUCCUUAGUCAAACCACCCCAUCUAAUCUGCGGUUGUCCUUGAGCACCCCUCCUCUUCCUCUUCACCUAGAUACCGACAUCCAUCACUAGGAGUCUAUGAAGAGUCGAAAGAGACUCUCCUAGAAUAACCUUGCAGUCCUUGUACACACCCCUAUCGCUCCUUCUGAGGAGGAGGUAAUCAAUCUGAGUCCUCGCCUCCGUACUCUUGAAGGUGACCAAAUGCUCCUCCCUCUUCUGAAAUGUCGAGUUCGCAAUCAGAAGCUCGGAAGCCCUGGCGAAAUCAAGCAGCAACGUGUAUUAAAUGCCAUAUAUAUAUAUAUAUAUGAUAUAACAUUCAUGAAAAAUACGUUCAAAUCAUCAAACAUGAAAUUGGAUCUAAGGCAUAUCUAAUAUAUCCUUAACAAGCAGAUAAUAGGCUUUAUCAUAUUCAGUCGGAAGAGUUUAGGUAAUACUUUCAAAGUGACUCUCGAUGGUAGAAUCCAGGCUAUUCAUGAAGAAUCGCAGCAAUUCCCCAAUCCUAACGAAGUAGUUCCUCCAAGAUCAAAAGUGAAGCACAAGUCGGACAAAUCUGCGAAUCGAGUGAGCCGACCGAUAUCCCCCGUCUUACUCAACUAUUCAAUUGUACAACUAUUGUGAUUACGAGAGAAAGGAGAGUUUAAUUUUUAAAGCAAAUUGGGGAAUGUAAAUAGUUUUCACCUAAUUUCACAGGGAAUUAGGGAUGUCAAUGGUUUGGUUUGGCCGGUUAUUUUGUAGAAUUUGAACCAUACCAAUUUUUCAGUUAUUCUAUUAAGUAUAACCAAAAUUAGACUUUUCGAAAUCGUCCCAAUCAUUUCGGUUUCUCAUCGAUAUCGGUACGGUUCGGUUAAUUUUUAAUAUUUUUUUAAUAUCAGGUAAAAUUCACCAGUAGAAGUAGAAUGCAAUAACAUACGUUCUUUUAGAGGACUUAGCAAAACUCUCAAGAUAUUUUUACUGUUUAAAGGGUGAUGAAUUAAAAAGAAAAAAGAAAAAUGGCUAGAGUAUAGAUCCAUCAACUAUUCUACAACAAUGUAAAAGAAAUCAAACAAAAUAUAAAUCACACGGGUUGAAAGAUAUACCAAGUUAGGACUCAAGAAUAAACUUAGAAGAUUAAAUAUUCAAAAAGAUAAAUCCAAAUUAUAUGAAAGAAAACAUACUCAAUACAUUAUAGUUUGCUACUUAUAAUCGCUAGAAUACUUUGUAUCUUGCUAAUAGAGAUACUUGAAAUAACUUAAUUUAAGCAGGAGUAGCAUAAUAGGUUUUAUGAAUUAACAUUUUGAGUUUAAUUACUUGUUGGCUUGUAAUAGUUUUUAUAAUUCCAAGGCCCAAAGAAAAUUAAUGCGUUAUUAUUUUAAAACUUACUAAAUAAAUAUAUUUUUCACAUGUAAAAUUUAUUCGGUACUGUUCAGUAUUUUCUCGAUUAUUUUUAUAAAAUAAAAACCUACCCUAAUUCUCGGUGCGGUUAUAGAUCUAUAUAAAAACCUACGGUUUCUUAAAAAGAAAGCUAAAAAUUAGUUCAGUGCGGUAUUGUUCGGUCGGUUUUUGAAUAUCCAUUGACGCCCCUACAAGGAAUAAACGCACUUUAUCUUUUUUUUUGGUAAUUAAAGUUUUUAUUAAUCACCAACGUAUUUGCAUUACAGUACCAUAGUCUAGCUUAUUAGCUUAUACUCAGCUGACUAUCUACUCUAAUUCAUCAAGUAACUACAUAUAACCAAACCUAUCUCCUGAUGAUACUAAAGCUUGAAAUGCUGCAACUGUUUUCUAAUUCUAGGGUUACCUCUUACAUUACAAAUGUAUGCUAUCUCCCUUAUCAAAACUGCACAGUUACGAAAAAUGUUGUUAAAAAUCCUCGAGUUCCUUUCCAUCCAGACAAAAUGUACGCUAUCUCCUUCAUCAAAACUGCACAGUUAUGAAAAAUGUUGUUUAAAAUCCUCGAGUUCCUUUCCAUCCAGAUAGCAUAUGUAACUUCAACAAUUACAAUUUUAAAGAUAUUGGCUCGAUAAAAUUUCCCUUUAGCUUUACUUAUGAACCAUUGGAGUUUUUGGUCCCAAGUACAUGACUGGGGAUGACUGGGGAUGGCUCUCAUGGAGCCACUGCAUUACUUUAUCCCACAGUUCAGGUGAAAAUGGAUAUGAUAGCACAAGAUGAUCUCUGGUCUCUAUGUGGUUCUGGCACAAAACACAUUGCUGAUCAACACUCAGUUCCAAGCUUGCUAAUCUGUCUUUGGUUGGUAAUCUGCCCUGUAGAACCAGCCACAGAUUGAAGACAGCUUUUGGUCUAGCAUAAUUCUUGAUGAUCAGAUUCUUCCAUGGUACUCUUGGCAGGUCUCCUAACUGCAAAUGAUAUACCUGUCUAAUGGAGCAUUCAUGUCUCCUCCAGUUUUGAAAUUUCUGCAGAACAUCUCUAGAGGCUAUAACUUUCCUGACCAUCCAUCUUGCAUGUGCAUGUACUGGCAUAGUGAUUUGGGAGUGCACAUUCUGUCCCAAGAGAAUAGGCUUUCUUAGUAAUGGAGUUUAAUCUAGACCAAACAAAGCUUCUACAUGUUGCUUCAAUCAUCUUAAGGACUUUAACAUGAAUAAUGAAAAGAUGGGCCCAGCAUGCUUGAAUGCCAAAUAGAACAGAUUGGACUAGUUGGAUCCUCCCAGUGUAAGAUAAUUUCUUGGCAGUCCAUGAAGAGAUCUUAGCAGUAAUCCUCUCCACUAAAGGCUGCCAUUGGAUCAAGGCAAUCUUCUUGGUGGAAAGAUGAAUACCUAGAUAUUUGAAUGGUAGUUCACCAUGAACAAAACCAAGAUGGUCUAUAAUCUGUGUCUGCACUUCCAGUGUAACACCACCAAAGUAUACUGAAUCUUGCUCAGGUUUGCCUACAGGCCCGAGGCUUCAGAAAAUUGUGAUAAACAUUUGGAUAUGGCUAUGAUAGAAGCAAGUUCUCCUUUAGCAAGUCAUCAGCAAAGCACAUGUGAGUAAUUCUAACUUUUUGCAUCUAGGAUGGAACUGGAAAGUUGGAUCUUUCUUUAGUUCAUUAAUUGAUCUACUCAAGUACUCCAUGACAAGUGCAAAUAGGAAGGGGGAAAUUGGAUCCCCUUGCCUAAGUCCUCUAGCAGCUUCAAAAGGUUCUGUUGCCUCUCCAUUGACCAGUACUGAGAAGCUCACUGUUUUCAUGCAUUCCAUAAUCCAGUUAGUAAAUCUACUUGGGAAGCCAAUCCCCUCCAUAACCUGUUGUNNNNNNNNNNNNNNNNNNNNNNNNNNNNNNNNNNNNNNNNNNNNNNNNNNNNNNNNNNNNNNNNNNNNNNNNNNNNNNNNNNNNNNNNNNNNNNNNNNNNNNNNNNNNNNNNNNNNNNNNNNNNNNNNNNNNNNNNNNNNNNNNNNNNNNNNNNNNNNUUCUGGUAUAGCUUUUGACUAACUCAUGUGCCAAGAUGACAUUAUCAGCUAUCUUUCUACCUGGGAUAAAACCUGCUUGAGCUUCACUGAUGAUGCUGGGCAUGACUUUUUGCAAUCUAUUGGCCAGGAUUUUUGAUAUCAUUUUGUAGACGAAUGAGCAGCAAGCAAUUGGCCUAUACUCUUUAACUGUAAUUGGUUUGGAUACUUUAGGAAUUAGAGUGAUAGUGGCAUAGUUUAUAGGCUUGUACAUCUUGGUUGUUAAGAAAAAAUCCUUGAUGGCACUUAUAACUUGUCUGCUAAUAAUGUUCCAAGACUUUUUGAAAGAAACAGCACUGUAACCAUCUAUUCCUGAGCUUUAUCAUCUCCAAUUGCUUUUAGACUCUCCACAAUUUCACGAUCAGUGAUAUCCACACAUAAUUCCCUUCUUUGCUGAUGUGUUAGGACUGGACCAUUUGUCAUAUACAUUCUGUUUAUUGCUGGAAGAGAUGAAGCUGAUGAUCCCAUAAGUGUCUAAUAGAAACUAGUGAUCUCCUUUUUUAUAUCUACAAAUGUAUUGACUUUGACUCCCAUUACAUUUGUGAGUUCUGUGAUCUGUUUAUUCUGAGUUCUUUCUUUCAGGACUAUAGUAAUGUACUUGGUAUAAGAAUCUCCAAGUUGUAUCCAUUUUGCUCUAGCCUUCUGUUGUAAUACACUUUCUUCAAUUAGUGACCACUUUUCCAGAUUUAAAACUAUCUCUUUCUCUUCUGCUGUAACUCAUCAGAAUAUGCAUUUGUCAUUUGCUCUUGUACUUCUUUCAGUUCUUGUCUGCUCUUACAACUCAUGAGAAUAUGCCUUUGUCAUUUACUCUUGUACUUCUUUCAGUUCUUUUCUGCUAUGUUCUAUCCUCUGAGUAAUAGUCUUGAACUCUUUAACAUUUAAGGUCUUUAAAGGACCUUUCAAUGCUUUGAGCUUGGACCAUACUGCUUUCAUANNNNNNNNNNNNNNNNNNNNNNNNNNNNNNNNNNNNNNNNNNNNNNNCUCAUAAUUUCCAAAUACUCUAUCCAAUCUGCUACAUACUCUAUCUACUCCAGUCUGCUUGUUUGUCCAGGUAUAGUACUCACCCUUCCAAGGCAAUUCUGACAGUCCAGCUUGUUGAGUGCAUUGACUAAAUUCUUGAAUUUCAGAGUACCUAACAGGGUUAGAAGAUUGUCUAUCCUUGUCAUAUAAAACAUCAUUGAAGUCCCCAGCAACUACCCAUGCAUUUGUUAUAUCGUAUGAAAGUGCAUGUAGACUACUCCAUAGAGACCUUCUUUGUUCCAUUCCAUUAUACUCAUACACCACAGUGAGGUAGCAAGUAAUAUCUCCUUUUCUGCUGCUAACCUUGCUAUGUAUCANNNNNNNNNNNNNNNNNNNNNNNNNNNNNNNNNNNNNNNNNNNNNNNNNNNNNNNNNNNNNNNNNNNNNNNNNNNNNNNNNNNNNNNNNNUAUGCUGCUAACCUUGCUAUGUAUCAAUUGACCUUCCUCCUGAAUACCAACAACUUCAAACAUGGUUGUAUCCCAUAGUAUCCACACUCUUCCAUUUCCAGCAAAGUUAUAAUUUUUUAGAGUACCCCAUCCAGGAGCCAGCAGAUUAGCAAUUCUACUGUCAUUUAUUUGUUUGACCUUAGUUUCUACCAAUCCAACAAGACUAAUUUUAUUUCUCCUAAUAUACUCCCUAACUUAUUUUUUCUUGUAUCUUUUAUUUACACCUCUUAUAUUCCGGAAUAACCACUUCAUUGAUGAAAACUUGUACCCCCUUUUCCCCAGGUGGAACCUCAUGCUUACUACUAGAGACUUCCUCAAAUCUAUUACUAACAGUAAUGUGAGACAAUGGUGGGAAAUUAAUGAAGUUGAAUUCUGGACUCUGAGCUUUCUUCCCUUUCCUUUCCUGCUUUCAACAGUAAUGGGAGAUAAUGGUGGGAAAUUAAUGAAGUUGAAUUCUGGACUCUGAGCUUACUUCCCUUCUCUUCCUGCUUUUCUUUCUCUGUCAUCAGAUUUUGAGGUACAUUGAUCUCUGUAGGGACUUCAUUUGGCAUAUUCUGUUGCAAUAUUAUCUCUUUUUGUAUGGGCACAGUUUGGACAGGAAUCUUAGUUCUCCAUUCCUGAACUACCUUGGAAUUCCUCACUUGAUUAGGCUGGUUUAUGUUCUGCUUUGUUUGAACUGAACAGCUAUGGCCAAUCAUUUGACAUUUUUCACAGUAGGAAGGUUUCCAAUCAUACACCCUAUUUAGCUGUACAUUCAUCUGCAAAUAUAGGUUUCCCUAAAACACUUGCAAUCUUGCUUAAUGAUCUCAUUCCCGAGCAAGACAUUGGAAGCUUCAGAAACUUUACCCAUAGAGGAAUGUCAGUAGGGAAUUCCUCCGUAAAAUCAAAGUCUGGUGUCCAUUGCGUAAGGAUCAUAGGUCUGUUAGCAAUUGAAUAGGGCCCUGCACAUAGGAUUUCCUUAGCAUCUUCAAUUGUUCUGAAUUUAACUAUAUAAUAACCUUCCUCACGAUAAUACAAAUCUGGCUCUGAAAUAAUACUUAACUUUAACCUAUUCAUUCCUAACUAUAACCCUAGCAACUGCUACACUUAUAAAAAAAAAACAGACUGAUCCUUGAAUAAAAAUUCGAUCUUUUACCCCGUCCCCUAAGAUAUACACAACUAAGGCACAUUUCCAUUUUAUCUCUUCCUCUUCGACCUCUCAUUUGUUCAACUGCACCACAAGUUGUCCAUCAAUCAUUACAGGAGGUAUAUAAUCUAACGCCAUUCCAUGUGUCGCAAACCUAUUUUUCUGAAAUAGAGUAGACCAACUCUUUUUAGGUUCCUCCAUUCUGUUUCUGCUGGUCUCCGAGUUUUCCUUUGCUUCCAUUGCUGGUUGAACUUGUAAUGACUGCUGCAUGGCUACUACUCCAGUGGUUGUCGUCUUCAAUAGGUCUGAAUCUGCUUCAAUCGGAACUAGUGGAGCCAGAUCUACUUCUGCUUCAAUCGGAGCUAAUAAAGGCAAAUCAAGCUUCCUUGCAACUAUAUCUUGGUGCAAUGUCAUCUCACAUGCAUCUUUCUCAUCUACAACUGAGGAAUCAGAGAUUUGUACAGAGGGGGUCUGUACAGAGUUGGUAACAGUUUUCUCUAAAAUCGGUUGUUUGAUUGUUGUUAUCAGCUUCUCAAACGUUGCUAAUGGUAUUUUACGGGGUCUUCCUCUACCUCUCCCUCUCCCUCUCGCCAUUGUCACAAGCUCGGCGUACGUUUAGCUAACGUGCGCCGAGAGUAAACGGAGAAGAAAGACUUAUUUUUCUUCUUUAACUAUUCGCCAUUGUCACAAGUUCGGCGUACGUUUCGCUAACGUGCGCCAAGAGUAAACGGAGAAGAAGCUUUCACUAAUAUAGGAUGUGCUCUAUUUAAUUAAAAAAUCAUCAAACUAUCAUUUCAAAUUCGAAAAUGGUAUAUCAAACGCACUUUAUCUUUCCUCAAAAUAUUAGGAUUAGACUUUCACCUUCCAAUUGAUUUCUACAACCUCAAAUUUUAACAAGUAUCUUUUGAACUCCAAUUAGAAUAAAUGAUCAUUUCUCUUUGUUCUUAAUUUACUUUCAAUCCAUUAAUAAGAGAUUUCACAAGUAUCAGUAUCACCAAACCUUAGGAAAGGAAGCUCACGCAGAUUUCUUUUCUAUAUAUUUUGGAUUCAUGCAUAUCACAAACUACAAAAGCUCAUAAUAGUAAUUUAAAACAAAGUGGAAUAUGUCAGUGUAAUUUGCCCUCUUCGCACUAAUUUUAGAUUCCGUUUGGCCAUGGAUCUUGUCAAAAUAUAUUUAUAUUUUUCUUGGCAAAUACAAGGGGCUGCUCAAGUAGAUUCACAAGAAUGGUGAAAAUAACUCCUAACUAAUUAAUUUGAAUACAUCAUGAUUCCGGUCCAACUGUGGAAAAGGCAAAAGCUUAUUCCAAAAACUUUUCUGCACGAGUCGGUACCAGAAUAUGAAGAAAGCAACAUUAUAGACUCCCAUGAUCAAGCAAAAAAGUUGAUUAGAUAAGAGCUGCAACACCAAAUUGUUGCAUCUCUCUAAGCCUCCAAAUAGGGUGGAAAGCUCCUUCUCCCAGUUCUUCUGCUUCUACUAGUUGCAUAGCCCAAGCGUAGUAUACAGUGUGUAUUGUAUCCUAAAUACAGGAACAAAUUUUAGCCAUACCAGGGUUAAAAAUGAGUUACUACAGAUUGAUCUAUAGCAGAUACAGGUGUAUCAGAAAAAAUGUUAAAAUUAAAUUGAUCUAUAUGCAAAGGUGGACUUAUACAGAUAAUUUACCAUAGAAAAACAAAGAUGUUUCAACAAAUGAAUCUUGUUUAAUGAAUAAGCUUUUAAAGUCAUUAAAUUCAUAAACGGAAAAAGGGCCAAAUACCCCCCUGAACUUUACGAAAAGGGCCAAAUAUAACCCUCGUUAAUAGUUUGGCACAUCCACAACCCUAACGUUACAUUAAUGGCCCAUAUAACCCCCUUGUUUUUAACGGUGACAAAUACCCCCUGAACUUUACGAAAAGGGCCAAAUAUAACCCUCGUUAAAAAAAUAUUUUUUUUGUUUGUAAAAAUAUAUUUGUAAAAACUGAAAAUAUUUUGUUAAAAAUGAUUUCUUUACUUCUUGAAAAACGAAAAUAUUUUGUAAAAAACGAAUUUUUCCCCUAUUUUUACAAAAAAAAAAAAAAAAAAGUUUUUACAAAAUUUAUUUUUUCCAAUUUUUACAAAAUACAUCUUUAAAAAACUGAAAAAUGAAGAAAAAAAUAUUUUUCAAAAGCGAAAAUAAUUUGUAAAAAAUAUUUUAUUCAGAAGAUUAACUCACAAAAAGAAAUACAGACACAAAAUUGCAAUCGCCUACGCUUCAUGAUAGAAGAAUAUUAUUAUUCCACCAAAGAGACCAGUCUUAAGUACCUAAAGCAUCUUUCUGAUCAAAAUAUUAUAUUCAAAAUUUUUGAUGUUUUUUUUUUCAAUGUACCUAUGAAUAUUUUCAACAAAUUAUUUUUGCUUUUGAAAAAUAUUUUUUUCUCCAUUUUUCAAUUUUUUAAAGAUGUAUUUUGGAAAAACUAAAAAAAAGAAUUUUGUAAACACUAUUUUUUUUUUUGUAAAAAUAGGAGAAAAAUUCGAUUUUUUACAAAAUAUUUUCGUUUUUUAAGAAGUAAAGAAAUCAUUUUUAACAAAAUAUUUUCAGUUUUUACAAAUAUAUUUUUACAAACAAAAAAAUAUUUUGUAAAAAAAACGAGGGUUAUAGUUGGCCCUUUUUCGUAAAGUUCAGGGGGUAUUUGUCGCCGUUAAAAACGAGGGGGUUAUAUGGGCCAUUAAUGUAACAUUAGGGUUGUGAAUGAACCAAACUUUUAACGAGAGUUAUAUUUGGUCCUUUUCGUAAAGUUCAGGGGGUAUUUGGCCUUUUCCGAAUAUAUUACUCUAAUAACUGGUAGGGUUGUGGAUGGGCCAAACUUUUAACGAGGGUUAUAUUUGGCCAUUUUCGUAAAGUUCAGGGGGUAUUUGGCCCUUUUCUGAUUCAUAAAUUCUUGAUCGCUGCUUGUCAACAACGGUAAAGUGUCUUGGCGUGACCUAUAGGUCACAUGUUUGAGCCGUAGAAGAAGCCACUAAUGCUUGCAUUAGGGUAGGUUGUCUAUAGGGGUGCGGCCCUUCCCCGGGUCCUACAUUCCAUUGUGCAACUGGCAGCCCUUUUUUUACUUGUUAACAUCUUUAGUUCACAUGUAGUAACGUGCUUUUACGUGUGUGAAGAACACACUAGUUAACAUAGAAAAAUGACAAUUUGACCACAGGGAUUGAAGAAGGCAAAUUCGACAUCAAGAAGUUUGUGCAUGAUGCAAUUCGAUACGAAAUACCAAAUUGACCAGCAAGGUCAAAUAACUGAAUAGUCAAUGUAGGACAUGAGAAUAACAAUCUGGAAAACGGGAUAAAACUUACCUUUCCCCCUUCUUUAAUUGAACCAAGUUUAUCACGUAUGCAGUAGACCUGUUGCGUUUGGAACUGCGAAAAUUAACCAAGAUUACUAUCAGGGUUUCUCCAUCAUUCACAUACACUAUAUGCUUAAAGUCAUUGUUAGGUACAAAACCUUUUCAAGAGGCAUACACUAUAUGCUUAAAGUCAUUGUUAGACAAAACCCUUUCAAGAGGUGCAUUGGUCCAGACAUCAAAAAAAUGAGGAAAGAUGCUUACCGCCAACAUGAUUAUGUGACUGUACAUCAAAAAAGAAUAAGGAGAGAUGCUUACAGCCAAAAUGAUUAUGGGACUGUCUCCCAUCAUUUUUGUCUCCCGUACUUCAACAUCCGAAAUAUGCAAAAUCUGCAUGAAUAAGAGAGAGAAAGAGAGGUUAACCAUAUAGUAGUAUAGUUUAGACAUUUAUGUGUGAUAGAAGCACAGAAAUAUAGAAGUUGCAUUUGUCCAACACCACCCUUUUCUUUUGGGAAGGGGGAAGCACGGAAACUCAUUUUCAGUAGGUUAUGAGAUUCCUAGUAGCACGGGAGAAACCACAGGAGAGGAAAAGGGAAGCUUGGCACUAGAGAAACCAAUUAGUACUGAACUCAAGCUAUUCAACGGCCCCUUAAUAUAGUAUACCAUGGGAUGCAAAAUCAGAGGUCACGAGUUUCAUGCAGAAUUUCCAGUUUUAGCAUCUUUGCAACAGCGAAAACUGAAAAUCUGGGAUGACUUCAAAUCAAGGCCACUGGACUAUUGCAGAAAUGCAGUAUCCAAUACUUAGAUCAAGAUCAAUACAACAACAACUACCCAGUAUAGUCCCACAAAGUGGGGUCUGGGGAGGUUAAUAUGUAGACGGGCCUUACCCCUACCCAAAAGGGCAGAGAGGCUGUUUCCAAUCGAACCUCGGCUCGGUGAAGGAAAGGAAAAACAAAAACAAAAACAAAAACAAAGAAGCAUUAGUAACCCACCGAACUGUAAGUAAUGACGCGCUAUAACCUCCAAAUAAACAAAAAUAGAGCAUAUAAAAAAACAAAAAGAUGGCACCCUACAAAGUUCUAGAUUUGUUGAACAGGUUUCAAGAGAGAAGUGAGAUAAUUCGAGUCAAGGAUAAGUGCAUGGAUCAUCAGCGUAAAUCAUCUACCGCAGUAAGAAAAGUGUCUCAAAUAUAUUUAAAUACCCAAAAAAUUCUAGUUCUAUUAAAUUUACUAGCUUUUUGUCCUUGACUGACAUGCUAAUGGAAAUCUAUGAGAAUGGAUUUGUAACACAGAAAGUUUGAGCAGAGGAGCACACUUCAUUUAUUGUUAAACACCCCACCCCCCCCCCGGCUAUCAAAAGCUUGAUGCUCUGCUUUACACCGCUCAAUUACCUCUUUGCUGCAAUAUUUAUUCAACACCUCUGUAUCUCCCUAAUGAGCCAGAAAGCAAGAUAUCGUUGAAAGAAGAUGAAAAACGUAAAAUACCAAGUAUAUCAACAUGAGAAGAUUCAACUAGUAAAAGACAAUAUUGUGCUUGGUUCAAGGAAGGAAAAGGGAGGGUAACGCAAAAAGAUGGAUCUAUUGAUUUACCCCUGAAGUAUUUAUCCGUCCCUUGAGGUUAUAUUAAAUCUGUCUCACGGGCCGGGAUGGCCCGUUCCAGACCUGACCGGUGGCAAACAGGCCGGACAGGGGUGGGAUUACGGCUGAACAGGCCUGUGCCGGUGGUGUUUUGGAUACUGGUUAACCGGACAGGUUAAAACCGGUAAUGUCUUGUCAAAUUUGAACCGGUGGACCGGACCGGCCCAGACCGGUUCAACGGUUGUUUAUUUUUAUUUUUAAUGACAUUUAACUGUUGACAACGGUCAGCUCCAAUUUUGACCAUCGACCAACAGCCUUAAUUGCAAGAAUAACCCUUUUUGUUUUUUUAAAAAAAUAACACCCUUAUUAUUUACUAAUUUAACCCUUUGAAAAACUAUAAAUAGACCCACCGUCAUUCUCUCAUUCUUCAACUAAAUUGCUAUCAACUACUUGGCUCUCAUUUUUUUGGAAUUUUAUUUGUGGUAUUGUCGAAGUUACGAAAUUCAAUUUCAAGACUUCAAAAAUCAUGAAGUGUUCAAUUUAUUGUGGAAUUCGGUGCACUCGUUCCAACUCUUUCUCUUAUUUAAUAUUUUGUUUGCAUAUGCAAGUUUUUGCAUAUUAAUUUUUAAUAGUAGUUAAAUUUCCACGAUAUGUUUAAUGCUGCAAAAUGAGUUUGUAAUAAGGUUGCUAAUGCGGUAAUCGGGGAAAUAGAAAAAGAGGUGCUACUUCAACUUCGGCAGUAAUAUAAAUAACUUUAUACAUAUUUAUGAAACAUCACCUGGUAAUAAUAUAGAUUAUCAACAAUUACAGGAAGAUUACGGUUUAAAAGAUAAUGAAUUGGAAAUCAAAUAUGAGACACCACCUACACCUAGCAGUUUUAGAGUUGGUAGCAGGAGUGGUAGUCGGGGCACUAGUAGUAGACCACCUGUGGCCCUGAUGGGCGCGACUACUGAUCACCGGAAAACGAGAAGUAAAGUUUGAAAAUAUUUUGAGGAAAUAGAUAACUCUAAUAGUUAGAUGCAAAAUUUGUAAAGAAGAUUACAAACAUAAGACAGUAGAAAAUUUAGGGGGGACUGGGACACUUAGUAAACAUAUGAAAAUUACUCAUCUUAUAGAAUGGGGCUCUAAUUUAGAUAAAAUCAAGGAACUCUAAACCCUAAUACUGGAGGACUUGUGAAAUAUGAUAAAAUGAAGGACCCUGAAGAUAGUUGGGGUGUCAAUGGUUCGGUUCGGUUCAGUCGUUUAUUUUAUUAAUUUUAUAUCAUACCAAUGUUUCGGUUAUUCUAUUAUGUAUAACCAAUAUUAGACUUUUUGAAACCGUCCCAAUCAUACUGGUUUCUCUUCGGUAUCGGUACAGUUAGGUUAUUCGGUAUUUUUUUUAAAUGUCAUACAAAAAUCAUUAGUAGAAGUAGAAUGCAUUGAUAUACAUACUUUUAUAGAACUUAGCAAAACUCUCAAGAUAUUUUUACAGUUUAAAGGAUUAUGAAUUAAAAAAAUAUGAAAGAUGGCUAGAGUAUAGAUCCAUCAACUACCCUACAACAACGUAAAAGAAACUAACCAAAUAAAUAUAAAGAAAAUAUAAAGCACUCGAGUGGAAAGAUAUUAAUGAAGCUGGGACUGAGACUCAAGAAUAAAGUCUAUAGAAGAUUAAAUAUUCAAAAAGAUAAUUUUGAAUCAUACGAAAUAAAACGUAAUCAAUACAUUGUAGUUUGCUACUCAUAAUCGCAACAAUACCUUGUAUCUUGCUAGUGAAUAUGCUGGAAAUAAUUUAGUUUCAACGAGAGUAACAUUAUAGGUUUGGGAAUUAGAUUUUGAGUUUAUUACCUUUUGGCUUGUAAUUGUUUUCAUAGUUCUAAGACUCAAGGAAAUUUUAUUGUUUUAUUAUUUUUAAACUUAAUAUAUAAAUAUUUUUUUCACAUGUAAAUUUAUUCGGUACGGUUCGGUAUUUUUUCAGUUUAUUUUCAUAAAAUAAAAAACUUACCUUAAUUAUCGGUACGGUUAUAGAUUUACACAAAAAACCUACGAUUUAUUAAAGAAACCUAAAAAUCGGUUCGGUACGGUACGGUUCAGUCGGUUUUUAGAUAUUCAUUGACAACCCUAGUGAGGAGUUCGUAAAAAUGAUUGCAUUGGGUUGUCUACUUUUUUUUUCGGUUAAGGGUCAAAUAUAUCCUUGUACUAUUAAAAAUAGGCCAUAUUUAUCCUCCAUUUGNNNNNNNNNNNNNNNNNNNNNNNNNNNNNNNNNNNNNNNNNNNNNNNNNNNNNNNNNNNNNNNNNNNNNNNNNNNNNNNNNNNNNNNNNNNNNNNNNNNNNNNNNNNNNNNNNNNNNNNNNNNNNNNNNNNNNNNAAACCCCCUUCCAUAUUUUUUAGUAGCACGUGGCAUCUUAUGAUUGGACCAGACCACCUGCCCCAUUCUUUAAUUAGACCCCCCCUGACCCAAAUGUUAAAUUAUGACCCAGCGUUAUAUUCGGUCUAUUUUCCUAAAAGCUCGUGUGAUUUUGCUGUUGAUUCGCCAUUCCCAAUCCACGACCAAACGUCGACCACCACAAAACGACCCCAUUGUCCCAAACCAACGAGAACCUUCAUGCCCUAAACGACUUGCUGCAUUCUUCACCAUGUCACGCCAGCCAUUCUCGUUGCGACCAGCCACCCUCGCCUGAAGCCAGCCCGUCAGUCCUUCACAAAACCAGUCAACCUCCCCCAUGUCCAAGCAACCACAGCUUCGUUGAACCACCAGUAGCCAUCUCAACACAUCCCAUCAACCAACACAACUUCAUCCCCUUCACCACUGGAAGGACGAAAUUUCGCUUCGUCAAUGGUGCUCGUUUGAAGCUCGUGGAGAGCUCGUUAGCACUAUUUGUGGGGUCUGUUUCAGUUGUGUGUCGAGGUAAAUUAUGACCCAGCAAAAUCGCCCGAUUGGAAAUGGGGCUUGUUUUAGGAAAAUAGACCGAAUAUAACGCUGGGUCAUAAUUUAACAAUUGGGCCGGGGCGGGUUUAAUUAAAGGAAUGGGGCGGAUCGUCUGGUCCAAUCAUAAGAUGUCACGUACUACUAAAAAAUAUGGAAGGGGGUUUUAACGGCUGAGGGAUAUAUAUGGCCCUAAUUGUCUGGUCCAAUCAUAAGAUGUCACGUGCUACUAAAAGAUAUGUAAGGGUGUUUUAACGGCUGAGGGAUAUAUAUGGCCCUAAUGUAUAAUGGUGGAGACAUAUUAGAUAAAAAAUUCAAACAGAGGAUAAAUAUGGCCUAUUUUUAAUAGUACAAGGAUAUAUUUGACCCUUAACCGUUUUUUUUUGCUUCAUCAUAUUUUGUUAUGUAUAUUCAAAAGAUUUAUAACAUUUAUUUAAAGGUAUCCCAAGAAAUACUUGUAGAUCUGAUAUCUUUAGGCUUCAUGGACAAUAACAGACAUGCAUACGUUUUUUGUUUGACCACCUUCCUUGUAGAGUUUCUCUAACUUUUGAUAUUGGCCAUGUUCUCAAUGGAAAUAAUUAUUUGACAAUUACAUGUCAUUGGAUAGAUGAUAUUUUGAAAAAGAAUGACCCCUUCUACCCCAUACAAUUCUACCCUUGAGGAUGAUAUUUUGAAAAAGAAUGACCCCUUUCUACCCCUUACAAUUCUACCCUUAAGCUAAAUUAUUUCUAAAUUCAGAAAGAGGUAAUUUUUUUUGGAACGAACGAAAAAAGGAAAUAGGCUCACAUAAAUUGGAACGGAGGGAGUACUAUUUGCGAAGUUGUCGCAUUUUACAAUCUCAAAUAAAAAAGUAUAGUGUAUGUCUUUUGAUAAUGCUUCUAACAUUGAUGUCAUUAUUUCACUAUUAAAACUACAUUUGCAACCACCACUUGAUGAUAUCUUUCAUUUUAUGUGUGCAUGUCAUUUUUAUAAUUUAAUUGUUAAAAGUGAUCUUGAUUUAUUUUCGACUGAGAUUACUCAUGUUAGAAGAGUAGUUGGUGUUAUUCAAGGAAAUAAUAGAUAGUCUAGAAUUAGGGAAAUUAAGGCUAAGUGUACCGAAUAUAACCUUAACCCCAGAUUCAUGCCGGAUGAAAUUGUUACUAGGUGAAAUUAUACAUACUUAUUUUUAAAAUGUUGCUAUAAAUACAAAUUGCCUAUAACUGAAGUUGCUAAUACGCAUUGUACUGAUCCAACAUGUAUGUUAAGAAUUCAUACAUGGGCGGCAAAGAAUGAUGUUGUUAAAUUUUUACAUAAAUUUUAUAUAGCUACAAUUGAGCUUUCUGAAGCUUAUUACCCUACUAUAACUAUAGUUUUAGUACAUAUAACUGAAAUUUAUCUUCUACUCUCUGAUUUCAAGAAGAAAAAUACAAGGAUGCUGCUGAAAAAAUGCAAGUAAAAUUCAAAAAUAUUUCAUUCCAAUUCCUCUUGUUUACUUAAUUGGUUUUGUUUUAAAUCCUUCUAUUAAGAUAUCUAAUUGUUGCUAAUUUAUCAAUGUUUUAUAUACUUAUAUGGAGAUUGGACAGACUAAAACCCCAUAUAUAUAUUCUUAUAUGAACAAGCUAAAUGAUUAUUUACAAUAAUUAUAUAAUUAUUACGCAAAUUUAAUUGACAAUGCUGCUAAUGAUGUAGGAAAUGUUAAUCCCACUUUUCAUUGUACUACUUCUACUUCAACAUCUGCUAUUAUGGAUGAAGAUGAAACCUUGAUGGUUUUAAUUUUUGGUGUACAUUUCCUUCCCCUCAACCCAGUAGCAGGAACAUUGAUGAACUUCAAUUCUACUUGCAAAAACAAACGGAGCCUUGCACAAAGGAAUUUUCAUUAUUGGCAUUGUGACAUGAUUAUGAAAAGCAAUUUACUGUUCUUUCGGCAGUGGCUCGGGACAUGUAAAUGUGUCAAUUUCAAUCGUUGCAUCAGAGAGCGCAUUUAGUCAAGCAAGACAAUAGCUAGAAGACACCCGUAACUCAUUGGGAAGCAAUUCUUUGGAAGUCCUAGUAUGUUUCAGAAAUUGGAUUAGAUCGAAGCGAAGAAAUCAAGGACGUGAAGAUGUUGAUAAACCAAAAGACGAGGAACUUGGAAAUAUAUUGACAAAUGGUAACCCAUCUAAAUUCAACACUCCAGAAGAUUGCCAAGAAGUUCAUAUUGACUAUGAAGAACUUACUAGGGCAAUGCAAAAUCUUUGAAGUUUGAAGACUAUAUUUAAUAAAUUAAAUUUGAAUUUACCCUUUUUCUUUAGUUUAGUUGUUGUUAAAUGUAAACUUUAAUUUGCAAAUUUAAAUUACAAAAAGAACUUGCAAAUUAUAAGUUAAAUUUUUUGCAUGUUCAUUGUAUUAUCUUAAAUUCUUAAUGAAAUAUUCAAAUAUAAUACUUUAAAGCCUUUGAAGUUUUUAUUCAAACAUUCUUUUAGUAAGUUAGUUUUUAAUGUUUUACAUUUUUACUUUAUCUUAAUAUAAAUUACGAUUGUUAUACAAAAUACAAAAAAAAAAAAAAAACCAACCCGGCCAAUUAGGCUAGGUACCGUUCCGGUUCACUUUUUCACCGGCUAAGACCGGUAAUUUAAAACCGGUAGCCGGACCGGUACCAAGACCGGCCGGUCUCAUAUUCCUCUAGCCCGGACCGGCCUGGCCCCCUAACACCCAUAGGUUAUAUUGUCAAGACAUAUACUUUCUCCACCGUGUCCAACUUCGGAGGGGUUUAAAGCUAGACGUGGAGAGGUUGCACCACUCACUCUUAGUUGUGGACCAAACAAAUGACUAACCCAUACCCUUCGUUCUGCCUCUCCCAUUUUCACCCCACACAAAAUAUAGUGUAGAUGUGUCUAUAAGCUUUAAUGAGCUUGUGCAUACUUACUUUGAAGAAAGCUUCAAGGACUGGUCGAAUCACUUCUUGAACCUCAGCAACAAAUUCAGGUAAAGAGAACGACCUUCACAAAACAUAUUUCAAAUUUCUUAAACAAGCCAAAAAUGAUAAUGGAAAAUCAAGCAAAAGAAGGGUGUAAUCAUACGGAUCUCUGCGGCGAAUCUCUUUAAAUGACAUUGCAGCUGAUGAUUCUCCCCCCACAGUUUGAUUUAAACUGUAACAUUAACAUGGAAAUUAUAAGCUGAUCUUAAGUUGACCUCUACCCAGAACAUAGCAUUAAAAUUUGAAUGUGUAGCCAUACUCUUGGAGUUUGUGAACUAAGGGAUGAUCACUUGUUUCCCAUCUCUCACGAAAAUCUUCUGCAAUCUGUCAUUCGGCCCAUAAAUAUCUGAGAUAACUUCAUAUUAAAUUAAAUCCAGAUUUACUACUUCUGCUCUUAGCUAAAAGUUUUAUGCUAAAGCAAAUACCUAUAAACACAUUCCAGAUAAAGCCAAGUAUAUCCUCAUUGGAUCAAAUAUAACAGAGGGAAAAAAGUAAAUGAAAAUUAUUACCAGCAGAAAAGAUAAAAUUCUACUGAGAAUCUGAGAACUACCUCCUGGCUUCUUGUUACAACAGGUUCACUCAUGCCAGUGAAGCGCUUAAAGAGAGGGUGACCUUGCAUCUGAGAAUAAUAAAAACUCGUGGAAAAAUAAGGAUUACAAAAGGCAAAAGACAAGUUCACCUGCAUUUCAACAGGGACUAAUAAGUAAGAUAAUUACUUUAUCCUUGAAUGCCUCCCAUUUCUUAUUCCAUUUCGAUUGCUUUGAUGGUAAGACAGCAACAUCGGUCCUUGUGCUUCUCUCAAAGUUUGCUGAAGUUUCUUGCGUGGGGGCAGAAUAUUCGAGGCGCUUUCUCUUACCUGGAGUACCUUUCAACUCAUCCAAUAUGAUGCCAUAUCCCUUCUUGGCUAAGUCAAUAGGCUUUGCUUCUUUCAUUUUCUGGAAGGCUGGUGACACUUUUGAUGAUAAGGAUGAAGCAGCAGACUUAACCUUGCUAUAAACUGAUUCUGCACUAUCACUGGAACCAGAUUCCUGCUGUUCCUGUUGAUUUUUCGCUGAUGCAGACUCACUACUCUCAUGGGUAUUUGAACUAGAAGUGUGUGAAUAACCACUUGAUCCUGGAGCUUCUUGCUUCCCCAUCCCAAAACUAUCUUUGACCUAUAUACAAAUCAGGGUUAACUAUCAUCUCUUUAAAGAGUUGACCAUAAUUGGGAAAUGUGCUAAGAAGAGCUAGGUGAAAAUUUACCAACCUCCACUUUAGUAGCAGAAAUUUUUUCCUCCACAUUGGAAAAAACCUACAAGAUAAAUUACAUAAACUCAAAAGACAGUGACUAGAACUUAAUAGUUUUGAAGGAACUUUCAUGAUUCGGAGAUUGAAAGAUCAAUAUCUUCGUUCAAGUUCUUGGAAAAGAACUCAGCUACCACACAAGAGGAAGAUACAAUUAGAUGGAAUAGUGACAGGAAAAAGCUACACAUGAUAACCCAAUAUAGAAGUCUCAUGUAUUGCUGCAUAGCAGUGCCUGGUGCUUGACACAGGAUAACCUAUGUAGAAGACUUUUACAAAUAAUAAUAUUGCUAAAUAAAAGGGGCAAAACCCAUGUACAAAAGGAUCCAGCAUGAAAGAGAUGAUACAUCUGUGAAACAGACAUUGGAAUUGUGAGUCACGACUCACCUAUUUAUUCACUGGAAGGCGAAGGAGUUGUGGGACAUGCUUUUCAACUUGCUUUUUACUAAAUAAAAGGGAAAAAACCCAAUAUACAAGAGGAUCCAGUAUGCGUAAGAGAUGAUACAUGUGUAAAAACAGAAGCGGGAAUUGCGAAUCACCUAUUUAUUCCCUGGAAGGCUGCAAAGGCGUUGUGGGGCAUGCUUUUUAAAUUAUUUGUAAUAGAGAGGCCAUGCACAAAUCUCUAAAAGCAGUCUAUAGCUGCUGACAGGGAGAAAAAAAGGGAAGCCCAACCGCAAGAUAUGGGGAAUUGUACUAGCAUGUAUUACACGGGCAAAAUGAAGGAGAAAGAAAUCAAGGAUGUUCGCAAGGUGUAUACACUCCAUUAUACAUUGAAAGCAAAAUGACUAGUUAAUCUAACUUGGUGCAAUUAAAAGUUUGUAAAAGAUGUAAUGACUGGACUUCAUUAGCUCCCUUCAUUUUUAAAGGGAGGCGGAGGUGCUUUUUUACUAAUUGCAUUCACUGGAUCCCCAUUAACAAAAAAUUUAAUAUUUUAUCAGAAACAAGGGCAACGGAUUAACAAGAGUUAACUUGGGAUACCAUCCAAAUACCUAGAAGAAGCUUUGCACAGCCAUGAACAGCUGCUAAAACAGUCUUGAAGAAACCAAAUGCUUGGCAGCAUUCAUUUGGGAUAAUCUCAUUCAUGAUUCAGCAAUCAAAUAUUAGACCAGCACCAGAGAAACUGAUGGAGAUUGCACUAUUACCUUUUUUGCCGUAGCUUCAGCCUCCGUCCAAACACCAUCCACAUGCUUGUAAAGCUGCUCAGUUGUCUGCUUCGUUCUGCAUUCGCCAGUUCACCAUUUCAGGGUCCCCAUUGGAUGUUCUGCCAGCCUUGACAUACAACAGUAUGUCUCAGCCCCUUAAGGAAAAGGCUAAAAGUACUAUAAAAUAUAUUUACAGGAAAUCUAAAAGACACCUUGUUUUAAGAUCUUCCUUCACCCCUUUCAACUCCUCUGCUUUCUCUUUCAGUACCUUGACUGACUGUUGGAAUUCUUGAUUUCUGCAGCCAUAAGCAUUAAGGAAUAAGCCCAAUGACACCCCGAAUAAAGCAACAACAACAACAACCCAGUAUAAUCCCACUUAGUGGGCUCUGGGGAGGGUAGUAUGUACGCAGACCUUACAUACAUUUAAGUAGAGACUCCNNNNNNNNNNNNNNNNNNNNNNNNNNNNNNNNNNNNNNNNNNNNNNNNNNNNNNNNNNNNNNNNNNNNNNNNNNNNNNNNNNNNNNNNNNNNNNNNNNNNNNNNNNNNNNNNNNNNNNNNNNNNNNNNNNNNNNNNNNNGUACAACCUCUCGGUUGGAAAUGGGGGUUGCUUACCAUCAGAACAACCCCUCUUGUCUACACCCCCAAUGAAGCAUUAGCGCAAAUAGAUAGAGAGGGCGACACAAACAGUUAAACUUUUACUAGUCAUAAAAUUGAGAAAUAAGUGCAUUCUCUACCUUCUCACUUCUAAAGAUACCAACAAGUCCCCAUAGUCCCAUACCACCCACCCAAAAAAAGGGAAAGAAAGAAAAGAACAAAGAAAUGCUCAGAAUCAGGUUACUCAUACUGCAUUUCGACAGAUUUUCGAAAGAGUUUAGUGCAGCAGAAGUUUAAAACAGUGCACCAAAUAUGUUCAGAAGAAUCAACUACUACUCAUUAACAAAUUUAGAGUAAAAGUUUGCCAUCAAAGUGUUCCAUAUGAAUAAAGUGGCACGAGCAUAGCAAAAUUUGUCCAACAAUUGCAACUCCUGGAACAAAAUGUAAUGAUUUGAAGAGAGGAUUAAGGCUAGGAAGAUCAUUAGUGCAAAAAAGAGAAAUGGAGUAAAAUAUGACAAAAGGAGUUAACAAUACUAUAUUGUACUAUAGAAUAGUCGAUGCUUGUGGGACAUAAAAUUACAUUGAAAGGAUUACGAUUGAUGGCUUCAAAGUUUCAUAGGAGAGAGACAUUAGAGAAGGAAUAAUCCUAUAAAUGCAAGCAUUUGUACAUUGAGAAGAAGAUUUGAAACCACAGCUGAAUAAAGUUCCCUUUCGAACUAUUAGUUCUGAUGAAAGGAAAGCGCUUGCAAGACCUUUUAUCAUGGAUGAAAUGAUGGAGGAAAUGAGGAUUUGUGGGAGAGACAAGGCACAUGAACCUGAUAGUAAACCUAAUUCAGAUAGUUUGCAUCUUAUCAAAAAAAUGAAUGGAUGACUUUCAUAUGAAGCAACUAGCCCUUUACUGAGUACGCAUGCAAACAGGGAUUAUGAAGAAAAAAGACGACUAAGGCACGGGAACCUGAUAGUAAACCUAAUUCAGAUAGUUUGCAUCUUAUCAAAAAAAUGAAUGGAUGACUUUCAUAUGAAGCAACUAGUCCUUUACUGAGUACACAUGCAAACAGGGAUUAUGAAGAAAAAAGACGACUUCACGAGAUUCACUGGCUUCGCCAUUGGAAAUGGCUAGGUUUGGUUGAAUAUGUGGCAUUAAGAUGCAAUCUAUGUCCACUGAUGUUAGCUCUUGCUAACGAUAGGAUGCACUAGUGGGCUUGCAGCUGACAUGAUCAUAGAAAUCAUUCAAGGAAAUUACUGGAAGUUUAGCUCGUGGAGAGCUAUUCAGAUUGACUAUCCGAGGAAGUGGAAGUGUCCAAAAAGAUGUUUUACAGUUACACUGAGGAGGAAUGCGGGAAGGCUAGGAUGGUAUAAAGAGGGUCUGCAUGUAUAUUUUCAUAAAACUCUUAUUCCUUAUGUCUACCUAAUUGAGGAGAUAAGAAGACAGGGUAGAAAGAGAUUUUAAUACUAAAGCACCGACGAAAGUUGCAACUUUUACGUGGGUGUGUCACUGGGAAUGCAACACUUACAAAGAUAAUCUCAUAAAGAAGAAAUAGAUUUCUUUAAAGUUGGAGAACUAUGUGCCAAGGGCUCCGAGCAUAUGUUGUUAACUAGCUGUAACACUAUAGAGUAGCUUCAUAGUAUUUGGCAGUUGAGUUUUCUCAAUGUAACGUUGAUUGGGCAGCGGGAACCCCAAAGAUAGUUUUGGAGACUAUGGAAAGAUGGAGAAUUGGGGAGUAAAGAGGCUUGCACCCAAGCAUCCGUAAUGCUUUUCCUGGAACAUUUGGAACCAAAGGAACUGGAGGAUGAAUCCAAGCAAACUUGAUACAUAUAAAUAUCUCGUUUUUAACUAUAUAUACUUAGGCGUGGAGAAUUCCUUUGUGUAGAUAGAUGGGUAGGCUUUAAGGGAGAUCAAAGUACCUACAUAACCCAAUUUUUUUAUAUUUGUGGCGCACCUUUGCGAAUUAAUGAAAUGAUGUCUGAUUUAUACAAGAAAUAUCUUAAUAGCAACUCCUCCAACCAUGACUUUGAGCUAGAUAUAGCAAGCCCAACAUUGAUCAUUACAAAAAGGAACUUCUAAUUUGCACCCAAGGAUGUGGCCUAGCGGUCAAAGAAGUGGAAAGUGAAUAGGUUGAAUCUCAACGGAGGCAGAAACAACUAGGUGAUUUCUUGCAAUCUGCCUAAAGCAGAGUUACCCGAUACCUAAGUAGCAGGUACACGGUAGAAUUAGUCGACCAUGUGCAAGCUAACCCAGACUCUACUGUCCUUUAAAAAAGGAGCUCUUAAUUCUCAGUAUUAAAAUUUCCCAGCUUGCAUAAAAUCACUUUUUUCUUCUUUCUACCAAUAUCCAAGAAAAAAUUGGUAAAGCUACAAUCUUUCAACUUAAAAAAAGAUAACUAAGUAAUAGCUACAGCAUUGAAUAAAAAGCAAUACGAGAUAGCAAAUAGCAAAUACCUAUCAACUUCGCCUUUAACCUUCUUGGAGAACUCAUUGAAUACACCAAAAUUACGAAUGCCUAGAUAAUGCCUAUCUGCUCCAACCAACCUCAAACUUGUUGCAACUCUACCAUAAACCACCUGUACAAACAUAAAAAUUAAAAAAUAAGAAACUAUUUUUAAAAAGCAAACAAGACCCAUUAAACACAAAUUCAAUAGCUUCACAAUCAAGAAAGCAAACAACACCCCCUCCCCCAACAAAGUACCUGUUGUGGUGCUAAUAUUCGGCGGAAAAUAGGUUGUUCAGAGGUAAACAAGUCCCGCACAAGCUUUCUGCUGGUCAUUUGGAGGCCUUUAUCCUGUUUUUCUGAAGAAAAACAACUUCUCUUCUUCCUGUGUCUUAACCUACGAAGGUCUGUAGUAAGCUUUGUCUUCGUUUCCUGCCCUAAUAGGAGAAUAGGGGUUUGGGCCGCACGAUAAGCACCAAAAAGUAACCACGAUUUAUUAUAUUUUUAAAAAGAAUUAUAUACUCCUCCAUUUUAAUGUACCUGUCAUAGUUUGAUUUAACAUGCAAUUUAAAAAAUAAAAAAAUAAAAAAUUAAUUUGUGAUAUUAAAUAUGCCAAUAUUUGAAUAGUUAUAAAAAGUUUCAUUGAAAAUAAGAUAAAUAUUUUAAGGUUAACUUAUUGUUAAAUGUAAAAACAUAUAUUAUUUUUUUAAAUAAUAAAAAAAUGUAUCAGUUGAGGGAGUAUAAUUUCAUGAGGAAUUUUUUAGCAAAUCUCAGUUCACUUGAUAAAUUACUCCUCCUAUUUCGAAAUUCGAACGUCGGCUUUCCUAAGGGGAAUUGUUGUAUUAUACGUAUAAUUUUGCGAACUUUGUAUAGUGUUUUGACUCAAAAGUUAUUAAAUAUUUUUUAAUCAAAUCAAUCAAAAGAGAUGAAGGGUUAAAUCAUAGACACUAUUACUUAAUACCGGAUCGAAAGACAAAAUCGAAACAUGAAAAUAUUCGACAGAAAUAACAUUAAAGGAGUUUCAUUGAUUAUAUGAAUAUACCAUGCCUCUCCUUGAAGAGGUACAGAAAAUUACAAUCAUAUUAUCCCAUUCAUGGGUGGUCGAAAAUAGAUCUCCCCUUGCCUGUAGGUUCAAGGUUUUAUUCAUGGAGUUUUUCUAUCCCCUUUUCAGGUUGUCAGGGUAAUGGAGAAGGACGCUAGGGCCGCAACCCCCUUUCAGCUCUUUUUCCUUGUAUUUAUAGUCGAACACAUCUUGAGCUUAUCAUGAUUUAUCAUGGUUAGGUCAGGGAGGCGUUCUUUUGUCGUCGAGGGGCCUUGGCCUUGUUGCUGAUAUCAUAAAUAAUAAUAACGAGUCGGAGUCGAACGUGUUGGCUAUUUUCAUAAGAUGAUUCGGACAGGGUUAUUCUCGUCGAGGUCGUGUGGUCAGAUUCUGGCCAAUACAGUUAGUCCCUCCGUUCGUGGGGAUCGUGCCUUGCCGACUUCGGCGGACUGAUCAUAUGUAUUAUGUGGUCGGGAAGAGUCGGAUUCGCAUUUUGUUCCUUAAGUCGCGUUAUGAAUUUCGAAAUUGCCCAGAGGCGUCUCUCUAGUAUUCGUGUACCAUCACGACGGUUUCGAAGCUGAAGCAUCGGUUGGUAAACAAAACGUCCCUUCGUGCAGGCAGUCAUAAUGGCGCACGUUUCCAAUGAGUUGAGCCGUUUCACGCCCGGUCAGGUUCUAAUGGCGACUAUUGGAUUUCGUGCUCGAAGAAUUUAUGUCUUAUAAAUUGGAGAAAUAUGUCAUUUGCUUUUCACAUUUCAUCGCUCAUCUUCGAGAGAAUUUCCAGAAUAUCUCCCUUUCUUUUAAUUUGAGCCUUUCUUUACUCCCUUGAUUGCGAUAAUCUUCAAUUUGUAUGCCUCUUCCGUGAAGUUCUUUCUUCUCUUUUUUGUGGGUUUAAGAUGGCAAGAACCUCUUCCCGUGAUAAUCCCCCGGCUACCCCUCUGGCAGCUGAGAAUCCUGCUCCGGUAGCCGGAGACACGGAACUGAUAAAGAGCGAAGAUGUUCCUUCGGUGGAGGAAAUUUUAUCCCGCAUGUGGAGAGAGGUGGCGGACUUCAGCGCCGAUGGCGAGGAAGAGCCGGUAGAUAUUUCUCCUCUUUUAGGGGAAGUAGGGAUAGCAGGUUUAAGGGAGCAACGGGUAUUCCCAGUUAUGCCGAUAUGGUGUCGGCGGGAAGAGACGAUCAUGUCCAAUUCGACCGUCCCGGAUUCUGUAUGUUCUAUGCUUACCCUUUCCUUAUAGAGUACACACUCCCGUUUCCCCUGUCGGUGGUCGAUUUCUGCCGUUAUUACGAGGUAUGUCCUGUCCAGCUCUCCCCUUACCUCUACAAGUUGUUUCUCAUAUUGAUCAAAUAUGCGGAGUUAGCCAGUCGUGAGAUCACUCUGAUGCACGUGCUCAGCUUGUUCGUUCCCUAGAAGAUUCGCAGCAUGCUGAUACAUGCGCGCCCUCGGGGGUCGAAAGUCUUGGUGGUAAAGCUGGAUGAUAGGACCAAUCAUCGCUUUUUUGGAAACUUCUUUUAUAUGCUGACUGAGCACCUUGUGGCGGAUCCAAACCGGGUUCCCUGUGGUUUGGAAUUUUGCCCGUAAGCUUCUGCCCCCUUGCGACUAGUGGAGUACUCGGUUUGUCUAGGCCCUUACACAUUUUGUGAAGUGUAUACUAAUCUACUUCAUUGUUUUGUAGCUGAAGCUACCCCUGCCACCCUUGGAGUGGAUCCGAGAGUGGGUCGAGGCCAUCCUUCCCCAUACAGCGGGGGUUCGCACGUGGUCAGCCUUCCACGAGAGAUAUAGUCUUAGGCCCCUUACGGGUAAGAUAACGCCCUUAUUUUCUAUCCUCUCUUUUUUUUCUUAAUUUUGCUUCUCAAAUUAUCGUUUGUCGUUGUCAGAGAGAGUUCGUAAAACCAGAGCCCCUCAGCUAGCAUUCCACCAUCCGGCCACUUAUGUAUGCCUCAGUGCAGUAUUUGUUGCUCGUACUCCAUUGAGGUCAGCGUCGGUUGAGUUUGUUUCCUUGACCACUUCGACUCGAGCCGCAUCUCAAGGCGAGGUCCCCUCUGGUGCUAUCCUCCCUCAGAAUAACUCGCCGUCGACUAGGGAGAAAGAAGGGUCGUCGAAGAGACGAAAGGUGGGGUUCAAGAUGGCGCCCCCGAUUGUGAUCAAUUUGGAUUCUCCUAUAACGGGCCCAGAGAAAAAUAUUAUUGCAUUGUCUUCCACAAGGGUGGAGCGGGUAGUUGAUGUUGAUGCUGGUGUGUUCAGAGCCACGAGAAUGUAGUCGUUGUGGCGGUUCACUUUGACGUUCCUAUCGCGGAUAACACGGGACGUCCUACUGGAGUUGAUAGCCCAUCCCUUAACGCUUCUGUGGUGACCUCAAGCGCGUCUUCUUCAUCCGCGGCGGGUCGUGUUCCCCACUCGGCGGCUGAGAGAGGGAAAAGUGUAGUGGUUGAUGAAUACGAUUCUGAAUCCGACUUGGACCCCGAUGAUGUUUGGAUGUUUGAGGAGACCAUUACUCACUGGUUGGUACAUGCAUGAUGGGCGGCCCGUAUGAUCUAGAUCCCCUCCGAUGUGAAACUAUUGGCGCAAGGGGAUAACUUGGUGUCGUAGUUCACUGGGUUGUGCUCAGAAGCUGAGAAUGAGUCCAUGUGGAAUGUCGCGGACGCCGAAGUGAGGGACGAAGUGGCUGUGAUGGGCUUGCGGGUAUGUUAUCUUCGAUUUUGCUUUACUUUUCCUUCAUUACAGGACGAGCAUUGGACUAACUACUUUCUCUCUUUUUUAUUAGACAUACUUGUUGGAGGUGAAGAGCAUCCGCCGGGCCAAUAUCCGGCCGAGGAUUUUUUGCGGAUGCUGGAAAAGUUUCGUCGCUAUCACAUCAAGUGUCGUGAGUUGCAUGAGCGGCUGAGGACGGAUCCCUGCAACCGAGCUCUAGGCGUGGAGUUGGAGAAGAGAGAUUAGGAGCAAGAGUGAGCUUGAAGAACAAAUCCACCUCAAGGAUGAAGAGCUCGAGGUGGGUAAAAGGAUCGCGGCGGAAUGUGACCUAGAGCGAUGCAUUUGGAAAUGGAGCAGAGUUAGGUCACGGUUACGGAGAUGAGCAUCGAAUGGAGGGGGAAGUUUACCACACUAGAGAGCAAGGUUGCCGAGUUAGAGCGCAUGGAGAGGGCAUGGUCAGAUGCUUUGGCGAGGUCGACGGCUUUAGAGGAAGUCAUUCACGUGCACGAGUCCCAGGAAGAAUCAGAGAGAUAUACUGCAACCCUUAGGGAAGCGAGGCUCGAGGAGCAGAUCAGCACGAUCGAUCAGGAGGCCGAGGUUUUGGCAGAGCAAGUCGCAGCCUUGGAGGCAGAGAAUGAGCGGCUGAGGGCUCAUGCUGGGCUAUCUAGCGCUUUCGUUCCCCGUCAGACUCACGAGCUUUGGAUUUAUACAAAGGCCCAAAGGGAUAUUUUCAAGAACUUGUGGGAAGCGAGCACUAUGACCGAGGAUGCCUACUAAGAGGCCUGAAGAAGGCCCGUGCAGCUCGUGUCAACUAUGGUUAUGAUGCAGCGACUCCCGAGGCUGAUGGGUAUGUUGGUGAUGAUGAUGAGCCAUAUAGGGAUGGUGAAGAUGAAGGCGGUGAUGACGCCGAGUAAACAAAAAAUUGUCCUUUGUUUUCCUUUUUCAAUUUUGUUCGUUGAUUGGCGUUCGUUUGUUUCUUGCUCUUUUCCCUUCUUUUCUUUUUUUUCUUUUUCUUUGUUGACCGGUCUGGGCCGGAUGUAAGCAGUGAUAGCUCGCAUUCCUGACUUAAUAAAUGAUAAAUUCCCUUUUUUGCUACUGUCACACCUCCUUUUUCACUACACUCGCAAUGGCGUAAAGGAGUUUUUUCAAUUAAAGGACAAUCAGAAUUGGAUUUGGUUAUUAAUUAAUCAGAGUCGCCACUUGGGAGAUUAAUGGUGUCCCAAGUUACCAAUUGAAUCACGAACCGAAAAAAUAUUGACUCUGUAAUACAGUCCGCAAACCAAAAAUCCGGAUAAGGAAUUUUGUUAACCCUGGAGAAGGUAUUAGGCAUUCCCGGGUUCCGUGGUUCUAGCAUGGUCGCUUAAAUGUCGCGUGUAGCUUGUUUCCUUAUUUUAUUACAUUAAGAGCCUAUGUUCCAAUUUUACCUUUAAACCGCUUUUAUUUAAUAUGCAUUUAUAUUUAAAAGAAAGGUGAACAUCGUUUAAAGCGUGCCUUCGGAUCGCAUCACAUGAAAUGCACCCGCAACCCUAAGCAUACUCUAUUCAACGUUUUGGGAUUUGAUUUGGAUCGCAUGAAAUGCACACUUAAGAAGGUAAUUUUAUUAGAAUCGUGUCUAAAUGAGUCUAACGCGUUAUUAUCUUUUGGGAGGGCCAUGAAUUUCGCUAAACGGCCCUUCCCAAUUUUCUAAGUAUUUUCAAACCUUUAUUGAGGGCCCCCGCAAUUUUGUAUUUCAUUGGACGAGACUCGACUCAUUUUAUUUUUUAAAAAAGGCAAACCUAAGAAUAAUUAUAUUUUUCUAUUUUAAUUUUGUCUCUAAAAGAAAGAAAGGAUCCUAAUUAAUUUAUAUUAAAGUCUGAACUUCGAGUUCAAGUAUGGGUCUAGACCAAAGGAAGAACAUUUUAGUUUGAACUCGCUACCUAACUCAAAAUCCAAACUUUAUGUUAUUUAAACCUUGAACAGAAUUUUGAACUGGGCCCAAAUGGAUGGCCCAAAGAAACAAGUUGAAAGGAGCAGAGGCGGGUCGUUGGCUAGGAAAUCGAAUCCCCACGAUUACAAUUAGACUUAGUCAUAUUUGGGCCAAAGCUGUGGCCCAGGAUGAACAUCCGCAUCCAGACAUAUGUUCUAGCUUCAGCAGAUGGGCUUUAGGGCCUGCCCACAUGGACGAAGCCACACAGACUACCCAGGGGAUCCAAAGAUCGAACCCCCAAAACUAACAUUUAACACUGCCUAUAAUUAGCUAUAUUAAACGUGAUUUAUCCAUUUCACACAUUGAUCAACAACCUGCACACCUACUAGUUUUGAAUAUGAUUAGAACGAACCUAGAUGAAAAUUAAAUCACGAACAAUUCCUUAGUUAUCUAUUUAACUAUUGUCAUAGAAAAUGCUAUCACUACAUGCAUGUUACUCAAGCGUUUGAAUUAACCCAACAAAACAACUAAAAUUGACUACACAAAUACAUUUCACAGUUCAUUUAAUUACAAAAUAUUCAAAUCAUCUAACUUUCACUGCAAAGUACUGAAGAAGCAUUUACGUCUAAAAACUGUAAAACCAUAACUCAUUCAUAACCUCUAAUUAACAUUUACUAACCUUAGUACCAAACCUAAGCAUGCUUUGAAUCUAAAAAUUCUAAUUAUAAUUGUGAAAGCAUAAAAUGAUUUGAAAGUCAAUACAGUCCUAGCAGUCCUAAUAAUACAGAUAACAUUUAAUUUCUAUCAAACAUGAAUGUCCUACACAUUAAAACCAAAUAGCAACGACACGAAUUCCAUGAUCAACUCCAAUCAACACUUCACUUCAUUUCCAUAAACUGGUGCGUUAUAGAAUAUGUACCUGAAUAUUUAAAAUGUAAGAAUAAGAAGAAUAAGUCAGCAGCAAUCACGAGCAAGUAAUCAAAUGUAGCCUAGAAAGGUUCAAGAGCUCAGAAAUGAUUUUAAAACCCAUAGGAUCAAUGGACCAAACCAAAAUAGAUUCAAAUGCACCCAAAUAAUCUUCAAAUCGAACCCACAAUUACUUCAAACUUUCCAGCAGAUAAGAACUUCACCAAACUCAAGCUAAUUAGACCAAAUACUCAGAAUCCAACCAAUUACUCCCACAGAAACUCAGCAAACCAGUAUAAUACUAAUACUGAUGCCUAGAAUUGAAGCUGGCCUAAAAUUCCUAAUGAAUUUAUUUUUUGAGAUUUGCUUGUUUUUUUUUUUUAGUUUUUUUGAAAUGUAGAAUUACUACUUCAGAUCUAGAAAAAUUCUAAUGAGAGGAACUUUUUUCAAAAUUCAAAAAUGGUUGAAAAGAAGCCCUCUACACAAGGUAAAUGAGAUGCCUAUUUAUAGGUAAAUUCAGCCUUUAAAAUUACAUCCUGCGUCCCUUACUUAGUUAGUUUUUACCCCCUUUAUUUCCUAACUUGUCACACAAGUAGGUGCCUCACAUUCCCUAAAACUCUAAGUACACCCAUGUCUAGAAGCUUCUAGCAAUUCCCAAAUUCAACCCCUAAAUGAAAUUUUAAAAUUACCCAUUUUAUUAAAUAAUUAGACCAAGGAUUGAUUAACUAGACUAAACUAGAUUGAAGAAUAAUUGAUACUUAAACUAGUAGACUAACAGAGAAUACUAAACCAAUUCAUCUGAUAUCAAACAGAUUUGAAACCAUUUUAACUAAAAUCUAAAAUUAUUCAGCCAAAAGUAACUACAUAUAUUAGUCCAAAAGAUAUUGACAAGUAUCAAACUAACCACCCAAAUACGAAAUCAGAACUAGAAAAUCAGGAUUAACAAACUUAAACUAUCAAAGCACAAAAUCAAACAGCAUGCAAAACAAAAAAAUAAACUAACUAAGUUCCUAACUUCAUUCAAACAAAAUUACUAAACUAAUUAACGAACUUAAAAUAAUCAACAAACUAAAGCUAAACAAAAAUCAGAUAGGGAAUAAUUGAAAAUGGAAUUAAAGAGUUUGUUGAUUUUCAGAUUACUAAUUAUUGCUGGCAAAAUAAAACUAAAAUGUUACCACAAAAAAAAUGAAACAAGAGAGAUAAAACUCACUAAUGCAAAGAACCUCCGGCCAGUCAUUACUUCAAAGUUCGGCCAAUUCUGAUGACACUUGACUCUAAUGACGAUCAAAUCCUCACGAGGAAGGCCCAGGGAUCCUUUGACGUCAAUUGCAAGUGCUUUGGUCGUUUUAGGGUUUUUGUCGGAGAAAUAAAAACUAAUAUUCAAGCCCGUCCGACUACUUUUGAGACAAAAGGUCAUGGGGUUGUGUAGAGGAUGGUGUGACGAUCCUACGGUGUAAAUUUGGUGGGAUUUGGGAUUGGUAGUGUCGUGGCCGAACAAUCUUCUGAUGAAGAAUCGAGGGUCUCCGGUGAGAUUCGAGGGAAGGUAAUAGUGGGAAUGGGAGAAGGUGACGUUUACCGGCGGCGGCUCCUCCGGCUAAGUAACAGAUGGUACGAGGAAGGGGAUAUAUUGUCUCUAGGGUUAGAGAUUUUUUCAGAUAGUUAUAUUAAAAAACAAUAAUGAACCGUGGCUGUCAGAUUAACAAGGAUCAACGUCCGGGAUUAAGUCCCGGACCAAACGACGUCGUUUGGUAAUCUCUUGAUGCUCACCGGGUUGGGGUGGGAGUCGGGCCGGGGUCCGGCUGCGAAAGGUUUUGGGCCAACUCUGAGGCGGUUGGGUGGUCUGAUUUUUUUGGGCUGGAGAAAUUAAUUAUAGAUGGCCCAAAUUGCUUUUUUUUUUGUUUCUUCUUUUUUCAAAUUAAUUUCUUUUCUCUUUUCCUUAUUGUAUUUUAUUUACCUAAUAUUUUUUAUUUUUCUUGUCAUUUUUAUGAAUUUCUGAUUUUAUAAAAAUAUUAAAUAAAACUUUCAAACAAAUUACCACUAAAAAUUAGAUUUUCUAAUUAAUUCCUAAAAACGCAAACUAAUACGAAUUUAAGCUAAAAAUAUAAAAGUACCAUUUUUAUAUUUUCUUCCCAUGUAAACAAUUUUAACCUACUAAUUAACUCUAAACAAAUGAAAUUAAAUCCCACACAAAUGCCACAUAUGUUUUUUUAUAUUUUUCAUAUGAAUAAAAAUGCGCAAAUAAAAAUGCAACAAUUAUAAAAAAAAUAAUACAAAAUUCACAAAAUUGCAAAAAAAAUAAAGGAAUUAUUUUAAUUGAAUUUUUGGGAAUAAUUUCCCUAGGGCAAAAAUCACGUGCUCACAGCUGCCCCUCUUUGCCCGUAAACUUAAAGAGUUUUCGUGCAAAGACAAGUGAGCGGAAACGAGUGAUUUUUGCCCGUUUGCAUAUUCCGUGUGAAGCAUUUUUGAAAAGUUUGACCGCACCCAGCUUCAGAGGUUACCUACAUAUCCUGGGCUAAACAGAAAUCAGGUGUGUGUAGUUCGGGGGUGUCUGGUAGUCUGGGACUACCAGGAGGUGUGAUUUCACUUCUAUUGCUGUUGCUACUGCUUGCUGACCUCCCUUAUUACACCGUGUCAAAAGUAAAAGAAUCUAGCCUAAGCUAUAAACUAUGAAUUACAAAAGUCCUAUCUAAAAUCUUCAAACUUGUUCUUGUACCUCCUUGUUGUCUUGCAUUUUCCUGGUGAGAUCCAUUGUUUUUACUUCAAAUUGCUAACUGAGAUGUUGUUCCUUCUCUCCAAAUUUCUGAACUUGAAUAAUCUUGAACUUGAAUGUAUUCCUAUGUUAUCUGGGAGGGCUCCCAACUUCAAUAAAAUAGACAAAACAAAGAAAACUUUCUGCUCCAGUUUGAAAAACUGGGGCUAAUUACCAUAUAUUAAUGAGAAUUGAAAACUAAAAUUUAAAGACUGAAAUGUAUUCCCUUCUUAUAUGGGCGGGCUCCCAACUUCAAAACUUAAAAUUUAAAGACUUGAAUGUAACUUCAAAACUUAAAAUUUAAAGACUGGAAUAUAUUCCUCUAUUAUAUAGGCGGGCUCCCAACUUCAAACUUAAAAAUUUAAAGACUGAAAUACAUCACAAUCCCGCCCCAUUGGUGUCGAGUCCGUUGUGAGAGGCGCUUAAAAGGCCGUUAAGGCAUUAGACUCAGGGGUGAACCCACAGGGGAGGGGAGAGGUUGCUUCCUAAAAAGAACUGGGGUUGGCUCCUUGCCUUUGAUUCCUUACCCAUAGCAUAAGAUAAAGAAAGGGUGCGUGCUUCAACAUCUAAGUUUCACACAAGGAACCUCCUGCUCUUAAGGAUAAACUACGAUAUUUGAUGGACUGGCAGGUCAGCCACGUAAUUUAUCCCUCAAGCUGAACGAACUUGACCUGCUCAAACUUAAAAUUUAAAGACUGGAAUGUAUUUCCUCUGUUAUAUGGGCGGGCUCCCAAUUUCAAAACUUAUAAAUUUAAAGACUGAAAUGCAUAAAAACUUAAAAUUUAAAGACUGAAAUAUAUGCCUCUGUUACAUGGGCGGCUCCCAAUUUCAAAACUUAAAAAUUUAAAGACUGAAAUGUAACUUCAAAACUUAAUAUUUAAAGACUGAAAUAUAACUUCAAAUUUAAAUACUGGAAUGUAUUCCUCUGUUAUAUGGGCCGGCUCCCAACUUCGAAACUUGAAAAUUUAAAGACUAAAAUAUAACUUCAAAAUUUAAAGACCGAAAUAUAUUCCUCUGUUAUAUGGACAAGCUCCCAACUUCAAACAUGAAUUUUGUCCUAAACAUGCAAACUUUGAAACUAACUUACAUUUCCCUAUGUUAUUCCUCAUCAUCUUGUAUUUUAACUAUAUCACACUUGCGGUCAAACCUGAUUACCGCUUGUUUUCCCCUCAUGGAGGAUUCCUCAUGAACAACCAACUUUUCUGCCCAUGUUUCAAUCAAAGAAAAUUUCGUUAGUUUAAAAUGGUGUUUAGUUAAUGGCAUUCUUGCUGCAAAAUCCUUCCCCUGCAUUGCUUUGUGUGACUGACUUCCUCGAACUGACCCUGAGCUGCUUGACUUUAUGACUGAAUUUUAAGUUCCCCAACCUCUGACAACCUGAAUGUUUUGUACCCAUGUUGUUGUUUCACCUUUCUGACCCUUUUGUUUGAAACCUUACAGUUCCCACAACCUUUCCUAAUUAUUCCACCGAUGAAACUUCUAGCGACUUUCCAUACUCCACUUUGCAUCAUGUUGCUGUUGACACCCUCUGACCGCAUAUGCUUUACCAUUUUCGGAAGCUGGUAGUGAGCUUAAUUCUUUUACUUGCAUUGAACAAAAUUGGCAUUGAAACAUCUUAGAUAUAUAAAAAAACCCAAAAAUGAAAUCCAAUGAUUUUACGAGUUAAGGAUAAGAAUAAUCUAAAACCGAACGUAUACUUAAAAGGAAACAAAGAAAAGAAAAUUAUCUAACCUGAAUAGCUGGCACCAAUGUUCAUGACAUGCAUUUUGAACUAAUCGGCCCAAUCUGUCCAACUAACCAGCUUUUAGUUGCCAUACUUUAUUGCCCCAAAAUUUUCAUCACUUGAUUACUUUACCCAAACCUCAACCUUAUUCAUCCUGCGGUGCCUCGAAACAGUUUUCCCCGACAGACCUUUCUCAAUUAACCAUUUCUCAAUUUACUUUCACCUCAAGGUGCCCGCGAGGGUUUUCACCAAUAAGACUCUCUCAUUUAUUUUUUCUCUCAACUACCGUCGCCUUAUGGUGCCUGUGAAGGUUUUGAUCAAUAAAACUCUCUCAUAUUUUACUUUGUUCUUCUUGCCUGAACCAGAGUGUUGCCCAUGUCAUAAAUUACUUCUACCUGCUCAACUAGGCAUUUCUCAAAAACUUAUCAGAAGGUCCUUAUUUGGACCGUAAUGUAGGCUUUUGGAUGUUUUAGGAAAGAAGGGUAUAAAAGGCUCCGAAAUAAUUCAAAUGGGUUCAAAUUACAACUUCCGGAAUCCAAUUUCUUACGUUAACCACAAUUUCUGCCCCAAUUUCUUGCUUGGGGACUUUUGAAUUUUUUAUUUUGGUAUGACUGGACCUCAGAGAGGCUGCCUACGCACCCUUUUGGGAUGAAGUGAAACGUAUUUCACAUCAUAGAAACUACGUUGUUGUGUUUCUCUUCGUUUCUUUCUGUUUUUCUGUUCUUCUUUAUUCUUCUUUAUCUCUUUCUGUUUCUUCCUUUUCUUUUCUUUUCUUUCUCUUCUCCUUUCUUUUUAUUUUUCUCUUCUUCUUCUGUCAUUUUUCUUUUCUCUUCUUCUUCAUUAUUUUCUUUUCCUCCUUCUUUUCCUUUUCCUUCCUUCUUUUCAUUUACUUAUUUUUGACACUUGCAUUUCUUAUUUAUGUCAUUGAUUCCGAAAUAGGGGUAUGAAAGAAAAUAAAUACGGCUCAAAAUGAGUGACAAAGGAUAAAGUGUUUCAGGUAGCAGAACAAAACACCUUCAUCAUUUUAAUCUUCAAAAUAUGCCAAAUACAAAACAAGUAACAAAGAAAUCAUACAGAGUACCUCUUUACCACAUCGGAGUUGAUGGCCAUUUUACACAUUUUCCUUCUACAUCUGUUAGAUAUAAUGCACCACUUGACAACACUGUGGUUACAUCAACUGUCCCCUGACAGUUUGGGGCAAAUUUUCCUUUUGCUUCAGCCUGAUAAGGCAAGAUACAUCUCAGCACCAACUGUCCGACUUCAAACUUCCUCGGAUGCACUUUCUUAUUAUACGCUCCUGCCAUUUUGUUGGUACAAUUGGCCAUGACACACCGAUACUAACCUCUUUUCAUUAAUCAAACUCAAAUGUUCAAGGCAGGUGAAAUUGUCAUCAUGUUCCAACUUAUUAUCAUACUCAAUUUCUUGUAUUGCUACUUCAGCAUAAGACCAGCUUUCAAGACUGGGCCGAGGAUUCCUCAUGCAUGUCAUGUUAUUGAUAUCAGCAUAAAAAUAACUGUAUAGAGAAGAAAAACAAACUGAAACGAAAUUAAGAAUGAAUAAAAAAAAGACAAUUGCAUUUCAUUGAAGGAAAAGAUAAUAGGGUUUUACUAAUGCAAACGAACAGAACAUAGUAUUUGGACUAUAGACCCUGAAAUAAUCCAGAGAGCUUAAUGGAAAACAAGACCAACUACCAAGACUCCCAGUUGUUGACUUUUGCCCGUGGUCAGACGAACUGUGCAUUUGCCUUGUUUGACCCGUACCCUGCUUCAACCAUGUUUACCUCAGUGAAUAAUCUUCUAGACCCCUGUCCCGCAUCUCCAUCCGCACCACUCAAUGACCCAAGAACCUUUGAUGACAGUGGCUUGUUAUCUACCUCUUUCAACUGAACCACCACUUUCUCACUAGUUGGCUUUUCAUUCAAAUUGGUUUUGCUUAAACGAAUCAUCAUUACCGCUUGCGAAGGUUUCUUAGGCUUUCCUCCCUUAUGCAUCAAUUCAAUCACAUGAGCCUCAUGGUGAGCCGAAAGCGGAUUCUGAUUGAUAUCUAGUGUCUCUGGGGACUAAACCUCAAUUCGGUUAGUGUUAAUGAGCUCUUGCACAUCGGUCUUCAAUUUCUAACAUCUCUCAGUAUCAUGUCCGGAAGCCCCCGAACAGUAUUCACAGCUUACUGAUUUGUCCAAAUAUUUAGGAAGGGGAUUUUACACUUUAGGUUCGAUAGGGUUCAAUAGGCCUAGCUGCCUCAAUUUGUGAAAAAGACUGGUAUAUGACUCCCCUAGUGGCGUGAAUGUUUUUUAUGUUUGUACCCUUUCAUUCUGGAAGACUUGAUUCCCACGGAAACCAUAUUUUGGAGGAUUUGUGUAAGCCCUUGGGGGUAGAUAUAUGUUUUGUGGAGCUAGGUAUGAGUUUUAGGGAGCCGGUGCACGCCAUUGCGCAUGAACCGGAGGUUGGGUAUAGGUUUGAGCAUGGUGAACGAAAAAAUGUGGGUCUGGCGGUGGGUAGUAGUGUUAUGGAGGGCCAUAUGGGGUGUAUAGGAAAUUUGGGUGGUGGGGUUUGGGUUGGUAGUAGGGUGAAGGGCCUCUAGAUUUGGACCAAGCUCUGGCUUCGAUUGUUGCAACCUAUUCCUUCUUCUUUUUACCGAGCACACCCCCAAUGUCGCUUUGGAUGGCCUGGGUGGUUUCUUUAAUCGUUGAAUAGCUCAUAAUUUUAUCAAAUUACAAUCCUUCCUCGACCAUUGAUCCCAUCUUUACCACUUCGUUAAAGGAUUUCCCAAUUGCCAUCACCAGCUGACCAAAGUAAGUUGGCUCCAAAGCCUGUAAAAUGUAGUCCACCAUUUCACCUUCCCUCAUUGGAGGAUCGACCCUCGAAGCUUGUUCUCUCCAGCGGAACCCAUACUCCUUGAAACUUUCCUUAGGCUUCUAGGAUGAUCUCAAAAUUAUAUUGAGCCGGUGAAUGCUUGUGCUAGAUCAUCCCAAGUAUACCACCUGCUAUGAUAUUGGCAGGUAUACCAUUCUAGUGCAGACUCAUUCAAACUUUUCCCAAAGUAUGCCAUCAACAGUUCAUCUUUCCCACCGUCCCCUUGCAUCAUAGUACAAAAACCUCGCAAAUGUGCCACAGGGUCACCGUAACCAUCAUACAUCUCAAACUUUGGCAUUUUGAACCCCGUCGGUAGCUGAACAUCGGGGAACCGAUAAAGAUCUUUAUGCGCCAUACUGACCUGAUUGCCCAAUACAUGCUUAUUCCUGAAGGACUACUCCGGGAUUUUCAUUUUUUGAAGCACUUCUUCCUAUUAUGGGUUCUUAGUUGGCUUUUCAGUCUUUGCCGGGAGCUCAAUGUGAAGGGUAUAAGAGUACGGCUCAAGGGACUUAAAAGUAGGUUUAGGGGGAUAGUAUUGGUCAUCAUGUGUUUGAAACAAAGGCUCGCUGGAUGAUCUUUGUAGUGUGGCGGGUGGAGGUGCCACAAAUACAAGAGCGAUGAGUGGAGGAAGGUUUUGUUUGGGUGGUGGAGGUUGGGGAGCAUAGGAAGUAGUGUCAUAACCAUGUGUGUAGUACGGGAAGGCUGGAGAUGAAUUGGCAGCGGGAGGCUCCUGAACCUGAACCAAAGGCGGAAUAUACGAUGGAUUGGUGGGAUACACUGGCGCUGGAUGCCCCUGAGGCUAAGCCUGAUGCAUUUCAGCCAUUUGUUGUUUUAGUUUACGCAUAUCCUCUUUCAUAACGUUCAUAUCUGUCACCUCAACCUCUUUCAACGGGUCCACUAUAUCAACUUCCUCUCCAGUCAUUUCAACUUCUUUUUUGAUUGGGUGUUGUAGGAAUGGGUUGCCAGAAUGCCAAACAACUAACCACCUUCCUUGACUCACACAUUUAAACAAUAAUUCCGUUAGCGAUUAGGCUUUCACAGAUUGGAUAACCGCACAUUGGGCAUGGAUGCACAUAUAUAGUUUACGAUUUCUAUUAUGCAUUUGCUCGACCACAUGCGUCAUCCCGGCAUUUUCUUAGUUCCAACUGUAAACAUUCUCUUUUCUUUUUGUUUCUUCCUUCUAUUCUUUUCUUUCUUUCUUUCGAUCUUUUCUUUUUGUAUUCAAUCCCUUUCUUGUUUUUCUACUCUUACCUUUCUCUUUUAUUUCUUUAUUUUCUUUUCUUCUCUCUUUCUUGUUUUAUUUUCUUUUUCUUUUCACUGGGUUACGGUCAAAUCCUAUGGAGAUUACCUACGUAUCGUGACCCCCCCCACGAAUCAGACCAUGCGUAGUUCGUGAAAAUAAAUGCAAAAACAAUGAAAAAAAUUUUGGGAAUUUUUGAGUUUUUCAUUACCACAACAUUCUAUUACAAACUAAUCAUUUUAAAAGAGGAAAGUAACAGACUCCAACUAAACUCAAAUAUAGAAUCCAAAUAUACUAAUAAAGAUGUUGAUUCUGCAGCUACUGUAUUUCUACUUCCAUUCGGGCCAGUAAAUUAUAGCAUUUUCCACUUUCGAUCUCAAUAGCUUUGGCUUGCUUAGCUGCAUUAUCCUCAAGGGUGACCACAUUUCUCUUCAAAUUGGCAACGCUUUUCUCAAGAUCUUUCUUCAAUUGUUGCAAGUAUCGGGUACACUCUUAAGUUCUUUUCGUCCACUAUGCCUUGAGUCCUUAUAUAGUACUCUUGGAUUUUUCCAACUCAUCACGGCACUCACUGAUUUCAUUUUACAACCCCUUUAUGAAGUGCUCAUCCGACCGGCUCCUCGGUUGUAUACCAGCAGCUAUUCUCAUCUGCUGGAUUUGGUACCUAAGCGCCUCAUUCUCUUGGGCUAACCUAUUUUUUUCUCCCUGAUCAGCGGCGACUUGCACAUUGUUUUCAAAUUGCAGGUUCUCAAUCUGUUGUUUUAGUUUGCCUAUUUCUACCCUGUAACUUUCGUCCUUUUCUAUCCGACCCAUUGUUCUUGAAAAUCAUCCGUGAAUUGUUGGACAUAGGCUCUUUUAGUAGGCCUCUGAUAAAUCUGGAACCUUUUCCCAAACCAUGCACUGUACUUUGGGUCCACCUCGCUUUUAGCUAAAUUUCGCACCAUAGUUUUGGGCUCAAGGAAUCUUGCAUUCAUUCCACAACUUGCGAAUUUUAUCUUGUUGGAAUGUGGCUCUCGGACUUAACUCGAUGACAUACUUGCUCAAAUCUUCAUUUUUAGGGACAACUUUGAACCUUACGAAUUGGUGCAGCACCCGAUGGGGAGCAUAUGGUUGGAUUCUCCCGAUACCCAUUAACAAAAUAUAACAUUCUCCCGCUUCCAUGUAUACCAUCUCGGUAAUAGGUAUCCACCCGAAUGCCCACUCAAUUUGAUCUGCCGUUAGUGACCUUAGUCGUACAAACCAAUCUUUAGUUCCCUCAGGGAAUGCAACACUGUGCUUCUCAAAUUCUUCAAUGCAGCUUAAACCAGUCAGCCCAUAGGUCAUAUACCCCACUCGGUGGUAGAGAUGUUCUUGCAUCCACAGCUGAAGUAAUAAAUUGCAACCUUGAAAGAAACUUCCUCCCUCCUUUCUCACAGUCAAUGCUCGGUACAUUUCUGAUAAGAUUAGGGGAACUAUAGUGCUAUCAGCCCUCUUGAUUACGACAUCAACCGUCCCCACAAGACCUAUCUCUAUUUUCUUAUCUUUUUGUAGACAUACCACGGUUCCCAAGAAUGUCGUUAUGAAUGCCAAGGUGUGUCUUACUUCCUAUUUACUUCUGUUUCCAACAUGAGUCAGUCCCAAAUUUGGCUCUUCGAAACCCCGUGGAGUACCAUAAUGCUGAUAUAGGAACUGAAAAACACGACAUUUCCCUGACAAAUCAUCGUUGUGCACAGUCCGGAUAAUAUUUAGCGAAUCCAUAAAUCAGUGAUAUUGGCCUCGGUGACAAUAUAUAUUGACCCCUCAGAUUUCCAUUCAGCCCUGCAUAACCCGCGAUUUCCUCUAGCAUGGGUGUAAGCUCAAAAUCCGCAAAGCAAAAUACAUUAUGGGUCGGGUCCCAAAAUGGUAUUAAUGCCUCGACAAACAUCCGACCUUGCCCUGACAUUUAGGAGACCGACGAGACCUCCCAAAAUUCUGACCACUGUUUCUUUGCUACUUUUUUCCAAAUCAUUCCACCACAUAUGGAGCUGGAGGGGGCCCUCACUAAAGACGGUGAAAGGUUUAUUUUCAGUUGUGCUCAUCCUGCACAUUUAUUAAGGCGGUUAAAAGGAGUAAACUUUACUUGAUUCAAAACAAAGCUACUGUGUGGAUUAACCGGUCAACAUUCUAAAGGUGGCCGUUUAUGCAAAGUCAGCCUUCCGGCGUCCCUUUCGGGAGCAUUUGACUAUUUUCGGCAAAACGACGUAGCCUGAUUUAUUUACGACAAAUAUUAAAACUUAACAUUUUUGGCUAUUUUUGCAAAAGGGGAGGUUGAACCCGAUAAGGAUUGCUUACGUAUCUCACAUCCGUUGAGAAUCAAACCUGCGUAGUUCGGGGCAAAGAAAAUUGUCUAUUUAAAAAAAAAAAAUCUUUUUCCCUUUUUUCUUUUAUAUCGAACAACAAACUAUUUUUCUUUUCCAUUGGCAAUUAAAUUAUUUUAGAAACAAGAAAUCAAGACUUUUUUUCAUUUUUUAUGGCAAGACUAUUUUCCUUUUAUGUUUUUUGAAAACCAAACAAACUAAAAUAAAAGACUCUUUCCACUUAUUUUUUUUGCCUUUUGGGUAAAAACAAAUAAUUUAAAAAGUAAAAUAUUUUUUCUAUUUUCUCAAAAUUUCGGCAGUGUUCCGACAUUACUUGGGCAAUGGGUUUUCUAAAAUUGUUAACUAACUCUCCAACUGCUAUUUUUAUCUUUUUCUCUUUUUCUUAAAUUUUCAAAUUCUCUAACAUUCCCGAGAUUUUGAAGCUGGUCAACAUGCGGGUCCGAAUAAAUAAAUGCACAGAAAAAAUAGGAUGCAUCAAGAUGGCCUUUUUCAUUUAAGGUUGCUAUUCCUAGACGGACCCAAUCCUUGUGUUGAGUCCCCUAAGUAAAAAAUUCACAUGAUGCAGAUAAGCGUUCUACUAGGGAUCCAGCAUGAAGUUGAAUUAUUCUAGGUUCAGAACCCGGGUGUUUGUUCUAGACCCGGCUUACCCGAGUGGAAAGCUCGAGCCGAGGGGGAGGCAGUACCGGAAAUACAGAAGCUUCGCCAGCUUUGCAACUUAUCCAAACCUCGUUCUAAAUUGGGAAUUAUACACUAUACAGAAAGAAGUCACACGAAGUGCACCCUUCUUCAUGAUUUAGAAGACUCAGAGAGGAGAUGGGUUUCAGCACAGUUUCUAUACAGUUCACAUAAUAUCAAAGCGGUAAAAGCAGUCAAUUAGCAAUUAGGCACAGAUCAUGUAACAAAAUCAGAUAAAGCAAACACAACAAUUUAUCUAAACUCGAAUUCUUGAACCCUGAAAAAAAUGUUUUGGGUUCUUGUCCCAAGCAGAGUCGCGAGAGUUGUCACACCUCCUUUUUCACUACACCACAAGGGCGUAAAUGAGUUUUUCCAAUUAAAGGACAAUUGAAAUGAGAUUUAAUUAUUAAUUAAUCCGAGUUUCCACUUGGGAGAUUAAUGGUGUCCUAAGUCACCGAUUGAAUCCUGAACCGAGGAAAAUAUUGACUCUGUAUUACAGUGCGCGAACCAAAAAUCCGAAUAAGGAAUUGUGUUAACCCGGGAUAAGGUAUUAGGCAUUCCCGAGUUCUGUGGUUCUAGCACGGUCGCUUAACUGUCGCGUUUAGCUUAUUACCUGAUUUUAUUACGUGAAGAGCCUAUGUUCCAAUUUUACCUUUAAACCGCUUUUAUUCGAUAUGCAUUUAUAUUUAAAAAGAAAGGUGAACGUCGUUUAAAGCGUGCCUUAGGAUCUCGUCACGUGAAAUGCACCAAUAAUCCUAAGCAUACUCUAUUCAACGUUUUGAGAUUUGAUUUAGGUUGCAUGAAAUGCACACCCGAGUUUAAGAAGGUAAUUUUAUUAUAAUCGCGUCUAAAAGAGUCUAAUACGUUAUUGUCUUUUGGGUGGGCCGUGAAAUUCGCUAAACAUCCCUUCCCGAUUUUUUAAGUAUUUUCAAACCUUUAUUGAGGGCCCCCGCAAUUUUGUAUUUUAUUGGUCGAGGCUCGUCUCAUUUUAUUUUUUUAAAAAGGCAAACCUAAGAGCAACUAUGUUUUUCUAUUUUAAUUUUGUCUCUAAAAGAAAGAAAUGAUCCUUAUUAAUUUACGUUAAAGUCCGCACUUCGAGUUCAAGUCCGAGUCCAAACAAAAGGAAGAACAUUUUCGCUUGAACCUGCUACCUAACUCAAAAUUCGAGCUUUAUAUUAUUUAAACCUUGAACGGAAUGUUUAAAUGGGCCUAAAUGGCUGGCCCAAAGAACCAAGUUGAAAGGAUCAGAGGCGGGUCGUUGCUGGGAGAUCGAAUCCCCACGAUUACAAUUAGAUCAGCUAUAUUUGGGCCAAAACUAUGGCCCAGGCUGAACAUCCGGAUCCAGGCGUGUGUUCUAGCUUUAGCAGAUGGGCUUUAGGGCCUGCCCAUAUGGACGAAGCCACACAGACUACCCAGGGAGAUUCAAAGAUCGAACCCCCAAAACUAACAAUUAACACUGCCAUUAAUUAGCUAUAUUAAACGUGAUUUAUCCAUUUCACAUAUUGAUAAAUAACCUGCACACCUACUGGUUUUGAAUCUGAUUAGAACGAACCUUGAUGAAAAUUAAUUCACGAACAAUUCCUUAGUUAUCUAUUUAACUACUGUCAAACAAAAUGCUAUCAUUACAUGCCUGUUACUAAAGUAUUUGAAUUAACCCAACAAAACAACUUAAAUUGACAACACGAAUACAUUUCAAAGUUCAUUUGAUUACAAAAUAUUCAAAUCAUCUAAAUUUCACUACAAACUACUAAAGAAGCAUUUACGUCUGAAAACUAUAAAACCACAACUCAUUCAUAACCUCUAAUUAAUAUUUACUAACCUUAGUACCAAACUUAAGCAUGCUUUGAAUCUAACAAUUCUAAUUAUAAUUGUAAAAGCAUAAAACAAUUUGAAAGUCAAUACAGUCCCAUCAGUCAUACUUAUAUAGAUAACAUUUAAUUUCUAACAAACAUGAAUGUCCUACACAUUAAAACCAAAUAGCAACGACACGAAUUCCAUUAUUAACUCCAAUCAAUACUUUACUUCAUUUCCAUAAACUGGAGUGUUAUAGAAUAUGUACCUAGAUAUUUAAAAUGUAAGAAGAAGAAGAAUAAGUCAGCAACAAUCACGAGCAAGUAAUCAAAUGCAGCCAGAAAGGUUCAAAAGCUUAGAAAUGAUUUUAAAACCCACAAGAUCAAUGGACCAAACCAUAAUAUAUUCAAAUGCACCCAAAUAACCUUCAAAUUGAACCCACAAUUACUUCAAACUGUCCAACAGAUCACAACUUCACCAAACUCGAGCUAAUUAGACCAAAUACUCGGAAUCUAACCAAUUACUCCCACAUAAACUCAGCAAACCAGUAGAAUACUAAUACUAAUGCCUAGAAUUGAAACUAGCCUAAUAUUCCUAAUAAAACAAUAACGUUUUUUUUAUUUUUUGAGUUUUCUUUUAUUUUUUUGGUUUCUAAAAAAAUCUAGAAUUACUACUUUAGAUUUAGAAAAAUACUAAUUAGAGGAACUUUUUUCAAAAUUCAAAAAUGGUUGAAAAGAAGCCCCCUUCACAAGGCAAAUGAGAUGCCUAUAUAUAGGUAAAUUCAUCUUUUAAAAUUAACUCCUAAGUCCUUUGCUUAAAAACUAGUUUUUACCCGCCCCNNNNNNNNNNNNNNNNNNNNNNNNNNNNNNNNNNNNNNNNNNNNNNNNNNNNNNNNNNNNNNNNNNNNNNNNNNNNNNNNNNNNNNNNNNNNNNNNNNNNNNNNNNNNNNNNNNNNNNNNNNNNNNNNNNNNNNNNNNNNNNNNNNNNNNNNNNNNNNNNNNNNNNNNNNNNNNNNNNNNNNNNNNNNNNNNNNNNNNNNNNNNNNNNNNNNNNNNNNNNNNNNNNNNNNNNNNNNNNNNNNNNNNNNNNNNNNNNNNNNNNNNNNNNNNNNNNNNNNNNNNNNNNNNNNNNNNNNNNNNNNNNNNNNNNNNNNNNNNNNNNNNNNNNNNNNNNNNNNNNNNNNNNNNNNNNNNNNNNNNNNNNNNNNNNNNNNNNNNNNNNNNNNNNNNNNNNNNNNNNNNNNNNNNNNNNNNNNNNNNNNNNNNNNNNNNNNNNNNNNNNNNNNNNNNNNNNNNNNNNNNNNNNNNNNNAAAAACUCUUUUUUUCCCCCCCCCCCCCCCCCCCUUUAUUUUCUAACUUGUAACACAAGUAGGUGCCUCAUAUUCCAUAAAACUCUAAGUACACCCCUGUCUAGAAGCUUCUAGAAAUUCCCAAAUUCAGCCCCCAAAUGAAAUUUCCAAAUUACCCCUUUUAUUAACUAAUUAGACUAAGGAUUGAUUAACUAGACUAAACUAGAUUGAAGAACAAUUGAUACUUAAACCAUUAGACUAAUAGAGAAUAUUAAACCAAUUCAUCUGGGAUCAAACAGAUUUGAAACCAUUUUAACUAAAAUCUAAAACUAUUCAACCAAAAGUAACUACAGAAAUCAAUCCAAAAGAUAUUGACAAGUAUCAAACUAACCACCCAAAUUCGAAAUUAGAACUAGGAAAUCAGGAUUAACAAACUUAAACUAUCAAAACACAAAAUCAAACAGCAUUCAAAACAUAAAAUAAACUAACUAAGUUCCCAACUUCAUUCAAAUAAAAUUAUUAAACUAAUUAACUAACUUAAACUAAUCAACAAACUAAAGCUAAACCAAAACCAGAUAGGGAAUGAUUGAAGACGGAAUUAAAGACUUUGUUGAUUUUCAGAUUACUAAUUAUUGCUAGCAAAAUAAAACUAAAAUGUUACCACAAGAAAAAUGAAACAAGAGAUAUAAAAUUCACUAAUGCAAAAAACCUCCGGCGAGUCACUACUUCAAAAUUCGGUCAAUUUUGAUGACGCUUGACUCUAAUGACGAUCAAAUCCUCAAGAGGAAGGCCCGGUAAUCCUUUAACGUCAAUUGCAUGUGCUUUGGUCAUUUUAGGGAUUUGGCAGGAGAAAUAAAACUAAUAUUCGAGCCCGUCUGGCUACACCCGAGACAAAAUGUCAUCAGGGUUGUGUAAGGGAUGGUGUGACGAUCCUACGGUGAAAAUUUGGUGAGAUUUGGGAUUGGUAGUGUCGUGGCCGAAAAAUCUUCCGACGAAGAUUCUAGGGUCUCCGGUGAGAUUCAAAGGAAGGCAAUAGUGGGAAUGGGGGAAGACGACGUUUACCAGCGGCAGCUCCGCUUGCUCCGCUGGCGAAGUAACAGGGGGUACGAGGAAGGAGUGAGACUGUCUCUAGGGUUAGAGGUUUUUUCAGAUAGAUAUAUUAAAUCAUAAGAACGAACCGUGGCCGUCGGAUUAAAAGGGAUCAACAGUUGGGAUUAGGUCCUGGACCAAACAACGUCAUUUGGUAAUCUCUUGAAGCAGAUCGGGUGGGGGUGCGAAUCAGGCCUGGGUCCGGCUAUGAAAGGUUUGGGCAUGCUGUGAAGCGGUUGGGGGGUCCGAUUUUUUUUUGGGCUGGAGAAAUUAAUUACAGAUGGCCCAAAUUGCUUUCUUUUUGUUUCUUCUUUUUUCCAGAUUGCUAUUUUCUCUUUUCCUUAUUGUAUUUUAUUUACCAAAUAUUUUGUAUUUUGCUUAUCAUUUUAAUGUAUUAUGAUUUUAUAAAAUAUUAAAAUAAAACUUUCAAAAUAAUUAACACUCAAAAAUUAGAUUUUCUAACUAAUUCCUAAAAAUGCAAACUAAUACGAAUUUAAGCUAAAAAUGUAAAAGUACCAUUUUGAUAUUUUCUUCCUAUGUAAACAAUUUUAACCUACCAAUUAACUCUAAACAAAUGGAAUUAAAUCAUACACAAAUGCCACAUAUAUUUUUUCUAUUUUUUGUAUGAAUAAAAAAUGCGUAAAUAAAAAUAUAACAAUUAACAAAAAAUGACAUAAAAUUCACAAAAUUGCAAAAAAAUAUAUAAAGAAAUCAUUUUAUUUGAAUUUUAGGGAACAAUUUGCUUAGGAAAAAAAUCACGUGUUCACAGCUACUUGUCUUGCGUUUCAGUUUUCUUUUGAUAAACUUAUGAUCUUGUCGCGGAGUGAGGUCUCGUCAGAUGAGUCAAGUUUUAUUUCUUCUUGUGUCGAAGGCUCCCAGCCUUAAGGGUGUUUUUGAAUCUAUCGAAGUGACAACCCGUCUUGAGUUCAAGUGUGGUUGAAUCUAUCAUCCUUUGAUGGCGAAGGCACCUUAGCCUGAAUCCCAAUUUGAGCAAGAUCGAACAGAUCAAAAUUUUGAUGUCGAAGGCACUUAGCCUUAAACUUAGUUCGAGCGAGGUAGAACAUAUCAAACUUUGAUAGGGAAGGCACUUAGCCUGAGUUUCAGUUCGAGCGAGUUCGAAUAUAUCGAAAAUUGAUGGUGAAGGAACCUAGCCUUAAACUUAGUUCGAGCGAGGUCGUACAUUUAAACUUUGAUAGCGAAGACACUCAGCCUGAGUCUUAGUUAAAGCAAGGUCGAACGUAUCAAACUUUGAUGGCGAAGGCACUUAGCAUUAAACUUAGUUCGAGCGAGGUCAAACAUAUCAAACUUUGAUGGCGAAGGCACUUAGCCCGAGUCUUAGUUCGAGCGAGGUCAAACAUAUCAAAAUUUGAUGGCGAAGGCACUUAGCCUUAAACUUAGUUCGAGCGAGGUCGAACAUAUCAAAAUUUGAUGGCGAAGGUACUUAGCCUUAAAUUUAGUUCGAGCGAGGUCAAAAAUAUCGAACUUUUGAUGGCGAAAGCACUUAGACUUAAACUUAGUUCGAGUGAGGUCGAACAUAUCAAACUUUGAUGGUGAAGGCACUUAGCCAGAGUGCUAGUUCGAGCGAAGUCGAAGAUAUCAAACUUUGAUGGCGAAGGCAUGUCACGACCCGGAUUUCCCACCAUAGGGGGUCAUGAUGGCGCCUACUGUCAGAGCUAGGCAAGCCAACUUAUACAUACCUUUUCAACUAAUUUUCAAAAUCUAGUAAUAAUAAAACAAUAAUUUCAAGCGGAAGUCUAAAUUUAAUAUUAAAUGGAAGAAAAAUAUAAAAAAAUUAACAUCAUCCUCUACACAAGAUUUAGUGUCACAGUACUCACAGACUACUAUGAAUUACUACAAAUAAGAGUUUGAAAGAAAUUACAUAAGGAGUCUGUUUCGAUACAAGGAAAAACAAACAGCACUGAAAUAGAAGAGACUCAGGUCCCGUGAACGGCAGUGAACUACCUAAAAGUCUAUGAAUUGAAGGCACACUCCCAAGCAACUGUUGUGGUCCGUAAGUUAUCUCCUGACCUGUGCACAAAAGGUCACAGAAGUGUAGUAUCAGCAUAACCGACCCUAUGUGCUGGUAAGUGUCUGGCCUAACCCCGACGAAGUAGUGACGAGGCUAGACAGGACCUACGAAAUAUGAUAUACAAGUACAGAAAAGAAACAAUAACAACAUAAUACAAAUAAAGCUGGGAGGGGACAUGCUAUCGGGGAGUACUAGAUAUAAAUGGAACAUCAGAAACAACAGCAGAUCAAGGAGUCUGUUUCGAUACAAGGAAAAACAAACAGAAUUAAAAUAGAAGAGACUCAGGGCUCGCGAACGCCAACGAACUACCUAGAAGUCUCUGGACUGAAGGCACGCUCCCAAGCUACUACCGCGGUCCGUAAGCUGUAUCUUGACCUAUGCACAAAAGGGCACAGAAGUGUAGCAUCAGCACAACCGACCCUAUAUGCUAGUAAGUGUUUGGCCUAACUCCGGCGAAGUAGUGACAAGGCUAGACAGGACCUACUAUAAUUAACCUGUGCAAAUAUGAUAUACAAAUACGAGAAAGAAACAAUAACAACAUAAUACAAAUAAAUCUGGGAGGGGACAUGCUAUCGGGGAGUACUAGAUAUAAAUGGAACAUCAGAAACAACAACUGAUCUAUUCCAGGUUUUGUGAUACACACAUCUACAGUGGAUGGCGCGCCACACGAUCCCAUAAUGUAUAAUCUAAGUGGAUGGUACGCCACACAACCCCAUAGUGUAGUAUAUAAGUGGACGGGGCGCCACAUGAUCCCGUAAUGCAGUAUGUAAGUGAACGGCGUGCCACCCGAUCACGUAAUGUGGUAUAUAAGUGGUCGGCGCGCCACACGAACCUGUAUUCUCCGUGCACAAUGUCACCGUCAUCUCAUGCCAAUAACAAUAAGUGGACGACGGGCCACACGCUCCCGUAAUGUAAUGUAUAAGUGGAAGACGCGCCACUCGCUCCUGCAUUAUAAUUUAUUAUCUCAAAUGAUCCUUCCAAAGGGAUGUCCCAUUAGGGAAGAACAACAAUAUAACAAUUAAACCUAGUAAAGGUACAACUAACAGCCCAAAAUAUCCCGGCAAUGGAGGAUUUAAUAGUAAUAGCCUACUCGUCCUGGCAAGGGAAAAGUACCACACUUCCUUCCUUAGCUCAUUUACUUCUCAACCAUUACUUCAUACUUCAUUUAAUAAGUAAUUAACUUAAUUGUUUCACAUCUUUCGAAAUUAAUAGCAAUUACGACUCACGGUCAUGCUUGAUUCGGGCGCAUAGGUAGCCGUCACCAUACCUAUACACCGGCUCCACAUAACACAUAGCAAAUAUUGUCCUAAUCCUAUUCCCUCAAGAAAAAGUUAGAUCAAACACUUACCUCGAAAGCUUUUAAACUUAACUCACGCCUCUAGGGUAUCUUUACCCCCUGAAUUCGCCUCAAAACCCAUCGAAUCUAAUCACAAUUUACUCAAAUGUAUCAAAAAAUGCUAGUUAAAUCAAUUUGAAUGUGUUAGAAUAAAAUUUCCAAAGUUAUACCCAAAAUGCCCCGAGGUCCACGUGGUCAAAACUCGAGGUUCGAACCAAAAUCGGGUUACCCAUGCCCCCACGAGUUCAUAUAUGAAAUUUAUUUUGAAAUCGGACCCCAAAUUGAGGUCUAAAUCCCCAAUUUUAAGAAAACCUAUGUUCUACCCCAAAUUCCCAUUUUUACCCAUUGAAAGCUUUGACUUUAAGAUGAAAUCAUGAUAAAAGUUGUAAAAGAUUGAAGAAAUUGAGUAAAAGUUGACAUACAAUUGAUUUGGGAGAGAAGGAGUCGAGUGAAAAUCGCCAAUGGGGGUUUGGGUUUUGAAAAUAUGAAAAAUGAGGUUUGACAUCGUCUAAGUAUAGGAUGCACAAUCACAGAUAUCGCAAUUGUGAAGAUUUUAUCGCAAUUGCGAAGAAUGUAGAAGGAGUGGCGGUUUGUCAGAAUUGCGAGAAAUAGUUCGCAAUUGCGAAUAGGGCAGGUUUUGAGCGGGACUCGCAUUUGCGAGAAUGUCUUCGCAUUUGCGAAGACUGGGCUAUCAAGAGAGGGGUUCAUUUGCGAAGAUGUCUUCGCAUUUGUGAAGACUGGCUAUUUAAGGAGGUUCGCAUUUACGAGUUUUUCCUCGCAUUUAUGAUAGAGCAGGCCAAAGAGGAACCUCGCAUUUGCGAGGCUGGCUUCGCAAAUGCGAAACCUGCAGAUACCAGCUGUUUCAAAUGCUCCAAAAUGAACCUAACACAUAUUUGAAACUCACCCGAGCCCUCCGGGCUCCAACCCAAACAUUUACACAACCUCAAAAACAUCAUAAUGACUUACUCGUGCGAUUAAAUCGUCAAAAUAACAUUAUUUGCAUAGAAUCAACCCUCCAAACUUAUGAUUUUCAUUUCAGAGUUCUAAACUUUCAAAUUUUCCAUUUUAAUCCGAAACACGUCAAAUGACGUAUGUUUUCAACCAAUCUUUAUAGAUAGCGCUUAAUCAUUUAAGACAUGUACCGGGCGUCAGAAGCAAAAUACGAGCCCGAUAGCAUUACUUUUGAUCAAAUCUCAUUUUCAUUUUUCCUUAAGCAUUUUUAGAAAAUAAUUUCACAGAUAAAUUCUGUACUCAGUCUUGGGACCCCGGAUUUUGAUUUCGAGAAUAAGCCCAGGUCCCAUAUUUUUCUACAGAUCCUCCGGGAUUGUCACAUCACGGGUCCGAGUCCGUUUACCUAAAAUAUUGACCAAAGUCAACUAUAGCAAUAUUAUUAUCAAAAUUCACAGUUUCUAAUUUCAUAUAUUUCAACAUAAAAAAUUUCCGGCUUCGCGUCCGGACUGCGCACAAAUCGAGACAACCAAAUAAGAGUUUUUAAGGCCUCAUAAGCACAAAGAAAGGAAGAAUUACGGUGAUGACCCUUUGGGUCGUCACAAGUCACUUAGACUUAAACUUAUUUCGAGCGAGGUCGAACAUAUCGAACUUUUGAUGGCGAAGUCACUUAGCCUUAAACUUAGUUUGAGCGAGGUCAACAUAUCGAACUUUUAAUGGCGAAGGCACUUAGCCUUAAAGUUAGUUCGAGCGAGGUCGAACAUAUCAAACUUUGAUGGAAAAGGCACUUAGCCUUAAACUUAGUUCAAGCAAGGCCGAAUAUAUCAAAUUUUUGAUGGUGAAGGCACUUAGCCUUAAAUUUAGUUCGAGCAAGGUCGAACAUAUCGAACUUUUGAUGGAGAAGUCACUUAGACUCAAACUUAGUUCGAGUGAGGUCGAACAUAUCAAACUUCAAUGGUGAAGGCACUUAGCCUGAGUCCCAGUUCGAGCGAGGUCGAACAUAUCAAACUUUGAUGGUAUAGGCACUUAGACUUAAACUUAGUUCGAGCGAGGUCGAACGUAUCAAAAUUUUGAUGGCGAAGGCACUUAGCCUUAAACUUAGUUCGAGCAAGGUCAAACAUAUCAAACUUUGAUGGCGAAGACAUUUAACCAUAAACGUAGUUCCAACGAGGUAUAACAUAUCAACUUUUGAUGGCGAAGGCACUUAGCCUUAAACUUGGUUCGAGCGAGUUCGAACAUAUCAAACUUUAAUGGUGAAAUCACUUAGCCUGAGUUCCAGUUCGAGUGAGGUCGAGCAUAUCAAACUUUGAUAUUGAAGGCACUUAUCCUUAUACUUAGUUCGAGCGAGGUCGAACAUAUAAAACUUUGAUGGAAAAGGCACUUAGCCUUAAACUUAGUUCGAGCGAGGUCGAACAUAUCAAACUUUUGAUGGCAAAGUCACUUUGCCUGAUUCGUAGUUCGAGCGAGGUCGAACAUAUCAAACUUUGAUGGGGAAGGCACUUAGCCUGAGUCCCAGUUCGAGCGAGGUCGAACAUAUCAAACUUUCGAUGGCAAAGGCUAUUAGCCUUAAACUUAGUUCGAGCGAGGUCAAACAUAUCGAACAUUUGAUGGCAAAGUCACUCUGCCCGAGUCCCAGUUCGAGCGAGGUCGAAUAUAUCAAACUUUGAUGGCGAAGACACUUAGCCUUAAUCUUAGUUCGAGUGAGGUCGAACAUAUCAAACUUUGAUGGUUCAAUGCUGGUGGUGCUAGGCGUCAAGACUUCGUUUUGACUUGUGGUUUUGCGUUGUACACGUAUUGUUGUUGUCUUCCUAAUCGGGGUAUUCGGUCUAUCUCAGGGCGAUUUUCAAUUCCCAAUUUGAAACAUCCCUGUGUUGGCAUUUGGCUUGACACUGUAUUGAGGAUGAGGGAGAUGCUUCAUACUUCCGUCCUGGGGAAGUAGGGAUGCUUUGCAUCGCUUCUCACCUUUUUUGGAUUGUUCGAGUCGAUAGGAUAAGAGAUUUUAGCUCCCGUUGACGCGUUCGAUUCUUUUUGUCUAGAUUCCCUGCCAUUGACUCUGGUUUGAGUUGGAUUUCGUUUUUGGGUAUUUCUUUGGCUUCGAUCUAGGAAGAACUAAGUAUUUUCGCUAAAAAUCCCCACAGAAAGUUAUUAAAUACUUUUUAAGCAAAUUAAUCAAAAGAGAUGAAGGGCUAAAUCAUAGCCAAUCUUAAUCACCUUUUUCAUUUUCAGUUUUGUGUUUCCGAGGCCACAUACCCCCAUUUUGGGUUGCCUUGAUUUAUGUGCGCAACCCGGACACGUAACCGGAAAGCUUAAAUAUAAAAUUUUGUUAAAAAUGCUAAAAUUUGAGAUUAAAAUGAAUAAAUUUAACUUCGGUCAAUGCUUUGGGUAAACCGACCCGGACCUGUGAUUUCACUCUCCUGGAGGGUCCGUAAGAAAUAUGGGAUUCAGAAGCAUGUCCGGAAUUAAAUUUCGAGGUCCCAAGCCCGAGAAAUAAAUUUUGAGUGAAAUUUUUUUCAAGAAUUAAUUAAGGAAAAUGGAAAUAAAAAUUGAUUAGAACGUAUUGGUAUCAGGCCCGUAUAUUAGUUCCGGCUCCUGGUAUAGGUCUUAUAUGUGGUUUAAGACAUUUUGUGAAUUUUGGUUGAAAUCGGACGUCAUUUGACAUGUUUUGGACUUUAAACUUUAAAAUUGAAAGUUUAUGAAAUUUGAAGAAAACUAGUGAUUUUGAGGUUUGAUUCAUUCAUUUAGAUGUUAUUUUGGUUAUUUGAUCGCACGGUUGAGUUCGUGGGAUGUUGUUGAGUUAGUGUAUGUAUUUGGUUAAGAUCCCCGAGGGCUCGGGAGUGUACUCGGUGGGGGGGGGGUUAGUCUUCUUUCCUCUUCGCGUUCGCAUUCAUAGCCACGCGUUCGCGUAGUUCCCAGAAUUUCUUCAUCGCGAUCGCGUGAAGUCCCACGUGUUCGUGUAGGCCAAAUCCCUGGACCCCCAACAUUUUCUCUUCGCGUUCGCAUCCUUCACAUCACGAAUGCGAUGGUCUGUUGAGUCAACCCUUUGCGAACUCGACCUUCUUUCAGUGAACGCGAAGGGCAAUUUUGCCAGUUAUUUAAAAUGUCCAACACAGAACACUGGCCAAAAGUUUUCAUCAAACACACGAGAUCCUUCUUCUCCAAGGUUCUAGGGCGACUUUUAGAGCAUUUCUUCAUCAAAGCUUCUUGGGUUAGUAAAUCUUGACUCGUUUUCUUCAUUUUCCUUCAAUAUUAUUGAAUUCAUAAGCCUAAAACAUAUAAUUUAGGGUAGAAAUUAGGGAGAAUGGGUAGUAUUAGGGAUUUUUGAUUUUUUUGAUUUAGAUCUCAUUUUGGAGUCGAAUUUGAAAAUAAAUUAUAUAUUUAGGCUCGUGUGGGAAUGUGUGAUAUAAAUUUAGUCCAAACCUCGUGUUUUGACCAAGCAAGCCUGGGUUGAUUUUUGAAAUUUUGGAAAAAAAGCUUGGAAAACUAUAAGUAGGCAUUGAGUUUGAUUUGUUUAGAAUAUAUUAAUGCUAUAAAGUAAUUAUUGUAUAAAUUUGGUUGAGUUGGAGCCGAAUUUGAGUGGGAAAGUGGUUGUUGUGGAUUGAUUUGGCCAUGGAAGUUGAGGUAAGUGUUUAGUCUAACCUUAGCUUGAGGGAAUAAGAGUUGAGUCUUAUUUGCUACUUGCUAACUGUGGAGUACAAUGUAUAGGCAUGUUGAUGAGUAUUUAUAAAUUAGUGUAUAGCAUGACCAUGAGUCCUUAUAUUGCGAAUAUCCUGGUUUUGUUAUAGCUUCCAUACCUAAUUGAUAAUUUCUAUAUGUUGUAAAGAGUAUGUUAAAGGAAAUUGUGAGAUUUGAACUUCGUGGAGCAUUGGCUCGAGUUGAAAUACAAAUUGUGAAGGUAUAUGAGAUAUUUAAAUCUUUGGAGCAAUGGCUCAAGUGAUAAUGUGAACUAUGUGAUGAAAGUGAAAGAAAAAAAGAGAGUUAUUGGUUUAUUACCUUUCCAAAAUUUAGAUGUUUUAUUGCAUUCCCUUGCUGAAAUUUCAUUCAUUAUUUGUUUACUUUCUUUCCCCCUAUUUGUGAAUGUUGUUUGGGUGAGGAAGCGUGAUAAAGUAUGAAGGAUGAUGUCGUUCAUUGAAUGAUAUAUAUGGAUCGGGUUGCACGUCGCAACAAUGCUAAAUGAUAUAUGUGGAUCGGUUUCACACCGUAAAAAUGCUAAAUGAAAUGGAUCGGCUUUCACGCCGCAAUAGUGUUAUUACAUGUUAGGAUCGGGUUGCGCGCCGCAACAAUUAUUGAUACAAGUGUGUUUAUGUUGGAUAAUGGUUCUUUUGUUCACUGUAAAUUUUAAACCACCCUUAGAUGUUAUUUACUGGUAAUACUGGUAUACCCCUCGGUAUGUUUCCGCCCUCCCAUAUUUACUUAUUUAUUCCUGCUUUACUUUCCGUUAUAUAUUAUAUAACUGCACAGGUUUACUUGGUAGUCUGGUCCUAGCCUUGUAACUACUUCGUCGAGGUUAGGCUUGGCACUUACCAGCACAUGGGGUCGGUCUUGAUGAUGCUACACCUCUAUGCUAUUUUGCAGAGAUCCAGGUUUCGGAUAUCAACAACAGUAGUAGUAGCGUGGGAGCAGGCCUUCAGUCCUGCAAGACAUCGAGGUAGCCUUGCAGGCGUCCGUAGGCCCGACGUCUCCUCUAUCCUUAGCUUUAGACUGUUAUCUCAUUGUAUUCGAGACAAACAGAUAUAUUUCUUCUAGAUAUUUUAUUUAGUAUUCUUAGAUGUUCAUGAGUAUUGUGACACCAGUCUUGGGUAGGCUUAUGUUGAACUUUUCCGCAUUUUUAUUCAAUUUACUAUAAUUUGAGACUUUCGCUUAUUAUUUAAUUCUGUCGCUUUGAUAUUAUUGUCGAAAUGUUAAAAAUGACCAUGUUGUUAAUGAAAAAGUAAAUGAUGUUUGGCUUGCCUAGCUCCCAAUAGUAGGCGCAAUCACGACUCCCGAAGGUGAAAAAUUCGGGUCGUGACAAGCUGGUAUCAGAGCUCUAGGUUACAUAGGUUUCACAACUCACAGAAAAUCAUAGUAGAGAUUGAGGGAUCGGUAUGGAUACGUUUGUAUUUAUCCCCUAAAGGCUACAGAGUUUGGAAUACUUCACAUUUGUAAUUUCUAUUCGUGCUGUUCUGUUUCUCAAAUACUGAUUGUCUUUUCACUCUAUUCUUUCACAGAUGGAGAGAACACACGCUUCCUCAUCUACCGCUCAACAGUAGAUUCCACGAGGGGCAGAGGGUAAGGGCGAGGCAGUGCUAUAGGCUGAGGUAGGGGAAAAGCUCAGCCCCGAGUAGCAACACCAGUGGCGGAGCCUCAGGUUGACUUCAAGGCGGAGGUUCUAGCCCAAUAGUUCUGGUGGGCCCAGAUCAGGUCCCAGAGGUGUUCAUUGCCACCCUAGUUCUUCAGGACGCUCUUGUCAUAUUGGUAGGCCUCAUGGAGAGUGUCACCCAAGUGGGUUUGCUUCCAAUAGAACCAACCACUUUUCAGGCUGGAGGAGGGGCUCAGACUCGUGCUACACACACUCCGGAGCAGGAACCUCCCCAGGUUCAGAUUCCAGUGGUUCAACCAACUGUGGCAAUUCAGCUGGGUAUAUUGGCUCAGAUCGACAUUGGAGCGGCUUUGUGCGCAGAUGCUUUGGUAGAGGCUGGAUAGGUUCAUAAAACUCUUCACUACUACAUUUGUGGCGUUUCCUCUGUGGACCCCUAGGAUUUCUUAUAUAGCUGCCACGAGGUUCUUUAGAACAUGGGUAUUGUUGAUAACAAUGGAGUUGAUUUUGUUGCCUUUCGCCUAUAUGGAUCCGCCAAGACUUGGAGGAGAGUUUAUUGCUUAUCCAGACUAGGAGGGUCGCCGUCUUUGACUUGGGACCACUUUUCAGAGUUGUUUCUAGAGAAGUUUAUCCUCUUUACUCAGACAGAGACUCUUCGGAGGCAGUUUGAGCGCCUCCAGUAGGGUUCCAUGAUGGUCACUCAGUAUGAGACCAGGUUCAUUGAUCUAGCUCACCAUGCUCUUGUUAUACUCCCCACCGAUAAAGAGAGGGUGCAUAGGUUUAUUGAUGGUUUGAUCCAGCCGAUUUGUCUCCAGAUGGCUAGGGAGAUUGGGAGUAAGAUCAGCUUUCAAGAGGCAGCCAAUGUGGCCGCAUAGUUGAGAUGGUUCUGUCAUAGGAAGGUGGUCAUAGAUCGGAUAAAAGGCCCCGUCAUUCAGGCGGAUUCAUUGGUACCUCGUCUGGAGGUAGAGAUUCUUAUGGUAGAGGUCAUCCUCCUAGGCCCUUUCAGUCAGCUCUCCAGGUAUCUCAUGGUACUUUAGGCAGUCGUGGUUCUCAGCUGCAUUAUUCUGAUAAACAGUCUUACAGUACACCGCUAGCUCCCAUCAGUGCACCACCACUUCAGCGUUUUCGAGGUGGUCAUUUAGGCCGCCAGGGUCAGCCUCAAUUUCCUCAGCUACAACAUUCGGGUGGAUGUUAUUAGUGUGGUGAGUAUGGUCAUAUCAUGAGGGCAUGCCCAAGGUUGAGGGGUGCUCAGCUGCAGCAACAGGGACCCCGUUCUAUGAUUCAGGCACCAGAUAUUCCACAGGCCGCCUAGCUAGAUAGAGGUGGGGGUAGAGGUGCUAAAGGUGGAGGUAGAAGUCCUAGAGGUGGAGCUCAGGGCGCCAUGGAUGGAGUCCAGCCAGUAGCAGGCCGUCCUUGAGAGACACUCCAGGGUGGUAGGGCCCAGCCCCGAUGUUAUGCCCUUCCAACUAGGCCAGAGGCUGAGUCUUCAGAUGCAGUCAUUACAAGUACUACUUUGGUAUGUGAUAGAGAUGCUUCAGUGCUAUUUGAUCCAGGAUCUGCGUAUUCGUAUGUGUCAUAUUAUUUUGCAUCGUACCUAGUCAUGCCUAGUGAUGCUUUUUGUAUUCUUGUUUAUGUGUCUACACUGGUAGGUGAUUCUAUCAUGGUCGAUCGAGUCCAUCGUGCUUGUGUUGUGGUUAUUGGAGGUCUUGAGACUUGUGUUGACUAAUUGCUUUUGGACAUGGUUGAUUUGACCGUUAUGUUAGGAAUUGACUGGUUAUCCCCGUAUCAUGCUAUCUUGGAUUACCAUGCCAAGACCGUGACCUUAGCCUUACCGGAUUUACCCUGUUUGGAGCGGAGAUAGACUCCAGGUUUCUCUAUCUGCAGUGUUAUUUUGUACGUGAAGGCUCGGCGUAUGGUCGAGAAAGGGUGUUUGGCUUAUUUGGCUUAUGUGCGCGAUUCCAAUGUUGAGGUACCCUAUAUUGAUUCGGUACAUGUGGUUCGUGAUUUUCCAAAGGUUUUUCUUUCAGACUUGUCAGGCAUGCCGCCUGACAUGGAUAUGGACUUUUGCAUUGAUCUGCUCCAGGAACUAGCUCAUUUCUAUUAUGCCGUAUCGCAUGGACCCGUCAUAGUUGAAAGAGUUAAAAGAUCAGUUAUAAGAUUUGCUUGAGAAGGGUUUCAUUAGACCCAAAAUUUCGCCUAGGGGUGCAACGGUGUUAUUUGUGAAGAAAAAGGAUGGUUCGAUGAGGAUGUUCAUUGAUUACCGGUAAUUGAUCAAGGUUACAAUCAAGAAUAAGUAUCUAUUGCCGAGGAUUGACGAUUUAAUCGACCAGCUUCAGGGUGCCAAGGUGUUUUCAAAGAUAGACUUGAGAUCCGGCUACCAUCAGUUGAGGAUUAGGGCAUCCGAUGUCCCUAAGACAGCCUUCCGCACUCAGUAUGGGCAUUACGAGUUUUUGGUCAUGUUUUUUGGGUAAACAAAUGGCCCAACAACUAUUACAGACUUGAUAAACCGAGUGUUCAGGCCUUAUUUGGACUCGUUCUUGAUAGUCUUCAUUGAUGAUAUAUUGAUAUACUCCCGCAUCCAGGAGGAGCACGAGCAACAUCUCAAAAUGGUUCUUCAGACUCUGAAGGAUAGUCAGUUAUAUUAUAAGUUCUCAAAGUGUGAGUUCUGGUUGAGUUCAAUUGCAUUCCGGGGUCCUAUUGUAUCAUUAGAGGGUAUUCAGGUUGACCCAAAGAAGAUUGAGGCAGUCAAGAAUUGGCCUCGACUAGCAUCAACUACAGAGAUUUGAAGUUUCUUGGGGUUGGCAGGCUACUUUCUUGGUUCGUGGAAGGGUUGUCAUCUAUUGCAGCCCUGAUGACAAUGUUGGCCUAGAAGGGUGCCCAAUUUAGAUUGUCCGAUGAGUGUGUGGCGAGCUUUCAGAGGCUCAAGACAGCUCUGACUAUGGCACCGGUGUUGGUUCUGCCUACAAGUUCAGCGCCUUAUGCCAUUUAUUGUGAUGCCUCCCGUAUUAGGCUUGGUGCAGUAUUGAUGCAGGAUGGCAAGUUCAUUACCCAUGCUUUGAGACAGUUGAAUAUCCAUGAGAAGAAUUAUCCGGUUCAUUAUGUAGAGUUGACAACCAUUGUUCAUUCAUUGAAGAUUUGGAGGCAUUAUCUGUACGGCGUGACGUGUGAGGUGUACACUGAUCACAAGAGCCUUUUGUACUUGUUCAAGCAAAAGGAAUUGAAUUUGAGGAAGAGGAUAUGGUUUGAGUUGUUAAAGGAUUAUGAUAUCAUUAUCUUAUAUCACUCGGAGAAGGCCAAUAUAGUGGCCGAUACUUUGAGUAGGAAGUUAUCCAGUUGGGCAAUCUUGCUUAUAUUCCCGUCAGCCAUAGACUGCUUGUUUUGGAUGUUCAAGCCUUGGCUAAUCGAUUUUUGAGGUUGGAUUUUUCUGAUCCUAGUCGGGUGUUAGCUUUCAUGAUCGCUCGUUAUUCAUUAUUGGAGCAUAUCCAUGAUCAACAGUUCGAUGAUCCCCAUUUGUGUGUCUUUAGAGACACAAUGCAACAUGGAUGUGCCAAGCUGGUGACCUUACAUGAUGAUGGUAUUUUGAGAUUGCAGGGGCGAGUUUGUGUGCCAAAUGUUGAUUGGAUUUGAGAGUUGAUCUUAGUGGAGGCCCAUAGCUGCUAGUGUAGAAUGAAAAGAUAUUGUUGCAUAUGUGGCUCGAUGUUUGAAUUGUCAGCAGGUUAAGUAUGAGCAUCAGAGGGCGGGUGGAUUGUUUCAGAGAAUUGAGCUUCCCUGGAAGUGGGAGAGGACUACCAUGAAUUUUGUUACUGGACUUCCGUUGACCCGCAAGAAGUUCGCUGCAGUUUGGGUCAUUGUUGAUAGGCUGACCAAGUCAGCGCAUUUCAUUCCUGUUACAGCUACAUGUUCAUCCAAGAGUUUAGCUGAGAUCUAUAUCUUGGAGAUUGUUCGUAUUCAUGGUGUGCCGAAGUCUAUCAUUUCGGACCGGGAUACGCAAUUUACCUCACAUUUCUAGAAAGCAUUUCAGCAAGAGUUGGGCACUCAGGUGGAGUUGAGUACAACAUUUCAUCCCCAGACGGACGGUCAAUGUGAGCGGACUAUUCAGAUACUGGAGGAUAUGCUCUUAGCUUGUGUUAUUAACUCUGGAGGUUCAUGGGAUCAGCUUUUGCCUUUAACGAGUUUGCCUACAACAAUUGCUGCCAGUCCAUCAUUCAGAUGGAUCGUUGUAUGGUAGGCCAUAUCGGUCUCUGGUUAGAUAGUUUGAGCCGGGGGAGGCUUAGUUAUUGGGUACAGAUUUAGUGUAGGAGGCGUUGGACAAGGUCAAGACAAUUUAUGAUGGGUUUCAUACAGCUCAAUCCAGGAAAAAGAGUUAUGCAGAUCGCAAGGUUUGAGAUGUGGCUUUCAUGGUUGGUGAGCGAGUAAUGCUCCGAGUAUCGCUUAUGAAGGGCGUGAUGAGAUUUGGGAAGAAGGGAAAGCUUAGCCCAAGACUCAUUGGUCCGAUUGAGAUUCUUGAUUGAGUGGGAGAGAUGGCUUAUAUACUUGCAUUGCCACCUAUCUUAUCAGUCGUGCAUCCAGUUUUUCAUGUGUCCAUGCUUUGGAAGUAUCACACUGAUCCAACCCACAUGUUAAAUUUCAGCACUGUCCAGUUGGAUAAGGACUUAUCUUAUCGGGAGGAGUUGGUAGUCAUUCUAGACCGACAGGUUCGCUAAUUGAGAUCCAAAAGUUUUCCUUCUGUUCGUGUUCAGUGGAGAGGUCAACCUCCUAAGGCAUCGACUUGGGAGCCCGAGUCCGAUAUGCGGAGCCAUUAUCGUUAUCUAUUUUCCGACUCAGGUACAUCUUUCUUCUGUCCGUUCGAGGACGAACGAUUAUUUUAGAUGUGGAGAAUGUGAAAACUCAAAGGGUCAUCACCUGUUUCAUUAUCCAUUUUAUGUUUUUGAGGCCUUGAAAACCCCAUUUAGAGUUGCCUCGAUUUGCGUGCACAAUUCGGGCGCGUAGCCGAAAAGCUUAAAUAUGAAAUUCUAUAAAAACUAGUAAAUUUGACAUUAAAAUAAAUAAAUUUAACUUUGGUCAAUAUUUUAGGUAAUCAAACUCGGACCCGUAAUUUGACGGCCCCAGAGGGUCCGUAGGAAAAUAUGGGACUCGGGCAAUACGUCCGGAAUGGAAUUACGAGGUCCCAAGCCCGAGAAAUAAUUUUUUGAGUGAAAUUAUCUAGUUUAAUUAAGGAAAAUAGAAAUAAAAAUUGAUUAGAACAUGUUGGUAUCGGGCCCGUAUUUGGUUCUGGCGCUCGAUACACGUCUUAUAUUAUUUUUGUGAAGCUUGGAUAAAAUCGGACGUCGUUUAAUGUGUUUCGGACUUAAAUCUCUAAAAUUGAAAGUCUAUGAAAUUUGAAGAAAACUAGUGAUUUUGAGGUUUGAUUCAUUGAUUUUGAUGUUAUUUUGGUGAUUUGAUAGCACGGUUGAGUUAGUAGGAUGUUGUUGAGUUAGUGUAUGUGGUUGGUUAGGAGACCCGAGGGAUCGGGAGUGUUUCAGAGGUGUUUCGGAGUAGAUUCAAACUUAGAAAGAUUGCAGAAAAUGGGUUUCAGCAGUUGCAGACCAUCCAUUCUUCGCGUUCGCAACACAUCAUCCACAUUUGCGAAGCUCAUCACUUUUCCUUCAUCGUGUUCGCAGCACUAGCUUUACAUUCACGUAGGGUCAAGUGUCCCUGGGGGGGGGGGGUUAGCCUUCUUUCCUNNNNNNNNNNNNNNNNNNNNNNNNNNNNNCACGUAGGGUCAAGUGUCCCUGGGGGGGGGGGGGUUAGCCUUCUUUCCUCUUCGCGUUCGCAUAGUUCCCAGAAUUUUUUCUUCGCGUCUACGUGAAGUUCCACACGUUUCCGUAGGCCAAAUCUUUGCCCCCCAUCCUUUUCUCUUCGUGUUCGCAUCAUUCACAUCGCGAACGCGUGUCCGUUAAGUCAAACGUUCACGAACGCGACCCUUUUUCCGUGAAAGCGAAGGGCAAUGUUGCUCAGUUAUUUAAAAUGUCCAAAACAGAACAGUGACGUGAAUUUUUCAUCAAACACACGAGCUCCUUCUUCUCCAAGGUUCUACGGCGACUUUUAGAGCAUUUCUUCAUCAAAGCUUCUUGGGUUAGUAAAUCUUGACUCGUUUUCUUCAUCUUCCUUCAAUAUUAUUGAAUUAUUAAGCGUAAAACAUGUAUUUUAGGGUAGAAAUUGGGGGAAAUGGGUAGAGUUAGGGCUUUUUGAAUUUUCUUGAUUUAAACCUCAUUUUUGGGUCAAAUUUGAAAACAAAUUAUAUAUUCGGGCUCGUGGGGGAAUGGGUGAUAUGAAUUUAGUCUAAACCUCGUAUUUUGACCAAGCGGGCGUGGGGUCGAUUUUAAAAUUUUGGGAAGAAAUCUUGAAAAUCUAUAAUGAGGCAUUGAUUUUGAUUUGUUUAGCAUAUAUUAAUGCUAUAAAGUCAUUAUUGUAUAGAUUUGAUUGAGUUGGAGCCGAAUUCGAGAGGGAAAGCGGUUGUUGUGGAUUGAUUUGGCCCUGGAAGUUGAGGUAAGUGUUUGGUCGAACCUUAGCUUGAUGGAAUAGGAGUUGAGUUUUAUUUGCUACCUGCUAAUUGUCGAGUACGACGUAUAGGUAUGGUGACGAGUAUCUAUAUAUUGGUGUCUAGCAUGACCGUGAGUCCUUAUAUUGCGAAUAUCCCGGUUUUUUAUGGCUUCCAUACUUGAUUGAUGAUUUUUAUAUGUUGUCAAGAGUAUGUGAAAGGAAAUUGUGAGAUUUUAACUUUGUGGAGCGUUGGCUCGAGUUUAAAUACAAAUUGUCAAGGUAUAUGAGAUAUUUAAAUCAUUGGAGUACUGGCUCAAGUGAUAAUGUGAACUAUGUGAAGUGAAAGGAAAAAGUUAUUGGUUUAUACCCUUUCUGGGAUUUAGCUAUUUUAUUGCAUCCCCUUGCCGGGAUUUCAUUCAUUAAUUGUUUACUUUCUUGCCCCUUAUAUGUGAUUGUUGUUUGGGUGAGGAAGAGUGAUAAAGCACGAAGGGUGAUGUCGUGCACCGAAUGAUAUAUGGAUCGGAUUGCACACCGCAACAAUGCUAAAUGAUAUGGAUCGGGUUGCACACCACAACAAUGUUGUUACAUAUUGAUACAAGUGUUUUUAUGUUGCAUAUUGGUUCUUUUGUUCGUUGUAAAUUCUAAGUUGCCCUUAAACUGUUACUCUGGAUUUACUGCUAAUACUGGUAUACCCCGCAACAUGUUUCCCCCUCCAAUCUUUACUUAUUUAUUCAUGCUUUACUUUCCACUAUAUAUUAUAUAACUGCCCAUGUUUACUCUGUAGUCUGGUCUUAGCUUCGUUACUACUUCGUCGAGGUUAGGCUUGGCCCUUACCAGCACAUGGGAUCGGUUGUGCUGAUGCUACACUCUAUGCUAUUUUGCACAGAUCCAGGUUUCGGACAGCAGCAACAGCAAUAGCGUGGGAGCAGGGCUUCAGUCCAGCGAGACACCGAGGUACCCUUUCAGGCAUCCGCAUGUACGGCGUCUCCUCUAUCCAUUACUUUUAGAUUGUUAUCUCAUUGUAUUCGAGAUAAAUAAAUGUAUUUAUUUCAAAUAUUAUAUUUAGUAUUCUUAGAUGUUCGUGAGUAUUGUGACACCAGUCUUCGGUAUAAGCUUAUGUUGAACUUUUUCACAUUUUUAUUCAGUUUAUUAUAGUCCAAGACUUCCGCUUAUUAUUUAAUUCCGUCGCUUUUAUAUUAUUGCUGAAAAUAUUAAAAAGGACCAUGUUGUUAAUGAAAAAGUAAAUGAUGCUUGGCUUGCUUAGCUCCCAAUAGUAGGCGCCAUCACGACUCCCGAGGGUGGAAAAUCCGGAUCGUGACAUUAAUACUGGAUCUCAAGACAUAAUCGAGACAUGGAAAUAUUGGACAAAAAUAAUAUUAGAGGAGUUUCAUUGAUUAUAGAAAUUUAUCUUGCCUCUCCUUGAUGAGGUUCGGGAAAUUACAAUCAUAUUGUCUCAUUCAUGAGUGGUCGAAAAUGGAUCUCCCUUUGCCCGUAGGUUCAAGGUUCUAUUCAUGGAGUUUUUCUAUCCCUUUUUCGGGUUGUCAUAGUAAUGGAGAAGGAGGCUAGGGCCGGAAGCCCCUUUCAGCUCUUUUUCCUUGUAUUUACAGUCGAACACAUCCCGAGCUUAUCAUGAUUUAUAUGGUUAGGUCGGUGAGGCGUUCUUUUGUCGUAGAGGAGCCUUGGCCUUGUUCUUGAUUUCAGAAAUAAUAAUAACGAAUCGGAGUCGAACGUGUUGACUAUUUUCAUAAGAUGAGUAGGAUGGAGUUAUUUUCGUCGAGGCCGUGUGGUCAAAUUUUGGCCAGUACAUAUAGCAUUAUAGUAAACUACACUAUCAGUAUUGCAUUAUAUUUAAUUUGUUUUUACAAUAUGAGAUUCACCCUUGUAUUUGUGUAUGAUUCUCAUAUAUAUAGGUGAUAAGCAUUAAGUGAUAUUGAAAUAUAUGAGUUAUCUGCAACCAAGGGCGGAUCUAGCGUGUAUUAUACGGGGUUUCGGGAACUCAGUAACUUUUACGUAGACUCAAUAUUUUUGUUAAAUUUUUUAUUAAAUAUCUAUUUGUGAACCUAAUUAUUAUUAUAUAUUAAUUUGAAAUUGUAACAGGAACCCAUAAACUUAAAAUCCUGAAUUCGCCUUCGUAACUGCAAUCCAUCAUAUUAUAAGGGACGUUUAGAAUAAAUAAGUCCCCCUAUUAAUUAAGAAAUAAAGAAAUCAUGUACUUUGAUAUAUUAACUAGUUAUGUAUAAAAUGUAUUUAAUUUCAGUGAUGAAAUUAUACCCGUCGAAAAUCUUUCAAAUAUCUUAUGUUGGUGUACGAGCUUGUAGGGCUUUCCCUCUGACCCAACGGAAAGCGUUGAUAGUGUCGAAAAUCUUUCAAAUAACUGACCAAACGCUAUAUUCUUAAAAGAACGCACCUAAUUCGUCAUAAAUAAAAUAAUUUGCACCAUGACAAUUGAUGUUUACACACAUUUUAAAUUAUUAUUUAGUUAAGUACAAGAAUAUGAAACAAACAAAAAAAUAACCCAAUUGAAGCAGCAAUCUUUUUCAAGGGAUUUCUUUCUUGGAAACCUCCAAAAAUAGUCGAAGUUUAAAGAAGCAAAACUUUUAGUAUAUAGUAUGUGAUUAUGCAAUGUAGCUUUGUCACAACUGCAAAGAAAACAUGUAUACUAACUAGUGUAAGUAUUAAUUUCAUGAUUUGUUAACUAAAUACGUAUGGUUUCCGCCCUUCCCACACGCCACGGGCAGCAAAAAUCUUGUGUCCUCCCUCGAGAGACAGCUCUUCCCAUGAUUUCCCUCUUCUAACAGAACUCCCCAACCUCCCACAUACUAUCCUAUAUAUAUUACUAUUCUAACCCCGAAACAAUAAUUACGCCUCAAUUUCAAGUAGUUGGGGUCCAAUAAUAUAGAAAUAAUCUUGUCUUAAUUUAAUAUUAUAUAAAAUAAGUUAAAUUUAAAAAUACUACUAAAAGUUUUUAUAUAUAUUUACUUCUAUAAAAAAAAGCAUAGCCUUGUGCACUAAGUUCUCAUUAUGUGCGAAGUUUGGAGAAGGGCUGAACCACAAGAGUCUAUCUUCCACAAUCUUACCCUGUAAGAUGUUGUUUCCAUAAUUACUUACAUAAAUUUCUUGUUUCUUAUAAAAUUAAAAGAGUAGUGGAAAACAUUGGAUCUAAAAUAAGAAUAUGAACAUGACUAGUUAGAUUAUAUUACAACUAAGUGAACAUGUAGUAACACUCUCUUUGCACGUGCUCCUCGCACUCAAGAAGUACAGUCCUAUUUCCCCCUCGCCCUACAACAAACCCCCACCCCCAUAUUUCUUAGCUCUCACCAACCUUAACGUCUCUACCUUUGCCAACCUUUCACGAGACUUACAUGCAUUUCUUCAUUCUUAUAUAUUCUUAUAAAACACAAGUCUUUUAACACUCUUUCUCUUUAACUAUACUAUUAACAAAAUUUUCACUCUCCAUUUAGCAAAGCUACCAUAUGGAUGAGCCACCAAGUGAUGGCACGUCGGAGAAUGGACGUAAGGGCCCCGGAAAGCGUGCUACUAGAGUCGUGGAGCCACUAGUCUCAGCGGCACUUCCGGCUUCCACGGCUCCUUGUGGUGCAUGCAAGUUCUUGAGAAGAAAAUGCAUUAGUGGAUGCAUUUUUGCACCCCAUUAUGGCUCCGACCAAGGCGCGGCUCGGUUCGCGGCCGUACACAAGGUGUUCGGAGCCAGUAAUGUGUCUAAGCUCUUGUUGCAUAUUCCGGCUAACCGGCGGCAUGAUGCGGUGGUUACUAUAACUUAUGAAGCUCAGGCUAGACUCUCGGAUCCUGUUUAUGGUUGUGUCUCAACCAUUCUUGCUUUGCAACAACAGGUUCACAACUUUUAGAUAUAUUCUUUAUUAGUGUCAUAAUUUGUCAUUCUGAUGGUAACAUUAAUUAUUAAUAUCUUGGUUCUUAUUUCCAUUAUUAAUUGUAAUAGAAAUAUAAACAAAUUUUGAAGGUUAACGAAUAGAGUUAAAAUUGAUCGAGUUAAAUCGAGCAAAAAAAUCCAACUCUGGUUCGGUUUGAUUUAGUUUGUUUGGGAAAAAAACUGAGAUAAUUGGUUUGAUUUGGUUGGUUUUAACCAAAAAAAGUUAGACUGAAAUCAAACUAAUACAUAAGCUUUUAUUGUGUAGUUUAUAAUACAUAAGCUUUUUCAUAGUGUAGUUUAUAAAUAUCAGAAUAUAUCUAAAAGUAGUGAUUACUACGCUAUAAAACUACACUAUAAAAGCUUAUGUAUUAAAAGCUUUUUAAUACAUAAGCUUUUGUAUAGUGUAGUUUAUAAAUAUUUCUUAAACUUUUUAAGUUUUAUCUUUUAGCGUAUUAUUUCAAGCUUGGACUUAUAAUUUUUGUUGUUCCAAUAAGCUUUUUUUGCCUAUAAAUGUUAAAACUCAAAUAAAGCCCAAUCCAAAAUCAAAUCAAUACUAAUACUAGCAAAUUAAAGACAUUCAAUUUAAUGCUAGGAAUGACAAUAGAGUUGGACAUCUAUUUUUUAAUUUUUCAACGGUUUAGAUAAAAUGCAUAAUUAUAAUUUUUUUUCUUUUGUGUUUAGUCAUGUAUUUAAUUAAUAGUACUUAGUAGUCGUACUUAUUUUAGCAUGACUUAGUACUUUUACAUUAUGUUCAAAUUUAUUAUGGUUAUUUAAUUAGCAAUACUUAUUUUAUCGCUUUACUAUUUUUAUUGUAAUAAAAAUAAGUCUUGCCCCUUAGGAAAGCCCUAUCUUCGGCUAUCGAAAUAGAAGGAAUAAUUUAGGAAAUGUUACCUCCUAUAGCAAAACUUUACACCCUUCAAUUUAUUUUAUGCAAUUUUAUUAUUUUUAUUCUAAUUAAUUACUAAAUUAGCCUAAUUAAAUAAUAGGUUAAUUCAUGUUAUAUAUGCCAGUUUGAUUUAAUAUUGCAAAAAGCUAAUACAUCAUCAAUAUUGUAAAAAGGACUGAUAUGAGCAUGAAUAUUGUAGGUGGCAUCUUUACAAGCAGAGCUAGCAGUAGUGCAGACACAACUAAUAAACAACAGAUAUGCAAUGGGAAAUGCUUUACAAACUUCACAACAACAACAUCAUCAUCAUCAUCUUCAGCAACAACAACUCCACCAAGAACAUCACAUUGCAAUUCUACAGCCAACUUACUCAAACAAUUCUUCUGUUUCAAACAACAACCUCAUCAACAACAUUAACAGUGCUAAUACUUUCAAUUCCACUGCUUUUCAUCAACUGCCUGAUGAUACCUGUGCUACAACUCUCCCUAAUAAUAAUUCACCAAGUUUUGAUCCCAUUCAUCAAGAGGAUGAGGAGGAGGAAGAAAGUCAUAAUAAUCCUAUUGCUUUUACUAAUCAAAUGUUUCAUUGAAUGAGAGGUCCACCAUAGAGAUCAGAAAUUAUUGAAGAAACAACAAGAUCUUUAGCUUGUCCUUUCCCGGCAAACGAUUCCGAACAAAAAAACACUCACACAUACCCGUUGAAGUCCUGUUAAUAUUUUACCAAUAACUGAGAUGUUUUACCGUGUUGAAGUCCUGUUAAUAUAUCUUUACUAAUAUACUGCAUAUAUAAUAUUUGUUGUUAUUUUUAUUUUUGUUGUUCCUUUCCUUCACUGAGCCGAGGGUCGAUUGGAAACAGCCUCUUUGCCCUUUCNNNNNNNNNNNNNNNNNNNNNNNNNNNNNNNNNNNNNNNNNNNNNNNNNNNNNNNNNNNNNNNNNNNNNNNNNNNNNNNNNNNNNNNNNNNNNNNNNNNNNNNNNNNNNNNNNNNNNNNNNNNNNNNNNNNNNNNNNNNNNNNNNNNNNNNNNNNNNNNNNNNNNNNNNNNNNNNNNNNNNNNNNNNNNNNNNNNNNNNNNNNNNNNNNNNNNNNNNNNNNNNNNNNNNNNNNNNNNNNNNNNNNNNNNNNNNNNNNNNNNNNNNNNNNNNNNNNNNNNNNNNNNNNNNNNNNNNNNNNNNNNNNNNNNNNNNNNNNNNNNNNNNNNNNNNNNNNNNNNNNNNNNNNNNNNNNNNNNNNNNNNNNNNNNNNNNNNNUUGUUUACAUAUUAUCCUCCCCAGACCCCACUUUGUGGGACUAUACUGGAUAGUUGUUGUUGUUGAGAUGUUUUACCGUGUCGAUAAAAAGUUAAUUAUAUAUGCAAUAUAUUAGUAAAGAUUUUCAUUGUUGAAUUUAAUUUUAAGCUUUCUGUUGUUUUACCGCGAAAAUAAGGAGUGGUGAGAACUGAGACGCAUAUUUCAUGCUCAUCUUCAAAUAAAAACCAGUAAAAUCCAUGGGUAUGUCAUCCAGUUUUGUACCCAUUAACCAAAAGUCGUCGUUCUUUCUUUUGUUACAUAAAAAUUAUUUUAUAUUGCUCCACAUUUCACAAAACAAAAAGAAACUUUGAUAAGUUUUGGUUAAAACCCCACCAAAAUGCGAGGAAAAAACAAAAAUGAUCCUUAUAUUUUGGGUAAGUUUAAAUGUGCCCUUAAAUAUUGUAAUGUAUUGAUUCCAUAAGAAUAUUAAAUGUAAGCAUUUUUAGUUUUCGUUGAGUAUUUAACAAACUAUAGUUACUUUGAUGAAAAAUGUGAAAAAUAGAUUUAUUAUGGAAUCACAUUUAUAAGUGUAUUUCUUAUAAUUUCGGCUAUUUAUGGCUUAUUAUAAUAUUUGGUAUAGCUUUUUUUGAGGUAUAGCAUGCUAUUUUAAAAUUUAUUUCUAGCAUCCCAUACAUUUUUUGUUCUGAAACUUCUAGAUUUGACAAUUCCAUCCCAUAGUCUUACUUGAAAUUAGGUACAAGAUAACUGAGUUCUGUUGUUUCAUAAUUAAUCAUACACUUUGAAGAUUUAUAAUUCAUAUAUCAUGAAAGGAGUUAACUCAUUUUCAAGGUGAAUGUAGGUUAAUGGCAUUAGUCGAUUGCGGUGAUUGGUGAAUUUGCGCUCAUCCAUUGGUUCUACUGUGGACAAAUCAUUAGUUUUUUUUUAAUCGUAUAUAUGAUCAAAUACUAACUAUUUAGUUUAGUCCGAAAGAAAUGUGAUUUGUUUAUAUACAUAUUGCACUAGGAGGAUACAAAGCUGAAGUGUAUCGCUAUUUCUUAUUUCCUUUUCAACUAGUUUCACACUUAUAAUUUAUUUUUAUAUAGUAACUUUUGGUUUGAGUUAGCAAAGGACCUAUGAAUUUAAAUUAUUUGGUCAAUCACCGGUUUUGACGGAACUAUAAUUUAAUAAUUCUAGUUAACUAAAUUUUAGUUUUCAGUAUAUAUUAUUAGGAAAGUUUACUAAAUAUUCGAUGAGAAAACGCUCACUUUUGACAACUUAGUGGGAUCAAAUUAGCUAAGGAGUAUAUUUAUGGGCCCGAGAAUUUACCCCAUAACGAGCAUUUGUAACUGAGUGAAGUUGAUAUUAGAAAUGUUAGUUAUUGAGUUGUUAAUUAGAGAUUAGAAGUUUUACACUUUUGUCCGGUUUAUGGUUUAAGUGGAUAUUUAUUCUAUUUCAAUUAGGUCCAUCUAAGUUUCUGCAUGUUCUCUAUAGUCUAGGACACGUGUAGUAGUAUUUGCAUUCUUAGCUGCAUUUGCACGAGCUGUAACAUAGUAGAGAGAUUAUGCUAAAUGAAUAUUCCUCUUUUCCUCUUUUCUCUGCUUCUCCCUCUUUCUCUUUUUUUCUUCUCUUUCAUUCCCAUACUCUGUUCUUUACAUAACUUUUCUCCAUUGCUGAGCUUAGUGAGAUUAUCAUUUGUUACAUUGGUAUCAGAGCCGGCUGGGCUUCGGAAAUUGGGUCACCAUGCCUCCAAAUCCAGAUAUUCUAGGGUUAACAGAGGGUGUCGAUGAAAUUAACUCAACUCCAAUCAUUUAUGGCUGAUACGAUGAAACGAUUCGAAGCUCUUGAAACUCAACAAACUCAAUUUUCCUCCCAGCUUCAAGAAACCCAAGAGAGGAAUCGACGGUUGGAAAUGGACAUGAAUAAAAAAUUGGAACUCAUUCUGGCAAGCUUAGACAAUAACAUGAGGUCAGAUUUAGUUUCCCUUUCUCCGCAACCACAGACACCUAUGCCUACUCGUGAAACCGGCCAAACAUAAGGUACCUCUGUUUCUACCUUACCUUUCCUAACCUCACUCAGUCACUCUUUUCACCGAGUUCGGCACCCAUAGGUCGAGAUUUUACAUUUCCACCAGCUCCUCCGUCACAUUAUACCAACCCUUAUCAUAUUCCCAAUUUUCAGACAUCCAGCUCUUCUUCAAACCCGCCUCUGUUACCCACCCCAACAGCACCACCAAUUCAAGGAGUGAACCUAGUAGAAUACACGUCAAAUGGUAAUCUGCUUAAAACUAAGUUCAGUUUUCCAGAAUUUGAUGGUACAUAUCCGAGGGGGAGGUUAAGAAAAUGCGAGAAAGGCUUUCGUAUUUAUAACAUUCAAGAGUCAUAGAAAUUGGAUUAUAUCACACUCACAUAAAAGAUAAAGCUGAUGUUUGGUUCGAUAGCUACCUUACUAGCCGGCGGGGUCAGAUUUCAUGGUCCAUGUUUUGUGCUGAGAUUUGUCGAAUGUUCGGAAAAUAAGACCCAUGAACAUUGUCGAUGAGUUCAACAAAAUUCAACAACUUACCGGUAUGGAUCAGUUUCAGGAGAAAUUUGAGGAACUUAUGAGCUAUAUGUUGAUUAUUAACCCCCUAUUGAAUGAAUUCCAUUUUGUAUCGAGUUUUGUUAGUGGCCUCCGGCCUGUACUAAACCCAUUAGUUAUCCUUGUUAAUCCUGACUCUCUUAUGGAUGCUUUUAAAAGUGCCAAGCUCUAUGAAGAAUCCUUUCAAGCCUUAGCCAAACUCAUCACUCUUAAAACUUAUCCUGCCUCCCCCAAACCUUACCCUCAACUAACUUAUCCUAUGACUAAACAACUUCCUGCUCCUACAGUCACUAAAAAACCUGUAACCAACCCCUUUAGACUCACUUAUCCCACCCAAAUAGGUCAAGAUCCCUUCAAACCAAAUUCCACCCUUGAAGGGUUGAAGCAACAGAAUUUAUGCUUCAAAUGCCAUGACAAAUAUGUCCCUGGUCAUCAAUGCAAGCCUAGAAAUCUACACAUGAUGGAAGUUGUAGAGGAGGUGCAGAUGCACCAUUCGAAAGAAGAGGAAGUAUUUGAGGAAGCCAGGGAAGAAGUACUUGAGGAGGAACAAGCAACACUCUCUCUGUGUGUUGCUGUGGGGUUAACAAGUUCACCCUCAACUUUGAAAAUCACUAGAUAUGUGAAGAAAACACCUAUCACUAUAUUAGUGGAUACUGGUUCCACACAUAGUUUCUUGAACCCUCUAGUGGCGAAGAUAAUGAAGCUAGAGGAGAUUCUGUGUGGUAGGUCCGUGAAAGUAGUUGUGACAAAUGGAGAUAUCUUGUAUUCUGAUAGCUAUUGCACUGCAUUUUCUGUGGAAGAUCCAAGAAGAGUUGUUCUGUUUAUAUAUGAGAAUUCUGCAAAUUGGUGAGUGUGAUUUGGUACUAGGUAUAGACUGCAAAUUGAUUCGUUUGUCAAUAACUAGAUGGCCACCGUGCAUUGCACAGGCAUAAGCCCGAUAUUAUUGUACCUCGAUAUUGUUGUAACACAACGGUUCAUACUUAUUUCAAUUGUUUAGCAUAAUUGCAAUUUACAUAUAAAGGAAACUUAUGAUCAUGUUGAUAGAUAUUUACGUAAUAGCUCCAAAUAAUGUACAUUCAUUUCAGUAACUAUGUUAUUCACGGUAUGAAAUUUGCAAGGGCAACCGUUCAAAAGAAACUGCACUUCUUGUAAAAAUCAAUUACUCAAUAGACCUUCAUUGCUAUAAGUCUUCUUUUUGCAAUAAUAUUUGAUGAAAGCAUCAGAACCAGACGCAUGUCCAAUUCCAAAAUUUUAGAUUCUCUGGGAAAAAAGAAGAGGAAAAAGAUGUUAAACCUAGGUAGAGCAUAUGCAAAUUGAAUAUAUAAUUUUGAGUUGAACUCUAUCCCAGAUGCAAAUAGCACAUAAACGCACCCCAAAAAGAGAAACCCCUCCCCCCAGAUAAAUGAAUAAUUGAAACUUUGCUAGGAAGCUAACAGAGUAUGGUAAGAACAGCUCUCUGGAAUAACGGUCAACGGUCAUUUUUGCAUCAGUGGAAAGUUGUCCUGCUUCUCUUUUCACAAUUGGUAUUACCUACGAAGUUGAGAUCCUAUCCUAGAAUAUCAUUCAUCAAUCCUAAAUUUUCCUUCGUAUAUUAGACACACUUUACCCAAAGUUCUAUCAAAUUUUGUCAAUAUUAAACAAAGUCAACCUAAAGAUCUUGUUUAAUAUUUGGAUAAUAAGUUCUUGUAUAAGUAGUUACAGCUAAUGGCUUCAUGUGUCACAUAAUAUGUUUCAAUCAAUUAAAUACUCAGUUAACGCAUAGACAAUGUCAACUUUCUUCAAUAUUUUUUAGGGGGGUGCUCAUAAAUUGUGCACAAAUGAAAUAGAUCAGCUCUAGAAUAUGGUUUCUAAUUUUUUUUGGAUAGGUGAACGUAUUGACAUAUACUUGUUGUUGGAGAGUGCAUAAAGCACAACGAACCCGCAGUACCUCGGUGUUUUCCUUUGAGCUCUCAUAUGUAUCCACACCAUUUAAAGGACACACAAAACAGUAGCAAAUAACUUCUGAAAUUAUCAACAACAAAAUACCAACUGAUUUUAAGGAGUGAUCUGGUGAAAACUUCUACUGGUACAAGUCUCAGUGAAAUACGUUACACCAUCCCGCCUUAGUUGAGAAGUGAUUUGGUCUCAAUUGCUUAUCUUCAUGCUCUGAAUGUAUUUUGUCUAAUGAAACGUAUUUUAACACAUAAAAGCUACAACAUAUUUGCACAUUUUCAAUCUAAAUUGUAUGGCGCAAGUCAGAGGCUAUUAUUAUAGCAAGUUUAUCACUUUCAACCUGAAAAGAAUGGACCUUGGGCCUAACUCAAUCCCAAAAGCUAGCUUAUGAGGUGAGGAUUGCCCAAGCCAUAUAAGGAGACCAAGGAUCUCAAAUCCCUCUGAUGUGGAACAACUCAGCACCCCCCUCACGCCAAUAUCUCUGGAGCGUGGACAACAUAAAUGAGGCCCAACAUCAGUAACAAUAAUUGGGAUGGGCCUGGCUCUGAUACCAUGAAAAGAAUGGACCUUUAGCCUAACUCAACCGCAAAAGCUAGCUUAUGAGGUGAGGAUUGCCCAAGCCAUAUAAGAAGACCAAGGACCUCAAAUCCCUACGAUGUGGAACAACUCAACGCAACCAUGUCAAGUCAAUUUAGCCCAGCUUUAUUCCAUCAUUAGAGUGAACUAAAAGUUAUACGUACUAUCCAAAUGGAGAUUUAGUUUCACAGUGCGCAGUACCUAUUCGAAUCAACAUGUUUUUUUGAAGAUCAAAAUUUGCUCCAUAUCAAAUAGGUUCCACAGUCUUUACAGCUAAAGCACAUAUCAAAAAGGCUUCACUGUUAAGACAAUUAUCAAAAAGCAUCCAUUGCUAAAUCUUGCAUAUGCAACAUAACAAUUAUUAAUGCAAUUAAAUUAGAGAAAAAGAGGGGGUCGGGCUUCCACUCCACAAGCAUAUGGCAACAAAAGUUCUUAUAUUUUACCCUUGAACAUUUACUAUAUCUUUUACAAAAAUAUCUAGCUAACAAUGAAAUGUAAAAGUGCCUCAUAACUGAGAAUGAAGUUCAUCAUCAACUCAAACUAAUAUAUAUUCAUGUUUGUAUAUAUUUAUCAUCUAAAUAGCUCUUUGUAUUGAUAUUUUACUACCAUAUUUUACAUUAAUUUUAAUAGAUAUAUAGCUGUAGUGACAUUAUUCUAAAGAAAGUAUGAAUACAGGACAUUAAUGGAUUCAAGUAUAACUAAACCAAAUGCAAUAUAAUUUCUGAAUCCAGAAGAAAAUACCAUCAGUAAGAUAAAUAGAGAAUUAGCCUCUCGAAGAGGCGUGAGUUUGCAGACACUUGGCUGGAAGAAUCUUUUAGCAUCUUCAAGUCACUCCUCCUUCGCUAAUGUGGGGUUUAGCUGCAAAAAUUAACAACUUCAACCCUACUUCACUAAACUAUAUAGGUAACAAUUGUUGUUCACUUUCUAUAACAGUGUGAAAAUUUAACAUGGCAUAACAUAGCAUUCACUAAAUUGUUUGAACACAUACGUAAGGCAUGACUUUUAUAUAAGCAAGCUAGAUUAUACAGUAACUUUAACAUGAACUCAACACAAUGACCUCACAAGAGAUGGAACAUAUAUCAACCAACGAACAGAUUCGAGAGGAUAAGCAAUCUUUCAAGUUUAUCCCAGAAUAAUCAGGAUUCGGGAUAAGAGCUGACGUAUAGGUUCUGAAGCUAAACUAUGGAGUUUAGCAUCAAGGUUACAUAGUGCUUAUUAACUGACAUCGUGGUUCACUUCUUCACAAACUCGGAUAUCUAUUCUGCAAUUAUAGUUGCACAAAAUAAUUGUAAGCUAUGAUUGAUGUAGAAAAGGACUCUUAGAAAACCAAAAAAAUUAAAAAUAAGAUAUAGAAGACUGAAAUCUUUGCUUAUAAUUGAUAACAAAUUCUUCGCUUCCAGGUAAAAUAGAUGACUCUAGAUAAUAAAAUGUGUAGCUAUUUGCAUCCUGAUGAACACCUUCAUUGCUACCUUGUUUCUUAUUUAAUAAUGUGAAAACUCUCUUGCAUAGAAUAUAGGUGUAACUCUCGGACCAUCGAUGCCAGCUUCAUGAACCCAAGAACCAACAGAAUCUCAGUCCUUUUUAAAAUAACCGUCCUAAGCUUAAAAAGAUGUCUGUAUAACCUCAUUGUCCAUGAAAAGAAACGCAGAUAUGUAUUUUUAAUGAUUUUCUUGCACAAAUAAAAUUUCACACACUGAUGCAAGUGCCUUCACAACAAACAUUCGCGCUUUGAUAUCUCUACAAUUUUGCAUCUCUAUAAAUUCACAUUAUAUAAAGCAUAAUUGUCCAUCAAGAAAAGAAAUGUGCAGCUUCGUUCCGUAGCAACAUCCAGUUAAAGUAGAAGAGGCACCUCUGAAAACCUCAAUUUCAAGCUUCAAAAGGAUAUGUGUACUUAUUUAGCUAAAAACUCAAGCCUUUACUCUCCCUAACCACAAGAUAAACAGGUGCACUUUACUGCUCACUAUUCAGAUUAUUUACAUUGAGUAAGUGCCAAUAUUAAUAUGAUUUUAUCUCGCCUUUUCCAUUCCCAUUAAUUGCACUAAAGAAAAAGGUUAAAUGAGAUGUUUUAUUAUUUAGGGAUUAUUAUAAAGAUUAUUCAAUUGCUACAUCAAUUACAUUAAAGUAACUGCUCAUGAUGACGUCGCAUUAACUUUCAUUAGUCAAGUAUAUUUUUUCCUUUUUUCUUUUUUAUAUAUUAUUUGUCUUGGGUAGUUAAGUACCCUUUCAUAUUAUAAGUGACACAAGCACAUUCAAAUUAAUUUGAUCUAGCAAUGAAUAUUUCUUCACAAACAUCCAAAUUAAAUUAAUAGAACCUUCAAAGAAAGGAAAAUGUAUACAAAACUGAGAACUACUCUCCCACAUCAUUUUAUUCACCAGAUGCUACAAUAAAUUUAAAGAGGAAAUAACUAAAUUUAAUCUAAUAAUAUACCUUAACCAAUAAAAAUGUGUGGCAAAAAAGUCUAACCACAUAACUCUAACAUUUAGCAAAGUUACCAAGUAGAUUUCAGGAAUUCUUCAAACGCAUCAUCAUUGAACUUUUUUUCAUCUUGGUGAAUCACAUCAAAAUCAGCCAAAAGUAACUGAGGUUUCAAGCUCUCUUUCCAUGAGCUUCAACACUGUAAAGCCAAAAACCAGCCUAACAAACAACAUAUACAUAUUCUUUUUCAAACACGAUCUAUUGAUCUAAGUCCAUGCCAACAAUAUUGCAAACAAUACUAAGUGAAUCUUUCUUAGAAAAUAAGAACACAACAUGGGGAUAUGCCUUGAAAGAAGCCGCAAUGUCUCAUUGUGGUAAAAGAAGAUUCAUUAUUCUCCAGAUUUCAGGUUAAUACUAAGGCCCUUAUUAUUGAACCACACUCUCGUACCUCGCAUUUUUUGAGCUAUUUUACCACCAAUGUUGAAAAAAUAAGCAAUAUAAAGGCAACCAAAAUUAUUGACAGAACAUAAAUGCAUGUACUACUGACCUUUGGGGAUUUCGUUCAUAUAGCCUUUCUUUAUUUUUAUUGAGUUCCUUUUAGUGCCAGUUCUUGCUACCAAAUUGACAUAAAAUAUUCAAUAGUAGACAUGCAUACAAGAUCUCACAAUUGAAAGGUUUAAAGACAACACACUGAUAGUACACCGACAUUUUUCCAUUCUGUUUCUCUCCAGCAUCAACAUCAUUGCCAGAGCUUCAAAAUAUUCAUUGUCGCCUGAAGCUAGAAGUCCAGUGAUUUAGUUUAAUCUUUCUGUAACCUUUUACUUGCAUAGAGAAGUCCUUUGGAUAGAAUUUAUUUUUACGUUAUUACUUGUACACCUAUACUUGGCCAAGAAAAAAUUAGGUAGACAAAGAAAGAAUCAUCAGUGAUAGCUUUUUGACCAUCUCAACGUUACUACCAUGGCCAAUUACCAAAUAGCGACACAUCUAACUGAAAUAACAAGUAAAAUGCAAAAAGCUACUAUUGGAUUUUAGCCUUCUAUAAGUAUUUCUAUAUUUGUAUAACUAUUAUGAAAAAAUUAAGACAAGAGGGAUUGCUCUGAUGGUAAGCAACCUCCAUUUCCAACCUGAGUUUGAGUUUCCCCAAGAGCAAUGUGGGAAGUUCUCGGGGGAAGGAUGCCGGAAGUCUAUUUGGAAACAACCUCCCUACCCCAGGGUAGAGGUAAGGUCUGCGUGCAUAUUACCCUCCCAAGUCCCUACUAAGUGGGACUACACUGAGUGGUUGUUUUUAUUUUUCCACAAUUCACAGGAAUAUGAAACUUUGCAGACAAAAAAAGAAUCAUCAGCCAUAGUUUUUUUACCAUCUCAACAUUACUACCAUGGUCAAUUACCAAAUAGCGACACGUCUAACUGAAAUAACAAGUAAAAUGUAAAAGGCUACUAUUUUUUUUAGCCUUGUAUAAGUAUUUCUACAUUUGUAUAACUUUUAUGGAAAAAAUUUCCAAUUCACAGGAAUAUGGAACUUUGUGUUAGGAAUAAACCCCCUAAAAUAAUAUUCACGGUAAUAAAAACAGAAUAAUAAUGUAGCACCGAGAUACGGUAAUUAACAAGAAUAACAGAGUAACAAUGACACCAAGAUUUUUACGUGGAAAACCCUUCUGAAUAAGGAAAAAACCACGGNNNNNNNNNNNNNNNNNNNNNNNNNNNNNNNNNNNNNNNNNNNNNNNNNNNNNNNNNNNNNNNNNNNNNNNNNNNNNNNNNNNNNNNNNNNNNNNNNNNNNNNNNNNNNNNNNNNNNNNNNNNNNNNNNNNNNNNNNNNNNNNNNNNNNNNNNNNNNNNNNNNNNNNNAAUAACCCUCUUUUGAUAUUCCACCUCACUACAAUAUCGCUCACUCUCUAUUUUCCUCACAGACUAUUUUCUUAUACCCUGUCUGUGAAACCUUACACUUUUUCUCUCUUUCUGUUGGUGUAUCAAAAUGAGAGUCGAAGCUCUCAUUUUAUAGGCAAAAAUAGGCAGCCUUUCCGUUUCUGCAGCACACCCUUCUUGACAAAAAUAAUCAAACAAAAUAAAUGUGGGCUGCUUUAGCAGCCAUUUUUGACAAAAGAAUGAAGAAGGAAGAAACUUCUUCCUUGAUUAAAGGGGCUGGACCCCAUUAAUCUCCCCCUCCAGUCCCAUUUAUCUAGAGGGAAUAACACUGCAGUUUCUAGUUUGAGUGUAUACAGACAAGUUCUUUGCAUAACUCAAACUUGUCCCUUGGUACCACCUUGGUCAGCAUAUCCGCAGGAUUUUCGCUUGUGUGAAUCUUUUUGACCUGUAAACAAGCUCUUGAAGGAACCGUUUGAGCCAUAUCAUCUCAUUGCCAGUUUCUGUAGCGGCAAUGUACUCUGCUUCAGUUGUAGAGAGUGCGACACACUUCUGCAACCUCAACUGCAAUGAUAUAGCUCCCCUUGAAAAUGUAAACAAAUAUCUAGUAGUGGAUUUUUUGUUGUCAAUGCCACCUGCCAUAUUAGCAUCCGUAUAGGCCUUCAAGAUUGGAUCAGAUCCUCCAAAGCACAAACAAUCUCCCGUGGUGCCUUUCAGGUACCUGAGUAUCCACUUGACUGCUUCCCAAUGUUCUUUCCAGGAUUUUAAAGAAACCUGCUGACAACACCAACUGCAUGAGCAAUAUCAGGUCUAGUACAUACCAUUGCAUAUCGGGCGCUUGGGGGCGUAAGCUUCACAGAACUAAGCCUCACACAUGAGUCUCAAGACGUUUUAAUAGUGCCCUGCCCCGGGUUGAGCCCCUAGACGAGUCUCAAAAAAAUCUUUUAAAACACUAUAUACAAUAACUCAAUAAGGAGAAAUCACUUGAAAAUAAUAAAUAGGAACAAUUUGGUAUAAACAGUAAAGCCUUAAAAAUUCAACAAAUCCAAAUCCUUGCGCAAAAUCCUUUGUACGCCUACGCCAUGGCAUAGAGGUGGGAGAGGUAGCAACUUACUUUUGGGAGGAAGUAAUACCUCGUAUAUUGAAAUAGUGACGGAAAGUGCGCGCAGAAGGUAACCAAUAGUCAGUAUCCAAGCAUCAUAUAAACAUGAGAUUACUUAUAGCUUUUACUAAAUAAAUGACCUUAUGGUAACAAGUGAAACAUGAAGAGUAAUCGAAAUCAAAUUUAUUCGUUAGUGUAUAAGUAAGAGAUCAAAUUCUAAUCUUCAAAAUGAUGAUUGAAUAUUUCAUAAAUUCACUCCAAUUACCAAACGCAACCCUUGUCGAUAGAGCAUGUAUUCUACUUACUUCCAUUACAGCAUUAAGCAUCUCCGAUGUGUUUUCACACUAUUGAAUGUGAGAAUAAACUAUAAUUAAAUGUUCUACUCUCUUUGUUAUAGGUAAGGACUUAAAUUAUAUCCACUAAAUAAUGUAAUGAUAUUUUUAUACUAUCCGUAUAAUUUAACCUUCUAUAGAAUAGAAGGCAACUUAUCUUAGUUACUAAUUAAUUCCACUUGUUAUGAUUGCAAUUACCAUUUAAAUGGCCGACCCGAUAAUGUAAAAAAACGUUUCCAACGGAUUACAUGUAAAUCAUUAACAUGCGAUGUCACUUGUAUAACAACUUUCAAGUCAAUUACUCAACAUCUAUGGCAUUAUCAAGAGCCUCUUUUAAGGCAUAAAGGUGUAUUUCAAUGGCAAAUUAUUCUAGCAGGUUGGAACCUUUGUAGAUCAAAGUAGCUCAUUUGGUUUGUGAUAACGGUGAUGAUGUCCAUCUCAUUCAAUAAGUAUUAGGCAUGUGCCUAAUAAAAGUUUCUUUGGUUUGGUAGCCAAUUUGUUGACUUAGUUUGGUUAGGUAGCCAACUUUGUUGAAUUAGUUUGGUUUGGUAGCCAACCUUGUUGAAUUUCUUUGGGUUGGUAGACAACUUUGUUAAUUGUAAAAAGUGUGUAAAUUGUCAAAUAUUGAGGUUUUAGAGAGUGAAGUUUUCGCUAUAAUGGGAGAGCUUCAACUCUCAUUUAUACACACCAACAAAGAGAGAAAGAAAGAGUGAGGUUUCACAGACAAGGUAUAAGAAAAUAGUCUGUGAGAAAAAUAGAGAGUGAGCGAUAUUUUAGUAAGGUGGGAAUAUCAAAAAAGGGUUAUUUCUUUUGAGUGUUGUAGUGGUCUUUGGAGUAUUUUACUCGGAUCUACAAAGUGUAAAAAUUCCUUACUAUAGUUAUAUCAGUUGUUCCUCUCAGGGUCGUGGUUUUUUCCCUUAUUCAGAAGGGUUUUCCACGUAGAAAUCUUGGUGUCAUUGUUACUCUUUUAUUCUUAUUAGACCGUAUCUCGGUGCUACAUUAUUAUUCCGCUUUUAUUACCGUGAAUAUUAUUUUAGGGGGUUUAUUCCUAACAACUGGUAUCACAGCACAGAUUCUGCUCGAUCACUAAAAUACUAUUCACUAUCGGUAGUAUUAUACUCGGUGAAAAAUAAAAAUGUCCGGAGUAAAGUACAAGGUAGCUAAAUUCAACGGAGAUAACGAUUUUUCAACAUGGCAAAGAAGGAUGAGGGAUCUGCUCAUCCAACAAGGAUUACACAAGGUACUAGUUGCCGAUGCCAAAAAGCCUGAUACCAUGAAAGGUGAGGAUUGGGCUGACGUAAAUGAAAGAGCAGCUAGUGCAAUCAGGUUGCACUUACCGGAUGAUGUAGUAAAUAACAUCAUUGAUGAAGACACUGCACGUGGAAUUUGGACAAGAUUGGAAAGCGUAUACAUGUCCAAAACGCUGACAAAUAAAUUGUACCUAAAGAAGCAAUUAUACGCCCUACACAUGGGUGAAGGUAUGAAUUUUUUGUCGCAUUUAAAUGUGNNNNNNNNNNNNNNNNNNNNNNNNNNNNNNNNNNNNNNNNNNNNNNNNNNNNNNNNNNNNNNNNNNNNNNNNNNNNNNNNNNNNNNNNNNNNNNNNNNNNNNNNNNNNNNNNNNNNNNNNNNNNNNNNNNNNNNNNNNNNNNNNNNNNNNNNNNNNNNNNNNNNNNNNNNNNNNNNNNNNNNNNNNNNNNNNNNNNNNNNNNNNNNNNNNNNNNNNNNNNNNNNNNNNNNNNNNNNNNNNNNNNNNNNNNNNNNNNNNNNNNNNNNNNNNNNNNNNNNNNNNNNNNNNNNNNNNNNNNNNNNNNNNNNNNNNNNNNNNNNNNNNNNNNNNNNNNNNNNNNNNNNNNNNNNNNNNNNNNNNNNNNNNNNNNNNNNNNNNNNNNNNNNNNNNNNNNNNNNNNNNNNNNNNNNNNNNNNNNNNNNNNNNNNNNNNNNNNNNNNNNNNNNNNNNNNNNNNNNNNNNNNNNNNNNNNNNNNNNNNNNNNNNNNNNNNNNNNNNNNNNNNNNNNNNNNNNNNNNNNNNNNNNNNNNNNNNNNNNNNNNNNNNNNNNNNNNNNNNNNNNNNNNNNNNNNNNNNNNNNNNNNNNNNNNNNNNNNNNNNNNNNNNNNNNNNUAGUGAGAAUGGGUAACACGAGUUACUCAUAGAUUGUGGGGAUUGGUGACAUUUGUAUCAAGACAAAUGUCGGAUGUACAUUGGUUCUAAAGGAUGUGCGGCAUGCACCUGAUUUGCGGAUGAAAUUGAUCUCGAGAUUGCUUUGGACCGAGAUGGAUACGAGAACUAUUUUGCAAAUCAAUAGUGGAGACUCACCAAGGGAUCAUUGGUGAUUGCAAAGGGAGUUGCUCGUGGCACGUUGUACAGGACAAAUGCAGAAAUAUGGCAAGGUGAAUUGAAUGCGACACAAGAUGAGAUUUCUGCAGAUCUGUGGCAUAAAAGAAUGGGCCAUAUGAGCGAGAAGGGAUUGCAGAUUCUUGCCAAGAAAUCACNNNNNNNNNNNNNNNNNNNNNNNNNNNNNNNNNNNNNNNNNNNNNNNNNNNNNNNNNNNNNNNNNNNNNNNNNNNNNNNNNNNNNNNNNNNNNNNNNNNNNNNNNNNNNNNNNNNNNNNNNNNNNNNNNNNNNNNNNNNNNNNNNNNNNNNNNNNNNNNNNNNNNNNNNNNNNNNNNNNNNNNNNNNNNNNNNNNNNNNNNNNNNNNNNNNNNNNNNNNNNNNNNNNNNNNNNNAACUUGUUACUUUUAUUUAUGAUGCUUCACGAAAAUUGUGGGUUUAUAUUUUGAAACCCAAAUAUCAGGUGUUUCAAGUUUCCAAGAAGUUUCAUGCUCUAGUAGAAAGGGAAACAGGUCAAAAGCUAAAACGUCUCUGAAGUGACAAUGGAGGUGAGUACACUUCAAGGGAAUUUGAAGAGUACUGUUCAAGUCAUGGGAUUAGACAUGAAAAGACAGUU